rnacentral:lncRNA from 1 species
CCAAAGAAACCCAAAAGGUAAAUAAACGAUGCGAAAAACGCGAGAAUCGCGAUGAUCUCAGAAAAGGUGACGACAUGGAGAGGCGUGGAGGUACGGAUCUUCUCACGCCAACGGGAAAGAAGGAAAUAAACCACCGAGAAGAAGAGGGUAAAGAACACCGCAUUCGUCAGAUGCAAAGAAAGCGGCAAUGCGUCGGAGGCUUUAGUGGGAUCUUCCUCUAAAGGAAUCUUCUUAGUGGGCUUGAGAGAUUGAACUCGUUUAGUCGAAUACAGCCGGGAAGCCUCCAUUUUGGGUGUCGAAGGCGGCGGAAACCCGGCGGUGGAGGAGGAGAAUAGGAUAGGAAUGAAAGUAAGAGAUGAUUUCAGUUAGUUUUACGAUUAUGGUGAAGGUGGAGCCUGAGAUGCUAGAGUUUAGGGAGGGAAAGGGGUAUUUAUAGGAUAAAGAGUAAAGAGAGCGUGAGGAAAAAGGAGCGUGAAGUGAAGAUGGGCAGUGUUUGGCACGUGUUAGUGCGGAGCUUUACCAAGAGAAUAGUCAAAGAAAGAAUUAUAGGGAUAGUGUUUGGAAGCGUGCAGUGCAUGGGAGCAACGUCGUCAGCACAUUCCUGGUUGUUUCAUUUUCAUUUAGGGUAAACUACACAAUCAGUCACUAAAGUAUGGGUAAGUUUUUAUUUUGAUCACUGAACUAAAAAAAACUUAUAAUUUGAUUACUAAACUAUUCAAAAGUUUUCAUUUAAGUCACUGGGCUGUUAAAAUCGAUGCUACACAUCUUUUUCUCUUCACACUGCCUACAUAAAUCAGAUGCUCUUUCUCCCCUUCUCUUUUACAGUUCAAUUUUUUUCCUACAACUUUUUUUUCGAUCUCCGAAAUUGACCUUCAAAUCGACUUGAAUCUAAGAUAUGUUCUUCUACCCGCUGAUGGGUAUUGAUCCACUGUACAGGUCGUUGUGUCGUCACUUGGAGCUCGUUGGUAGAACUUUUUUUAAAAAAUAGUUAACAACCUAGUGACUUAAAUAAAUUUUUUGAAUAGUUUAGUGACUUAAAUGAAAACUUUCAAAUAUUUUAGUGACCAAAUUGUAACUUUUCAGUUAAGUGACCAAAACAAAAACUUAUCCAUAAUUUAGUGACUAAUAAUAUAAUUUUCCAUUCAUUAUAUUUGGUCUUUCUCCCUAUUUUGAUUUUUUCUGUCACCUGUUUUUCAUUAUUGUAUGGAUUUAAUUAUUCCUUAUUUUGGGUUGUUUUUCAUUAAUUAUUCAAAAUAAAUUAUCCAAAUAAAUAUUAACGCUGUUGUUAAGUUAUAUACAAUUUUGGGCAAAUGUCUACUAAAAGAAAUAGAAAUGAAAGAAAGUCAUAUUUAUUAUUAGCAUAAUUUUUUUACCUUCCAAAUUUAUAAAAAAAAAUUAUUUAUUUAAUUUUUUAUCUCUUUUAUUCUUUCAAUUAAUUUUUUUAUCAAAUUAUUCCAAAACGAAUUAAAAAGUUAAUAUUCUUUAACUUUGUUGAUUUUAUAUACACGUAGAUUACCAUGUAGAUAAUACAUAAUAUUUAAAAUUUUAAAAACAUUAGCAAAUAUAUUUUUUUAAUAAUUUUAUACUUUUAUAGUACUUUUCUUGGUUUUUUAUUUUUUAAAAAUAGUUUUUAUAUCAAUUUUUAAAUUUUAAAAAAUUAAUUAAAUGCCGACGUGUCAUCCACGUGCAUUCAAGUAAGCAAAGUUAAACAACAUCAACUUUUUCAUUCAUUUUGAGGUGAUUUGACAAAAAAAUACGAGUUUAAAAGUUAAAAAAAGACAAAAUUAAAUAAAAAGCUAAAAUGAUAUUUCUUGUAAAGUUAAAGAGUCAAAUAAAGUAUUAUACCUUUAUUAUUUAAUAAAAUUUAAGCAAAGUAGGACUUUGACCUGAAUUCAAUUAAUGAUAAGAUAAUUAAUUUUGAUUUUUUCCUUUUGCUCGUAAUUAAUUGGAUAAGUUUAUAAGUUAAAUUAAUAUGUAAAAAACAUUAAGAUAUAGAGCUUUGACAGCUCAUUUUUCCUUUUUAGAUUAUUUUUUUGCAUGUUUAUUACAUGUUGUUUGUGAAAAUAAAAAUAAAACUAUAGUGUUUAUUAAAUUAAAGUUUAAAUUUGACAUUUUUAAUAUUUUAAUAUAAUCAAAUUAUGUCCUAUUUUAUAUUAAAUAAAAUCUAAUCCAUUCUUUAAUAUUCCUUAAUUUUCAGGUUUCUCUAUUUUUUUCCCAUCAAUUCAAGCCUCUUGCUUUAUAGUCAUAUGUAAGGGUGAGUAUUCGAUCGAGUCGAAUCGAAUCGAGUAAAAAAUUUUCGAGUUAGUCGAGUUGACAAAUUUUAUUUUAGCAACCGAACUCAAUUUGAAAUUUUUUCGAAUCAAAUCGAAUCAAGUCAAGUAAAAAAAUUUCGAGUCAAAUCGAGUCGAGUUAACGAAUCCUAUUAUUUAUACUUAAUGUUACGUUUAGAUGGACUAAUUAUUUAACUAGUAGACGAAGUAUAAGAUUAUUUAACUACAUGAACAAUAUAAUGAUUUAGUCUUUUAACUUAAUGAGUAAACAUUUAUCAAAACGACGUAGUUUUACCUUUUAACUUAAUUAUUUUAAAAUUUAACUUUUAAUAAAGUAAACAUUUAUCAAAACUACGUAGUUUUGUCUUUUCUUAUUCGGAUUUUCGGAUAACUCGAAUUGUGUAAUUCAUAUUCGAGUUAAACCGAAAAACUUAAUUCUUUAUUUGAGUUGAUCCGAAUAACUUGAUUAACUCAAAUAACUUGAACUAUUUAAUUCAAAAUUUGAAUUUUUUUAUCAAAUUUUUCGAAUUGAAUCGGAUUUUGUUUACCCCUAGUCAUAUGUAUGUAUAUAUGUGUAGAGACUUUAUAAAAGGACCGUAAUAUAUAUUUUUUAUACAUAUAUGUCGACAUUCUCAACAUUAGACAAUAAUUAUUAUUCGGUUUAUGUGGACUUUUAUGCAAUAAUAAAGAUAUUUUUUAGGGUAAAGUAUUAAAACAUCAAUAAAUAAAAUUUUUAAUCCGAAAAUAAUAAUAAAUUGUACUCUUUAAAUAAUCGUUUCCAUCAAGACUCCUGAUAAUUAAGUACUAACAUGACAAAUGAUGUAACGGUUGACAUAAAACUUUCGAUGAUAUAUAAAGGACUUAAUUAAUUUUUUUUAUUAUUUUAAGUGGGCUUAAUUGAUGUUUAAGGAUUAUUUAAAAAUUCUCAAGAAAUUAUAGAAAAUUAUAAUAAAAAUAAAACUAAAAUGGAAAGAAAAUAUUAAAAAUAUUAUAAAAUUUUAGCUAAAAGUUAUUAAAAUAUUAAAAAAAUGUUGAAAAUUAUACAAAAUAUAAAAUUUAUUAAAUAUCAUAAAAUUUUAAAAAAUUAUAAAAACUAUUAAAUAAGUUAUGAAAUAAUGGAAAUAUUAAAUUAAUAUUAUAAUAAAUUAAGAAAUGGUAGGAAAUGAUAUAAAACUAAUAAAAAUCUAUAAAAAUUAAUAAAAAGUUGUAAAAAUUUAUUGAAAGUAUAAAAAAUUUGAGUUAAGGUAGUGAUUGUAUAGACAUGAGUGUAUGAUAAAAAUUUUAUAUGCUUAAAAGUUAAUGACAUGAGUUUAUUUUAUUGGUGCCUUAAAAUAGGGCGUUUUACCUAAAUAUGCCCUUUAAAUAAUAUAAUUACGGAAAUAGACAGUUUUUUGUGUUAUUUAUCGGAUUAGGCCGUUUCCCACGAAAACGCAUCCACGUAAGUGCGAUUUCGGAGUACGUGUCAACAAAACGCUUCCCUAGGAAGCGCUUUGCCUGUGUAAUGGUCAAAUUUUUGACCGUUGGCUUCCAACAGUCCAAAAAAAACUAUAAAACCCACCCAAAUCAUUUUUUCUUACAAAUCUCUCAAAUUUCUAUAAUUCUCUAAAAAUUUCUUUCCCUUUAAUUAUUUUUCACACAAUUCUAUCAUAAUUCUCAACAUUCUUUUAAUAUUCCCUUAAAAAAUCUAUCAAAUUUCAUUGAAAUUUUCUCAAAAUUCUAUCAAAAUUCUAUCAAAAUUCUUUGUUUAAUUUUUUUUUGAAUUUAAUUUUUUUAAAUUAAAAAAAUUUGAUCGUGUUAGCAAUGGCCGGAUAAUUAAUCCGUCUCGAUAAUAAGCACAUCUCCUUGAUCAAAUGACAAUGGUAAGUGAUAAUUUUAAAUUUUCAAUACUAUUCGAUAUUAUUUUAAUUUAUGCAAAUUUAAUUAAAUUUGCAAUACUAUUUGAUAUUUUAUUCAUUUAUGCAAUUAUAAUUACAAUUUCAAUACUGCUUGAUUUUUUUUUCAUUUAUGAUGUUUGCAUUAAUUAAUUUAUACAAUUUUAAUUAAUUUUUGUUUUAUAGAUUUUUAUAAUAGUCUGUAGAUUGGGUGUUGCAAUGCUACAUCCGUAAUAUGUUUGGUCCUCCAUCGCCGUUGAUCGAGAAUUACUUGCAAGAAGCGGGAUUUUGGCACGUGGCCACGAUAGGUCGGGGGUGCAAGUUGGACCCGAAACUAAUCAGUGCAUUGAUAGAGAGGUGGAGACCCGAGACGCACACUUUUCAUCUUCCAUGCAGAGAGUGUACUAUCACUCUGGAAGACGUACAUUUGCAAUUGGGAUUGCCGGUAGAUGGGUACGCAGUCACCAAGUUCGCAUCAUCUACUGAUUGGGAAGCCAUAUGCUACGAGCUUUUGGGUGUUAUACCGGAUAAAAUUAACAGAGGUAAAAUAAAGAUGGAAUGGUUACGAGACACAUUCCCGGAGCCGAAUAAUGAUUCGACUGAACUCGAAAGAAUAUGUUAUGAUCGGCCAUAUAUUCUUGAGAUGAUUGGAGGUUAUUUGAUACCGGACUUGUUAAGAAACCUCGUACAUCUAAGAUGGCUGCUGAAACUCGUAGAUUUUAGAGCAGCCGACGAAUUGAGUUGGGGGUCUGCCGUGUUGGCAACAUUGUACAAGGCAAUGUGCGGGGCGACGCGACCGAACAAAGUCAAAAUAUGAGAUUGCAUGUCACUACUGCAAUCAUGGGCACGGUUUCGCUUUCCAUUUUUACGUUCUCGAGUCGACCACCCAUAUACAUUUCCACUCAUAACAAGGUAAGUUUUAUAUUAGAUUUUACAAUUAUUACGUAGAUUUAGAAUAUAAUUUUAUGCAAAAAAAUUAUUUAAUUAGGUGGAACCAUUCGAUGAGUUAUGUCGAAAUACCUACCUCUUUCGAAGAUAUAUGACUUUUAUUAGACCAACGAUCGGAAGCAGAAGUAAGUAUUAAAUAAAAUAUAUAUACAUAAUAAAAUAGUCGUUUCGUAUUUAGUAUUAUGUAUUAUGUAUAUAAGUAAUUCGGGCAGUAAUUCCGGAUGAAUUCUUUCAAAAUCCAAACGUUUGGCAUGUGAAGGUCCCAUUGGAGAACUAUGCUACCGUGGAGAUGCACCAGUCAGAUAGAGUAUUGCGGCAAUUUGGAUUCCGACAACCGAUUCUCGUGGCACCUGAGGUGUUUGAUGAUGAGCAUAAAGUUGACUUACGGCAACUGCAUAUGGAUUGGCCUAGAUUCUAGUCACACUAUAUCGAAAUGUGGGAAAAUCGGUAUGAUUAUAUACCUACUCGGGAACCGAUCAUUGUUCCAGAGUUAGCAUGCGUAGUAGAAUACAUGCCAUGGUUUAGGAUCCAUGGCAAGCCAUAUUUAUUGUCGAAAGAGGAAAUGAGACGACAAAUUCGUGCCCAAAGGGAACGACGGGGCCCUUUAAAUCCAAGAAGAAGGGACGACGACACAGGCCCAUCAACAGCACCCGCACAAUCAUCAGGCCCAACAGUUCAACGGACGACACCCACAUCACAGCCUGUUCAGAUUAUGCCAGGUACGUAUCCUUGCCCUUAUAUGUAUCCUAACCCUUAUAUGUUUCCUUUUCCUAGUCCUAUGGCAGGUUGGAAUCCAUGGCCCGGAUCAUCUCCGUUCCCGAUUACUCCGAGUCAACUUCUGAUCUAUAGGUCACCGUCACAUGAGGGAUCGCACGAGGCACCAUCAGGGAUCUCUUCUUUCUACCAAUCUCUAUCACAUUAUGGGAUUCAAACACCUCCGCCAUGGGUGACGCAAACACCGCCGUAAUUAUUAUUCUAUCAAGGUGGGUCAUCCUCCCAAUAGCCACAACUAGAUCCCCUGCCGGAGGAACCACAACCCUCGCCCGAAGCUGAUCUAAGGAGGAAUCCAGCACGGACCCGUCGACGACCUCCAUGUGGCACUGAUUCCGACCGCCACAGACAUUGAUUUUUUUAAUAUAUUUGUACAAACUUUUUUAUAUUGUUUCAUUUAAUAAAAAUAAAAGUUCUUUUGAAUAAGACAAUUGUAAUACAACAUAGUUUCAUUUAAUAAAAUAUAAAUAAUACAAAAUAGUUUUUUACGACAUCUAUCAACUAUUUCAAUUUGGACAUGAUCUACUUGUAUGACCUGGGUUCCUACACCAUCCGCACAACUUCUGAUUAUUGGUUGUUUCUCGGAUAUCUAUAUUGGUGUGUAUUCUAGUCGAGCAAGGUUGUCCCUUUGGUUUGCGACGCAAUUCUCUAUCCGGUAGCAGCUUAAACAGAGCAAGCGAUAUAGCCGGCCAGUUACGUUCAUCUGGGAUAGGUGGGAAUACGUGUAUCCACAUGUUGUACAUGGUUUAUAGUUUAAACAUUUCGUCGACUUAGCUCAUGGGAUCUAGACGGAGAUUUUGACAAACUGCAAUUACAUGAGCGCAUGGAUAACGAAGUGCGUCAAACCUCCCAUAGUCGCAAGUCCUAUUUCUCAAGUUUAUACGAUAUUGCCCGCCAAUAAUACCUUCGUACGAUCUGUCAAACUCCGUCACACGAAACCAUAGGUUGUCUCGAUCAUGACAGACUAUGUGCAUGGUGUUCGCCCGCGCCUUCACCUUGUUAAUUUCUUGCAAUACCUUUGUACACCAUAUACGGCCUCCUUACAUUUGACCUUUAUAACUCGCUGCUCACUUCGAAAAUAGUGCCGCUAAACGAAAAUAUGUCUCUCGAACAACCGAUGUUAUCAGCAAAUGACGUGUUCCUUUUAGAACAUAAUUUAUGCAUUCAGUCAGGUUUGAGGUUAUAGGACCAUAUCGUAGGCCGCCGUCGUAUGCUUGUGUCUACUGUUUGAAAGGUAUGUUACAGAGGUAGUCUGCGCCUUAUUCGUUAACUGAACGUAAAACCGCCAACAUCUCAUGAAAACGGUCCUUAUUUAUCUCAUACCCGCCAAUAUAAGUUGAUAGUGAAAAUUACAUACCAUUUUUCCAUUUAAAAUAAAUUCAAUAUUGCAAACGAAAUUACAUUAAUAGAUAUUAAAUACCCAUGUUGGUCACUUGUUGUUUUUCACUUAUAAAUCGAAAUUGCCCGUAGUAGUUGAACGCAACGUGCCUUAGGCAAUACCGAUAGUGUGUGCGAUGCCAUAGGCUUCAUUGUCGCUCAAUUGCGGCUAGUAUUCCGGUACCUCGAUUCGAUAUGACGCAAAUAUUAGGUUGGGGGCAGACAUGCCUUCUUAACCUAUAAAGAAAGAACUCUCAGUCAUCAACUGACUCCCCCGGUGUUAUUGCAAACUCAAGUGGAAGGAUUCUCCCACUGCCAUCCUGUGUCACAGCUAGCAAUAGUCGAUGGGUAUAUCUACCGUACAUAAAGGUACUGUCAAUUUGUACCAAUGGCUUGCAAUAUAAAAAUGCGUCAUGGCAUUGCUUAAAGGUUCAGAACAGACGCUUAAAUACUUGGCAUCCACGGAGUAAUCGGUCGUUGUAGUACGCAGGUUCCGUUUCAAGAUCUGUUACGCAACUUGGGACAUAUCUCUCCAGCACCUGACAUCACUGCCACACUUCAUUAUAUGAAGCAUCCCACCCACCAUGAAUCUUUUCCAACGCCUUUUGCUUAGCUAUCCAAGCCUUACGGUCAGAGGGUGUGUACCUCAACCAGCUAUGAAUAUUAGCAAUUAAGACCGGCACUGAAGUUCUGGGAUUGGCCUUCAUCAUCGGUAGUAUUAAGGUAGCUAACAUAUCUGAAUUCAUCCUGGGAUGAUCUUCUGAAAUACCUGUCAAUGAAGUACGUUAAAAAAUGCAACAGUACGUAAUAACAAUACCAUUAAAAAAAUCUAAAUGGUUAGUGAUACUAUACCGGCAGCACAUGUAUGUGGACCUUUGUACUUUUUUAUCUCCCACAAGCUUGUCUUUUUCCUUAACGAGGCCAUGAUUUUUCAUGAACAUGUAUCGUCUUGCACUGCACACUUGGCCUUAAACUUAUUGAAUUUGGAUUUAACCACGUUGUAGUUAACCCCGUUCAUGAUGCUAUGUUAUUUUAAUGCACCAAGAAAACUAUCUUUAUUGGAAAACUCCUUACCAACUUCUAAUUCACCUGAAUCUAAUGAGGAACUUGUACGAUCAUGCCUUUUGUAUGGUAGAUCUAGAAACUUCAACGCAUUAUCUUCAGAUAGAUCAACAUUAUGCAUGUGGGCUGGAGGCGAGUACGACUUGAAUUGUGGAUCUUCAUCAUCAUCAUCUAAACCCCCUUCAACAUUUUUAGGUAUGGUUGGAACAGUCUCUAGUUCAGAAAAUAAUGCAACUUCUGCACCAUCGGGGCUGGCCUCUCGAGGUGGAUCUGCAUCGGACUUAUUAUCUGACCCAUCAUCAUGUGCAACGUAAAAGGUCCCCUCGCCGGUGGACGUCAUAGGGAGUACAUCAUCCCUCCUUAUGGACGUUUCACAAUGUCUUCAAUCAGAUAUAGAUUGCCAACCACUAGAAGUUGAUGUCAUUCUCCAGUACGUAUUUCUAGCAUCAAACAUCGACCCACUGAGGUGCAUGUCUCAUCCACUAACGGAGUGUCGUGCAGGGGUCAGGUAUUUCAUACUGCUACUAAACAUGGGCACUUCCGUGUUUUGCCACCCACUAAUGGAGUGUCGGGCAGGGGUCAUGUAUUCCUCUCGGCCAGCAGUAAAUGUUGAAGCUACAAAUGCAUCAUUUGGCGAUGAAAAAUUAUACAUAUAACUUAAGAUAGAGUGAUCCACUAGCGAGAUGAGUCUGCACCAUUGCCUCCAAGCUACGAGCGCCUUUGAUGUCAAAUGAGUCAUAUGUCACAGGAUCAACUGAAGCACAAAAUCGAUACUUAAUAGACAAAACUUUCAUUGGCGUCGUUCUGAAGAUUUUGCGCCUAAUUCUUUUACGAAGUUCUGUCAAAUCUAUGUUCUGGUUAAAAACCAGUCUCGUUGUAUUCUCCGAUAAAAAAAACAACACCGUUCUCGGUGUUACAGACCUCACCAUCAUAGUAAAUAACAACACUAAUACGUUCACUCAUCUUCAAUUUCUUUUCUUCUUAGCCUUUCUAAUUUUUUUUGUUGUAAGUUAUGCAACUUGAGAAUAAAAUUUGGCUCAUUUAUAACCUCAUUUUUUUACGAACUACUGUAGCAAAAGAGCGUCCACGUGGGAGCUUUUUCUAGAAAUUUUGUUGACAGUGCAUCCUGCUUGAAGCAUUUUCGGCACUAUUUAUUCAGAAACGUCUACUUAGAAUUAUUUUUCUACGAACUACUGUAGCAAAAGAGCGUCCACGUGGGAGCUUUUUCUAGAAAUUUUGCUGACAGUACAUCCUGCUUGAAACGUUUUCGGCACUAUUUGUUCAGAAACGUCUACUCAGAAUUAUUUUUCUAUGAACUACUGUAGCAAAAGAGCGUCCACGUAGGAGCUUUUUCUAGAAAUUUUGCUGACAGUGCAUCCUGCUUGAAGCGUUUUCAGCACUAUUUUUUCAGAAACGUCUACUCAGAAUUAUUUUUCUACGAACUACUGUAGCAAAAGAACGUCCACGUGGGAGCUUUUUCUAUAAAUUUUGUUGACAGUGCAUCCUGCUUGAAGCGUUUUCCAACACUAUUUUUCCAGAAACAUCUGCUCAGAAUUAUUCUUGCAGAAACCCUAAACCUUAAAACCUAUGACAAAAAAAAUUAUAUUGCUUAUAUGUUUUUUCUAAUACCCUAAACACAAUUUAUUUUAAAAAACUAAACCCUAAUCCUUAAUUUAAUGAAUUAAUCCUAAUACACUCUAAUUUAGUAUUUAAAAUUAAUAGUUAAUUUAAUGAAUUAACCCUAAAAUCCUAAAUCCUAAUUCAAUUAUUUUUUUCUCGAAACCCUAAACUUAGGAUAGCGCCAGUAUGUAUAUAUGCUACAAUUAUAUUAUCUUUGAGAAUUUUUUUCUUGUAUGUAUCAAUUAACCUUAAAUUUAAUCAAUUAACCCUAAACCUUAAAUCAAUCCAUAAUUUAAUCAAUUAACUUUAAUACCCUAAACUCUAAUUUAAUAUUUAGUAUUUAAAAUUAAUAGUUAAUUUAUAAUCCAAUUCAAUUAAUUUUUUCUUAAAACCCUAAAUCCUAAAACCCUAAACCCUUACAAAACCCUAACAUCGAAUCAUAAAAAUCCUAACCCUAAAUCAAUUAAAUAAUAAAAUCCUAACUCUAAAAAAAAGGGCAAAACGCUCCCCCAGGGAAGCGUUUUGCUGAUACGUACUCUGAAAUCGUGCUUACGUGGAUGCGUUUCCGGUAAAUAACGUAAAAAACAGCCCAUUUCCAUAAUUAAAUUAUUUAAAGGGCAUAUUUGGGUAAAACGCCCCUCAAAAUAUUCAUUUUUAGUAUAAUCUUAAUAUAAUUUAUUUCUAUAAAUAUUAAUAUAUACAAUUUUUUAGAUCGUUAUGAUAGAAAAGUCAAAUCGAUUAAAAAUUUUACAUUCAUGACAAGUGAUAAUUUUAAUAAAAUGAUUUUUUUUAAAAAAAUAAAGAAUUUUUUUUAUGGGCUACAUAAAAGAAUAUUGAUCACUCUUCAAGAUUGGUUUUUUUUAUAUCCUUUUGCAUAUAUUUUAGUAGAUAAGGGAGAUAUUAUUUUCUUAACGCCUCUGGUUUCUGUAGGGCUGAAUUUUUCAUUCAGUCAAUGACAUGAAUUUCAAAAUAGGAUGCCUAUUUAAUUUUUGUAAAUACAAAUGAUUGUACCAAAAAAUAAUACAAGUGAUUGUAAUUUGUAUGCAUAUAUAUUUGAAUAAUUUCUUAUCAUAUCUGUUCUCUUUGAUAUAAUACUAAAUAUUAUCCAUAGUUCCUUUUUAACUCAUAAAUAGGAGAAUAAUGCGAUUCAGCGUAUUCAAAUCCAUGUCGUCUUGCAUUAAAAAAAUACUUAUACUAAUCGAAUCAAGGCUCAAUCGACAACUUGCAUAAUUCAUGCGAGUGGUGAUUAUUAAAAAGUAGCAUUCAAUAAAUUUAAUAUUUGAAUAUUAAUAUUAAUAAUUGUUUCUGCUAUUUUAGAUUGCAACAGGUCAAGAAUUCGUGCUGGUUUUUUUUUUUUAAAAAUGUUUCUGGAGUAUAUAUAUAUAUAUAUGAAAAGGAUGCGGUCAAAUUUAUUAGGAGCCACUCUCGAAGGGUUUUAUCGUAUGAUAGAAUACAAUAACUGUGUUUGUUAAAAUUGGAAUUUAAGAUGGUGAAAAGGAGGAUAGCCUCUCUUAGACUUAACCUUUUGUACAUUAUGGAUGUAGUGAGUCUCUUGGUAGUAAUUUUUUAGUUGACCGGAGUUUACUGUCAGCCUUUUGUACAUCAUGAAUGCGGUGGGUCUCUUGACCGUGAUUUUUUGGUUGACUGGAGUUUAUUGUCAAAUUAGUCUGAUGAUGGCAGGAUCAAGAUUAUGAAUUUCUGAUUUGUUUUUGCAUUCUUUUAGCGUUACAAUUAUUUUCUAAACAUAAUAUUUGAGCACCAGUUUGUAAUUUACUAUAUCUCAUAUUUUUAUAUUCUUAUUAUUCAUUAUUUCUAUUAAUGAUAUAUUUUCUUUAAAAAAAUUGCUUCCGCCAUAGUACAAGAAAAGUAAUAUGAAAUAGACGAUAAGACUGAAGUAAAUUUCUUUUUCAAAAUAAAAAGCAUGCAUGCAUGCAUGAGAAUUAUUCAUCACCAUGUGCUAAAGACUUGGACUGUUUGUCAAAGUUUUCUUCAAAACAAUCGUAUAAUUUAUAAUAGAUGGGUAUAUAUAUAAACAGAGUCAGGCCACCCAAAGAAGAAAAAAAAUUAACAUGAUAUCAUCUUUUUUUAUUGCCCAGUAUUUAUUUAGCAAAUAUUGACUGUUAUAUUGUCAUGAUUAGACCAUAUUAUUUUUGGACAAGUGAGGCACGAAUAUUAAGUGUCCACUUACUCAAAACAAUUGGAAAAGAACAAGGUCAAUCCCAAACAAGUAGAAAUUGUAGUCAAUGUUCAUAUUUCCAGCUUACACCAACAAGUUAUCUAGUAAAUACGUCAUGUUUGGAUUAAAAUCUUUAAUUAUAGACAUAUAUAUAUAUAUAUAAAAUAUAAUAUAACUAUAAAGUGUGAUAUAAAAUUAAGUAACUAAGUAUGUUAAACGUGUCAUGAUAAUAAAGAGUAGAUACUAUAAGUUGUAUUUAUAAUUUAAUGAGGGGCCAAAUUAUAAUUACCUAAAAUUUAUUUAAUAAUCAAUUAUUUGAAGAGGCAGUUGUCUCCAAGAAAGAGUGCUAUCUCAUUUUUUUUUUCAUCCCUAUCAGAGAGUUAUACUAAGAGAUAAACUAUUUUCUUGAAAUAUCAAAACUUUUUGGCUAGUUUCCAACAAAAGUCAAAACCUUUUGAAUAAUCACUCUUAACGGAUUCAGGUAUGCUUCCUUAUAUAAUUUUGACCUAAAUCACCUUUUUAACACAUAAAUACCUCUAAAUUUUAAAUUAUAGGACAAAACUUUAAAAUUUUAUCAAAUAAUAUGAAAAGUAUAAAGCAAAGCUCAUUUUCUUAAAUUAAGUCUAGAAAUUCUACAAAUCGAAUUAUGAUGGACUCUUGACCCCAACCGAACUUAUUACCCCUUAUCUUGUGCGACUCCAUUCCAUACAAGUGGUGUUGGUGGAUCAAACAUGGUGAAACCAGGCUCUUUGUGAACAUCUAAGCUGGCUAACACAUCCGUUUGCAAAGUUCCUUGAUAUCUCUAACCAGUCGACGCAUAUCGUUUCCAUCAACAAAAUCCUGAUCUAACAAAUUAACUGCAAAGUUCCUUGGACAUUUCGACAUCCCCAAUCUCAUGCCACGUACAGGUCAUCCAUGGUACCCACAAUUAUGCAUGAAGUACAUUGCAAAUCCCAAUGGAAAGACUGAAGCCAAUAAUCCAUUACCCUUGACAGCCUCUAAGUAAACCACUAGUGUCACGGACUUAAGAUUCUUGCCUCAAAAUCCGUGCGGCCUUAGGCAGUUUCUUACUCCAAAAAUGCCUAAGUCAGCCUAACUUCCACAAAAGAAGGAUUCAACAGAAUUCCUCCCAAAAACACAACUCAAGCGAAAGCAACUCAAAGCCAACAAGAUGAAAGAAGAAUGAGACAAGAACAAGCCAGGGAAAAUAAGAACACAAGAGAGAAAAGUUUGAGUGAAUGCUCUCAAGGAUUCUUCUUACUCAAAACUCAAGUGAUUUACAAUGAGGGAAGAGGUCUCUUAUUUAUAGUUGAGCCUCCCCAAAUCCAACGGUACAAAAUUAAGUACAUUAACGGCUAUGAUUAAAGGGCACCUACCACCAAAUCUUUAAGAAUAUAAAAUCAUAUCUUCUAAGAUUACAUAUCUUAUCUAAGAUAUGUAAUCUUAUAAAAUAAUAUCUUAUAUUUGUCUAACUUGUAGAUGGGCCUUCAAUCUCUUCAAGCAACGGGCCGGUCCGAUUGGGCCAAAUGACCUCCUUCCUUUUUGAUGGUUCACACAGAUGUGUCAUGGUUGCGGGCUCCUAUGCGCAACCCAUGACAUUUUCCCCCACCAAAUCUAACGACGCCCUCGUCGCGUCCUCUGCAUGGUAUCGAUCUAUCUUGUCUUGGAAUUGCCACAAGGCUUCAACAGGUUCCCAACUCAUCUCACUAUCCGGGAAUCCCUUCCAUCGAACUAAGUAUUUGCGCCGCGGUCGGUAGUACUUACGUCUGACCACACGAUCCGCUUCGAUGUUCUCGACCUCUCGAUCUUAGGCGACUUUUACCCCCAUUGGUGCUCGUUCAGACUUGCUUCGAUUUGGGUCUUCUCCAUCUUCAUGGAAUGGCUUAAGCAUACUCACAUGGAAUACUGGAUGAACUUUAAGCUUUUCAGGCAACUCGAGCUUGUAGGCCACCUUGCCUACCUUCUUCACAAUUCGAAAUGGCCCCUCAUACCGCCGAACGAGUCCUUUGUGUAACCCAUCAUGUCGCAAAAUCAGGUGUAGUUUGGCAAGAACUGGUUCACCUACCUGAAAUUGUACGUCCCUUCGAUUUCGAUACGCCCAUUUCUUUUUGCGCUUACUUGCCUUAUGUAGACAAGCUCUACCUAGAUCGUUUUGCUCUUGCCAAUCCCUCGCAAAUCGAUAAGCUGCUGGAUUCGGUCCCGCAUAACGAGUUGCAACUGCAUUGGGUGUAAGCGGCUGUUGCCCCGUCACUAUCUCAAAUGGACUCUUGUUCGUUGCCCCACUUUGUUGUAAGUUGUACGAAAACUGGGCCACAUCCAACAACUUUGGCCAAUUCUUUUGUGUUGCACUUACAUAGCGUCGAAGAUACGUCUCCAACAAUGCAUCCACUCGUUCGGUUUGCCCAUCAGUUUGAGGAUGCAUGCUAGUGGAAAAGUUUAAGUCUGAGCCCAUUAACUUGAACAACUCUGUCCAAAACCGACCCGUGAAUCGCCCAUCUCGAUCACUGAUGAUAGACUGUGGUACUCUCCAAUACUUCACUACAUGUUUAAGGAAUAAGCGAGCUGCCUCCUCAGCAGGACACUCUUUGGUUGCGGGGAUGAAAGUUGCAUACUUCGAAAACCUGUCCACCACAACAAAAAUACUCGCAAAUCCAUCAGAUUUAGGCAAGCCUGUGAUAAAGUCCAUGGACAAGCUCUCCCAUGGGCGCUCCGGAAUGGGCAAUGGUUGUAACAAACCAGCAGGGGCUUUCAACUCAACCUUAUCUUGUUGGCAUAUUAAACAAGUUUUCACAUAGGUCUCCACAUCAUCACCCAUGUGAGGCCAAUAAAAUCGAUCCUCCAAUAGAGCCAAGGUGCGGUGUAUUCCUGGAUGGCCAGCCCAUUUUGAAUCAUGACAUUCCUUCAUGACUUCCCUUCAUAAAUUCUUAUGUUUAGGCACAUAUAGACGUUACCCAUGAGUGUAUAGCAAUUCCCCCUCGAGCCAAAAUCGCCUCGUCUUUCCAUCUCUAGCAAGCUCCAUUAGAUUUUUAGCCGUGGGAUCAAGGGACAGUCCUUCUUGAAUGCGCUCUAAUAAGGGACUCUCAGGUUGGCUUAUCGUUGCGAAUUCCAUUUUUCGGCUAAGUGCAUCGGCCACAAUGUUGGCACUCCCCGGCUUGUAUUCCAUGCUAAAAUCAAACUCUGCUAGGAAAACCUGCCAACGAGCCUGCUUGGGGGACAACUUUUUUUGGGUUAAGAAAUAGCUAUUUGCAACAUUAUCAGUGAAUACCACAAACCUGAAACCCAGCAAGUAGUGUCUCCAUGUGCGCAAACAAUGCACCACUGCCGUCAUCUCUUUUUCUUGGACCGUGUAUCUCCGUUCCGUCUCGUUAAGCUUUCGACUCUCGAAAGCAAUCGGAUGCCCAUCUUGCAUCAACACCCCUCCAAUCGCAUACUCCGAAGCAUCUGUGUGUACCUCAUACGCCUUUGAAAAAUUGGGCAAUGCGAGUACAGGCUCACUCGUCAUCGCUUGCUUCACUUGGUUGAAGGCUUUCUCACACCGAAGGUCCCAAUCCCACACUUUGCCCUUUUUCAACAGGUCCGUCAAGGGUGUAGUGAUCUUGGAAUAGCCCUCAAUGAAGCGACGGUAGUAAUUUGCUAAUCCAAGGAAAGACCGUAACUCCGUCACCUUGGUUGGUGACUCCCAAUCGGCAAUUGCUUGAAUUUUUCUUUCAUCCAUUCGAAUCGUGCCCCCUCCCACAAUAUGGCCUAGAAAUGGCACUUCUCGUUGGGCAAAGGAGCAUUUCUCCUUUUUGACAUAUAGCUCAUUUUCUCGUAGAGUUUGGAACACCUCCCCCAAGUGUCCCACAUGCUCUUCGAGCGUCUUACUAUAUACCACAAUAUCGUCAAGAUAAACAACCACAAAACGAUCCAAGAAAGGUUGUAAUACCUUAUUCAUUAGGGUACAAAAUGUGGCCGGAGCAUUUGUCAACCCGAAUGGCAUCACCAAGAACUCAAAGGACCCAUACCUAGUUACACAGGCUGUCUUGGGUUCAUCCCCUUCGGCUAUUUUCACUUGGUGGUACCCCGAUCGUAAAUCCAACUUAGUAAACCAUCUCGCGCUACCAAGUUGAUCGAACAAAUCUGCAAUAAGAGGAAUGGGAUACCUGUUUUUUAUAGUGAUUUUGUUUAAGGCCCUGUAGUCGAUGCACAUUCUCAAAGAUCCAUCAUGCUUCUUUUGAAAUAACACAGGUGCGCCGAACGGGGCUUUAGAUGGUCUAAUGAACCCGGCAUCUAAAAGCUCUAUCAACUGCUUCCGCAAUUCCUCUAGUUUCGGUGGAGCCAUCCGAUAUGGUGCCCUUGCUGGUGGUUCAGCAUUGGGCAACAACUCAAUCUUGUGGUCCACCUCCCUCUUAGGUGGUAAUCUUUUGGGCAACUUUACGGGCAUUACAUCUUGAAAUGACUUUAGCAACCGUUCCACUUCCUUUGGAAUUUCCACCUCGAAUUUAUCAUCCAUAUUGUCUCUCAAGGUAGCUAGGUAGGAGACUUCAUUUCGACGGACUCCUUUGGCAAAUUGAAUUGCCGACAAGGUUUUUCCCUCUAUGCUUCCUUUCCUUUUCAUUCUCACCAUAUAUCGUUGAUUUGCAUCGGAGAUGGUCAUGUAGUUCUCGGAAGGGUGAAUAUCCGCAUUAAGCCUGUCAAGUAAACUUAAUCCAACUACAAAAUCGUAAUCAUCAAGUGGGAUUACUUUAAUGGUCGCUUUGCCCGUCCACUCACCAAGUUUGAGUUCUACCCCUUUUGCCGCACCCGUUAUGGGAAUGCUUUCUGAAUUCACCGUUUUGAUUCGUCCCGAAUCUUUCUCGAUUCUAAGGCCAAGUUCCUUUGCCAUUUCUUUAGACAUGAAUAAAUCAGAUGCACCAGUAUCAACAAGUGCAUUCAAUCUUCUGCCAGCUACGAUGAUGUCCACAAACAUCAACCCAUUGCUUGACUUCUCUUCGACACCUCCUAAUAUCGAAUUGAGGCUUUUGGUGUCAUCUUCGGCUUCUUCGCGUGCCUCCAUGGCAUGAAAAGCGGCUUUCUUUGGACAGACACUCAUUCUAUGUGGGCCUUGGCAAAGAAAGCACUUCAUUGGUCCUUUUCUAUCCCAAUGCUUACCUUGACUAGACUUUGGGCCUUCGUCGUUGUUUUCCCUUUGAUCAUUGUUUCCCCCACCAUUGUCUUUGGGUUUCGACUUGGGUUUGUAAGAAUCAUUAUUAUCAAACUUUCUUCCCCUAACAUCAUAGAAAUUUUCUACCUUGGCCAUAGCUUCGGUCAAUUCGGUGAUAUCUAGGCGACGCAACUCUUGCUUGGCCUACAUUUUUAAACCAUCCUCGAACCAAUAGAAUGCUUCUUUCUCAUUCAAGUCUGAGAUCUGAAGCAUCAACUCGCUGAAUUCCUGAACAUAAUCUCGAAUAGUGCCUUGUUGCGUAAGCCGAUGCAACUUAGCACGAGCCUCCUUUUCGGCAUGUUGUGGAUAAAAUUGCUUCUUCAACUCUCUUUGGAACUCCUCCCAAGUUCCAAUGGUCGUUCCUCCACGUUUCUCAUCCGUGGACCUACGUCUCCACCACAAGAGAGCAACAUCAGAAAAGUAAAUUGAAGCGAUGUUUACCUUGGUGGCAUCAUCCUCAAUGCCAAUUGCUCGAAAAUAUUGCUCCAAUUCCCACAGGAAGUUGUCCACUUCUCUUGCGGACCUAAUCCCCUUGAACUUCUCGGGUUUUGGAAUAUCCACAUGACGUUGCUUCGGUCCUGAAGCCAACAUCCCACUUCCCAAGGCAACCUUACAGAUUCUGAGCUCCCCCUUAAGCUCAGCAAUCUCUUCCUUCAUGGCAGUCAGCAGGGCCUCAAGAGCUUCGUCCCUCCCUGUCAGUUUGUCCGAAGUGGAUCUGAGGGAGUCCAACACAAACUCCUUGCUAUCUUCCCUCAGUUCAUCCAUACGGGUUAGGACCACUUCGAGUGUUUCCUUCAUGUCACCAACGGACUCCUCGAGAUUAACCACUCGAAUUUCCAAGCUCGACAGCAUAUCCCUCGAUCGACUAGCCUUUCUAGCCCUCCCACGGGUCUCCAUUGGCUCAUUCUGAUCAACAACUUCUUUCGACAUAUCUUAAAAGUGCUUUCGAACUGGCUCUGAUACCAACUGUCACGGACUUAAGAUUCUUGCCUCAGAAUCCGUGCGGCCUUAGGCAGUUUCUUACUCCAAAAACGCCUAAGUCAACCUAACUUCCACAAAAGAAGGAUUCAACAGAAUUCCUCCCAAAAACACAACUCAAGCGAAAGGAACUCAAAGCCAACAAGAUGAAAGAAGAAUGAGACAAGAACAAGCCAGGGAAAAUAAGAACACAAGAGAGAAAAGUUUGAGUGAAUGCUCUCAAGGAUUCUUCUUACUCAAAACUCAAGUGAUUUACAAUGAGGGAAGAGGCCUCUUAUUUAUAGUUGAGCCUCCCCAAAUCCAACGGUACAAAAUUAAGUACAUCAACGGCUAUGAUUAAAGGGCACCUACCACCAAAUCUUUAAGAAUAUAAAAUCAUAUCUUCUAAGAUUACAUAUCUUAUCUAAGAUAUGUAAUCUUAUAAAAUAAUAUCUUAUAUUUGUCUAACUUGUAGAUGGGCCUUCAAUCUCUUCAAGCAACGGGCCGGUCCGAUUGGGCCAAAUGACCUCCUUCCUUCUUGAUGGUUCACACAGAUGUGUCAUGGUUGCGGGCUCCCAUGCGCAACCCAUGACACUAGCCUCUGAUUUACUCUUCUUGCCUCUUACAACACCGUCAUAAUUCACCUUCAUCCACCCAAUUAGCGGUGGUUUUCACCCAACCGAAGCUAGUUGUUUAUCUCGUCAAUUCUAAAAUCAAAUUAAAAAUUUAAAUCAAUUUUAAAAUUAGAUUAAAAAGUCAAUUUAACCCAAAAAGUUCAAAUAAGCCCCUAUUUUAAUAAAAUUAAGUUCAAAUUUGAAAUCUCAAACAAAAUUAGGUGUCCAAAAUUUCCAAAAUGAAUUACCAAAAUUUAUAAACUUAUAUCCUUAAGACAUUUUGGUUUAUACCACAAAUUCUAAGACAAUACCAAAAUUUCUAAAGUAAUAGUUAGAAUUUGUGAUAUACUAAAAUUUCUAAGAUAGUAUAUCAAAGAUAUUAUGUUAUAUACCACAAUUUUAAGGGAAUACCAAUAUUUCUAAGAAAUCUCAUUAGAAAUUUUGGUAUAUCAAAUCAUGUUACACAAGCUUUUACCAAAAUUUUUAAGAGUUCAACUUUAGAUAUUUUGAUAUAUACCACAAUUUCAAAAGUAUAUAUCAAAAUUUCUAAGGAACCUCGUUAGAAAUUUUGGUAUACCAAAAUCAUGUUGCACAAGCUAAUACCAAGAUUUUUAAUGGAUUGCUAAAAUUUCUAAGCGCAUAUCUUUAGAUAUUUUGGUAUACCCAAAUCGCGUUAUAAAAGCUUUUACCAAAAUUUCUAAGAGAAUAGUAAUAUUUCGAAGAAACCUCGCUAGAAAUUUUGAUAUAUAAAAAUCAUGUUACACAAGCCUAUACUAAGAUUUCUAAUAAAAUACCAAAAAUUCUAAGCACAUAUCUUAGAUAUUUUAUCAUAUGCCUCAAUUUCUAAGGGUACCAAUAUUUCUAUGGAACUUUUUAGAAAUUUUGGUAUGCUAAAAUCAUUUUACACAAGAUUUGACCAAAAUUUCUUAGAGCUUAACCUUAGAUAUUUUUAUAUGUAGCGCAAUUCUUAAGGGAAUAUCAAUAUUUCUAAACAGCCUCGUUAGAAAUUUUGGAAUACUAAAAUUAUGUUACACAAGCCUAUAUUAAUAUAUUUAAUGAAAUACUGAAGUUUUUAAGAGCUUAUCUUUAGAUGUUUUGAUAUAUACCACUUUUUGCAAGGGAAUACUAAUAUUUCUAUGGAACCUUGUUAAAUAUUUUAGCAUACCAAAAUCUGGAUUUACAAACUUAUAUCAAGAUUUCUAACAAAAUACCAAUAUUUUUAAUAACAUAUCCUUAAAUAAUUUGAUAUAUUCCAAAAUUUAUAAUGGAAGACCAAAAUUUUUAUAACUUUCAAUGAACUACGAUUCUUGGUCAAUCUAUAUAUCUAUAUAUAUAUAUAUGAAAGGAAAAACAUCUUCCUUUUCCUAACGGCGGAGUCAAGUAGAGGUUUAGGGGGCUAUCACCUCCCAAAGUUUAAUUUUUUUUUUAAUUUAGUCUUUUGUAAAUAUCCUAUGGCUCUUCCUAAAAUAUAAGUAGAUCCUCCCAAAGUUUAAGAUUUUUGUAAUUUCCUCCUUUCCAUAUAUAUUAUAGUUCUCCUAAAAAUAUAAAUAGGUUCCUCCAAUAUUUUUAUAGUAUUAAAAAUAAUAUUAAAAAAAUUAUUCUUGAUAAAAAUAAAGGAAAGUCUUAUUGAAGAAGCUAAAUUACUCAUGAUGACUUUUGAAUGAUAUUUUUGUUAAAAAAUAAUAAAUCGAUUGUUAUAUUGGAAUAUAGCUUCUUUUGAAUCGAUUGUUAUAUUGGAAUAUAGCUUCUUUUGAAUCGAUUGUUUAUAUGUUUAAAUCGAUUGUUACGUAGCACGUCUAAUUUUAGCUUGGCCCCCUCCAAAAUUAACAUCUUAUCUUUGCCACUGCCUACAAUACUUCUUUUGUUUUGUAUUCUAUAGAAAAAGUUAAAUUUCAAUUUUAUUAAUUAGUUCAACAUAAUUUGGUUUCUAUAUAUUGAUAUAAUAUUAUUAAUUAGUUCAAAUAAUUAAUAUUUUUAAAUUUUCAAUUAAAACAUUAUAUGGUUAUAUAUAAUUUGAACACCUUAGUAGUCUUGGAGGUUAACAUACAACUUAUUGUUUCAUUUAGGUUCGUGUCAAUUUUUUUAACAUUAUAAGAUAAUGGUCAAAUUUUAUUUUUGGCUUCUAGACUAUGUUAAAACUUGAGAUUAAUCUAUAUGCUUUAAUAUUUUACAAAAUUUAGGUCAUCUACUUUUACAAUGUCAUUAGUUGGUCUAAAUAAUUAAUAUUAUUAACUAUUUUAAUCAAAAUGCUGGCGUAAAUUUUUCUUGAGAACAUUAUUCCAAGAAGGAAAAAAUAUAUUUUCUUGAAUUUAAAUGAGUGUUUUUAAGAGAAACUCCUAGUCAAUAUUUUUAACAUUAUUUUUAUUGAGAAUUUUUUUAUUUCAAAAUGUCCACCAGAGAAUUUAAUAUAAUCAUUUUAUCGAUGGUAACAACUUAGCUAAAUUUUUAAAUUUGAAAAGUAGAUAAUUAUGUUCUUAAAAAUAAAAGUAAGACUAAAUUUUAAAUGUAUAAAGUGUAUAAGGACUUAGAGUAUAUUUUAACCUUCAAAUUUUUACUCUAUAAUUUUACACAAAUAAAUAAUUAACUCAAUGUGAAGCAUGGGAUGAGAACCAUAUUAGUAUUUUUCAAAAGUUGCUUUCAAAUGCUUUAAAAGUUGUCAAGUAUUUUACAUUAGGGCAAAAAAAGAGUAAACUACACUCAAAGUCACUAAACUACUAGUAAAUUUAACGUUUAGGUCACUCGACUUUAGAAAGUUAUAAAAUGAUCAUUGAACUAUUAGAAAGUUUUUAUUUAACUUGUUGGACUGUUAAAAUCGUUGAUGUAUGGCCUUCCUAUUUGCACCGCAGACACCAAUUGAAAGCUUUCAUUCACUUUCUCUUCUACAGUUCAUUUUUUUCAUGAAACAACUUUGAACGUGACAAAUCUGUGAACAAAAAUCCAAACAACUUUCUUCUUUAAUCUCUGACACUAACUAUCAGAUCAACUUGAAUAUAAUGUAUAUCCUUCUACUCAUCAAUUGAUACAGAUCCAUCGUUGAACCAUUGCUUAAAGCUUGCUAGCCUGACCUUUUUAAAAAAAUAAUAACUUUAUAACCUAAUGACUUAAAUUAAAACAUUCAAAAAUAGUUCAGUGACUUAAAUGAGAAUGACUAUUCUGUAACAUUUUAAAGUUGAGUGAUCUAAAUAUAAACUUACCAAUAAUUAAGUUAUCUUUGGUGUAGUUGGUGUAGUUAAAGACCAAAAAUUUCUAUAACGACUUUCAAUGAAUUACAAUUCUUGGUCAAUCUAUAUAUAUAUAUAUGAAAGGAAAAACAUCUUCCUUUUCCUGCUAGAUGGCACACUACAAUCAACGGCGGAGUCAAGUAGAGGCCUAGGGGGCUAUGACCUCCCAAAGUUUAAAUUUUUUUUUAAUUUAGUCAUUUGUAAAUAUACUAUGGCCCUUCCUAAAAUAUAAGUAGAUUCUCCUAAGAUUUAAGACUUUUGUAAUUUCCCCCUUUUGUAUAUAUAUUAUAGUUCUCUUAAAAAUAUAAAUAGGCCCCUCCAAUAUUUUUAUAGUAUUAAAAAUAAUAUUAAAAAUAUAUUCUUGAUAAAAAUAAAGGAAAAUCUUCUUGAAGAAGCUAAAUUACUCAUGAUGACUUUUGACUGAUAUUUUUGUUAAAAAAUAAUAAAUCAAUUGUUAUAUUAGAAUACUGCUUCUUCUGAAUCGAUUGUUUAUAUAUUUAAAUCGACUGUUACGUAGCAUAUUUAAUUUGAGCUUGGCCCCUUCCAAAAUUAAUGUCAUGUGUCUGCCACUACCUAUAAUACUUCUUUUGUUUUGUAUUCUAUAGAAAAAGUUAAUUUGAAUUUUGGUUCAUCUAAUAUGCCUAAAUUUGAUAUUUAAUAUAUAUACUUUAAUUUCUAACAUAAUUUGGUUUCUAUAUAUUAUUAUAAUAUUAUUAAUUAGUUCAAAUAGUUAAUAUUGUUAAAUUUUCAAUUAAAACAUUAUAUGGUUAUAUAUAAUUUGAACACCUUAAUUGUUUUGGAGGUUAACAUACAGUUUCUUGUUUCAUUUAGGUUCGUGUCGAUUUUUUUAACAUUAUAAGAUAAUGGUUAAAUUUUAUUUUUGGCCUCUAGACUAAUUCUUGGCCACUAGACUAUGUUAAAACUUGAGAUUAAUUUAUAUACUUUAAUAUUUUACAUAAUUUAAGUCAGCUACUUUUAUAAUGUCAUUAGCUGGUCUAAAUAAUUAAUAUUAUUAACUAUUUUAAUCAAAAUGCUGGCGUAAAUUUUUCUUAAGAACAUUAUUCUAAGAAGAAAAAAAAUUAUUUUCUCGAAUUUAAAUGUUGUUUUUAAGAGAAACUCCUAAUCAAUAUUUUUAACAUUAUUUUUAUUGGGAAUUUUUUUAUUUCAAAAUGUCCACCAAAGAAUUUAAUAUAAUAAUUUUAUCGAUGGUAACAACUGAGCUAAAUUUUUAAAUUUGAAAAGUACAUAAUUAUGUUCCUAAAAAUAAAAGUAAGACUAAAUUUCAAGUGUAUAAAGAGUAUAAGGACUUAGAGAGUAUAUUUUAACCUUCAAAUUUUUACUCUACAAUUUCACACAAAUAAAUAACCAACUUAACCUCAAGCAUGGGAUGAGAACCAUAUUAGUAUUUUUCUAAAGUUGCUUUCAAAUGCUUUAUAAGUUAUCAAGUAUUUUACAUUAAGGCAAAAAAAAAAGAGAGUAAACUACACUCGAAGUCACAAAACUGCGAGUAAAUUUACGUUUAGGUCACUCAACUUCAGAAAGUUAUAAAAUGAUCAUUAAACCAUUCAAAAGUUUUUAUUUAACUUGUCGGACUGUUAAAAUCGUUGAUGUAUGGCCUUCCCUAUUUGCACCGCAAACACCAAUUGAAAGCUUUCAUUCACUUUCUCUUCUACAAUUUUCUUUUCAUGAAACAACUUUGAUCGUGACAAAUCUGUAAACAAAAAUCUAAAAAACUUUCUUCUUUAAUCUCUAACACUAACCGUUAGAUCAACUUGAAUAUAAUGCAUAUUCUUCUACUCAUCAAUUGGUACAGAUCCAUCGUACUGGUCGUUGAACCAUUGCUUAAAGCUCAAUAGCCUGGCCUUUUAAAAAAAAAAACUUUAUAACCCGGUGACUUAAAUUAAAACAUUCAAAAAUAGUUCAGUGACUUAAAUGAGAGUGACCAUUCUGUAACAUUUUGAAGUUGAGUGAUCUGAAUAUAAACCUACUAAUAAUGUAGUUAUCUUUGGUGUAGUUUACCCAAAAAUAUAUAUUAUAUAUCGUUAAAAUAUGUCAUAAGUCCCUAUAUUAUUCAUAAUUUUGAAAUUUAAUCUAUCUUAAUUUCCAGAAAUUUAAUCCCUAUACUUUAAAGAUUUUUCAAAAUUCAAAUUCAAUUGUUAACAUUGUUAAAAUUAUUUUAUUAAAUUCAUGUUCAUUAUAACAUUACAUUGCUAUCAAGUGAGUAUUUUUUUUAAAUGUCACACCAACAAAUUUAAAAUAAAAAUAUCGUUAACAAUUGUACCAAUAUUUUAAAAUCUCAAUAGUAGAGGAAUUAAAUUCUUGAAAAUAAAAAGUAUAAAAAUUAAAUUUGAAAUUUAUGAAGAGUACAAAUAUUUAUGACAUAUAUAAACCUAUAUAUAAUAAAAGAAAGGAAAAAACAAAAAUACCAACUAGUGUUAAUGAUAACAUAUUGCAUUUUCAAAGGAAGAUAUAAGUUCGAAUCUUAAACACAACAUAGUUAGUAGAAGCAGCCACAAAUACGAACAUAAAUAGUAAAAUUGAUAUUUAAAAUGCCCAAAAAAUACAAAAUAAAUAAAGAAAAUUAUAAAGGGAAUUGUAUGCUACAAGAGAUGAAACGCUGUGGACCAACUAAUUUUUACUCGUCAACUAAUUGGGUAUAGAUCCUUUGUUCCAUAUUCAUCAUCUACCAUCAUAAGAUAUGGCUUCGAAGGCCUCCCUGACGGUAUCAGAGAAAUUCUGUGCCUCUCUAAUUCAUUAAUUGAUGACAGUUGGCCAGCUCGAAACACAACCUCAUUUCUCAUUAUCCGGAUAAUAAACAUACACCCAAAAGUUAAGACUGUAUCCUGAUCACUGAAGAUAACCAGUGAGAGAGAUUAUGCCGUGACAGUAAAUGGAGUGUACAUCUGAGCUAGACAUAAGGAGAUAUGUCUCCUUAGUACGUUUCUACCAUUGGAGAUUGCAACUUUACUCCCAAAUAUCAGACAAUCGUUACGUUCUCUAUGAAGAAGCCUUGGACACAUCUUUAGUUGACCUAUUGUAUUUCAUAUGGCUCUUAACUAAUUGUCCUGCUGCAAUUGCAGACAUAAGAGACAGCUCCCCGGCAAGAACAGCAGACGCUACAAUGGCUGCCAGCAUCCUAGAGUUUGCUCCUGGUGUCUCUUUGCUUGCACCCUUCACUCCAAGUAAGUUCAAACAGGCUGAUUGAGAUGCAAGCUGAGUUCCACCACCAACAGUACCAACCUAAAAGAUACAACAACACAAUAAUUAGGGACUAACAUAAAUACCCAGAUCUUGUUUUGGCAACGAAAGUCCUUGUGUUGGAAUCAGACAGCAACACUAUCAAUUACCUCGAUGGAAGGCAUUGUGACAGAGACGUGGAGGUCCUUGCCAUCAUUAACAGCUUCCAUCAUCGUGAUGCAAUGCGAGCUCUCGACGUUUUGAGCCGGAUCUUGGCCGGUGGCUAUGUAGAUUGCAGCAACGAUGUUACUGGCGUGAGCGUUAAAUCCACCCAGAGCUCCAGCCAUAGCUGAUCCAGUAAGGUUCUUAAGCAUGUUAAGCUCAACGAGAGAUUCCACACUUGUCUUCAGGACCUUCCUAACCACAUCACCCUUAAUGGUGGCUUCACAGACAACAGAUUUGCCUCGUCCUUCAAUCCAAUUUACCGCAGCCGGUUUUUUGUCGGAACAAUAGUUUCCUAUAUGCAAAAAUUCAUAAAUAUCAGAGAUCCUAUGUCGGACGGUAAAAGACAUAAUUGCAAGCCUAUACAAAAAAAAUGAAACUCACCAGAGAUGCCAAUGACAUCCAUGUCAGGGAAAUCAGUUUGAAGGAAAUCCAAAACGUUUUGCACUCCCUUGGAAACCAUGUUCAUCCCCAUAGCAUCACCUGUACUGCAAGUGAAUCUAAUAUACAGAUUCUUUCCAGCAAUUGCACAUUUGAUACCCUGGAGCCUGCCAAAUCUACUUGAUCUGCAACCACCAAAAAGCCAAAAUUUUCAAUAUUUUAAAUCCAUCAAUAUGGAGUUCUAGAAAUAUAAAAACAAACCUGUUGAAAACAACGGACAAGGUCUCGAAAUUAUCAGGGUCCUCCAAAUACAACUUCAAAUCAGCUGCCCUUUUUGCAGUACCGAACCUUACACAUGGAGCUCUAGUCAUACCAUCUUUCAAUAGAACACUUGUAGCUCCACCAGACAAAUGAAUAGCCUUACAGCCCCUAUUAGUGCUAGCCACCAGGCACCCUUCCGUGGUUGCCAUAGGAACCGAGUACUCUCUUCCAUUAACCAACAAAGGCCCAGCAAUUCCGACGGGAAUUUGCACGUAGCCAACCGGCAUCUCACAACACUGCCCUAAAAUCGACUCGUAAUCAAAUCCAUCCAAGGGCAACCCAGAUAACGACUUCCCCGUUAAUCUUUGCAACGCUUCCCUCCUGAUUGCAGCCGCCCUCUUGCAAUCACCCAAUUUCGAUUCCAAGGAAUACGAAGGGGUUGUCCCAGAAACUACAGAUUUAACUAUUUCUUCAUCUUCCUCUGGUAUAACCAUCAAAGGCUUUUCAUCGCACACCUUCUGGGUAGUCACGAUUGGUGCGGCAGGAGGCAGAGGUGGAAGCGAGCAAUCGAGAGCUUGUCCACAAGGGACCUUACGGGCGUCUUCCUUAGCGAGCAGAACUUCAUUAUCCUCUUCCUCGUCCUCAGCAAUCCAAACGUCAGGCGAUGGUUGGAAAACCAAAGAUUGAACGAAGUCAAUCCCAAAGAAACCCAAAAGGUAAAUAAAGGACGCGAAAAAUGAGAAAAUGGCGAUGAUGUCGGAAAAGGUGACGACAUGGAGAGGUGUGGAGGUACGUAUCUUCUCACGCCAACGGGAAAGAAGAAAAUAAACCACCGAGAAGAAAAGGGUGAAGAACAGGGCAUUGGUUAGGUACAAGGGAAGCGGCAAUGCGUCGGAGGCUUUACCGAGAUCUUCCUCUAAAGGAAUCUUCUUCGUUGGCUUGAGAGAUUGAACAGGUUUAGUCGAAUACAGCCGAGGAGCCUCCAUAUUGGGUGCCGACGGCGGUGGAAGCUCGGCAGUGGAGAAGGAGAAUAGAAGAGGAGUGGAAGUGAGAGAGGAUUUCAGCUAGUUUUACGAUUAUGGGGAAGGAGGAGUUUGAGAUGCUGGAGUUUAGCGAGGGAAGGGGAGUAUUUAUAGGACAGAAGGUAAAGAGUGGUGGAGCGUGAAGAAAACGGCGCGUGAAGUGAAGUGUUGGGCACGUGUGAGUGAAGAGUCAAAGAAAGAAUUUGAAGGGCAGUGCUUGCGUGCAGUGCAUGUGCAUGGGGGGCAUCGCAGUUUCCUUUCGUUUGGUCUUGUCUCCGUUAACUGCUAUUUUGUAUCUCUUUUAAUUAUUCCUUAUUUUGGGUUGUUUUUAAUUCAUAUAUUUUGGAUGAAUGGUGGUGAUAAAUAUAUAUAAUUCCGAAUAUAAACAGUAAAAUAAAUAUCAAAUAAAUAUAUAUAAUUAUAUGUGAUAAAAUUUUAUUAUUAGUAAUACGAAUAAAGAUUACGAUGAAAUUUAUUUUUUCGAUAUUCACAUAAUAUAUACAAUGUUUAAAAUUAUAUAUAAUCUCAUUCAAUUUUUAAAAAUAAGAGGAUGAUGUGUUUUAGCGUACUUAAAUUUAUAUUUUCUUUCACUGACAACAAUAUCAAUGCCAACUGAACGAAGACUCAAUCAAUAAUAAUCUUACAAUUUUUAUUUUGUAUAAAAAGAAGAGCUUGCAUUUUUUAUUUAAAAAAUACAGAUACAAUUAUAUUUAUUUUGAAUAAAUAAAUUAUUCAUAUAAACAUUAAGGGGUUGUUAAAUUAUAUACAUUUUAGGGUAGAUGUUUAUAAAAGUAGAUUUUUUAUAUUUUUUUGUUCUUAUUUAAUUUAUAUGCCAUAUUUAUUAUAUAAUAAAAUUUAGAUAAAAUACCACUUUGAUUUGAUUCUAAUUAAUGAUAAGAUAAUUAAUUUGGAAUUUUCUUUUUCCUCAUGAUUAAUUGGAUAAGUUUACAUUUGGUUAAAAUAUAGAACUUCACAACUCCAUUUUUCUUGUUCCUUUUUAUAAAAAUUAGGUUAAAAUUUCAUCUCUCUUUUUUUUUAUACAUAUUUUAAUAUUUUUUAUGACUAUUUUAUAGUUAAUAUUCGAGAUUUUGCACAGUUUUCUAUAUGAUGGUGUUUUAAAUCCUCUGAAAAUAUGUCAAUGGAUAAGAGAGAAAUUAUUUUCUUAAUGCCUACUGUUUCUGUAGCACCCCAAACCCAGCCCAGAAGUUAUGGUCGGAUCCGGCAUGCCACAUCAAAAACGUUAAAAAAAAAAUUUCAUUCUAAGUCCAAAAAAUCGUACUUGAUGUUCAAAAGAUUAAUUCAUUAAGGGUUAAAGUGAAUGGAAGCUGUGCACCAGGUAGGAAAGCGAAAAAGAGGUGGUGAGUCCAUCGGACUGCUUAAGUACCAAGCUCCCUUCGGAUCCAAUCCUAGACAUGCAUACCGCCAUUGCCACACCUUAACGUCAUGGAUAUUUCUAGGAAACCGAUUUGAUUAAGUCAUUUUUAGGAAAAGUGAUUAAUUUUGGAAAAUACUUUCAUUGCAGAAGCUUUGCUUGUUGUCGUGUUAUUUUGAAAUCAACUGUUGUUUUUGAAAACGCGCCCUAAAGCUAUCCAAUUUCAACAGUUAAAAUAAGUAUUACCUAUCUUAGUAAUACAUAUUAAAACUGUUGUAGGCCAAUUUUAGCCCAUUUACAUCAAAACCCAAUUUAGCCUUACCUAACCCACCAAAAUUAAACCCAAAACUCAAAAUCUUAACUACCCAAAGCCCAAUUUACAUCAAAACCCCAAUGGCCCAAACCCUAAGCCCAAAUCAAAAUAAAAAAACCUAGCCCACAACUUAAACUUUUCUCAACUAGCCACACCUUUUCCACCACCAACUUCACUAGCCACUCCUUUUCCACCACCAACUCCACUAGCCACACCUUCUCCACCACCAAAUCCACUAGUCACACUUGCUCCAUUACCUACUCCACUAACCACACUUGCUCCAUCACCACUUGUACCUACAAAUGAAUACAUAGACAAUAAAAAAAAUAUUUUGUAAAUGGCUAUAUAAGCCUUCUUAUAUUUUGUAUAUGGGGGGGAUUUUUUUUGGAGAGUUUUUGGGAGAGAAAGUUAUUGUAAAGGAUUUUUGGAGAGGUUUCUUUUUAAAGUAAUCAAGGAGAAGAGUUAUUGUAAAGGCUAGUUUUUGGAGAAGCUAGUUUUUUUUUUGGAGAUUAAUCAAAGAUCAAAGCAAAAGAGGUUUCUUUGUCUAUUCUCAUUUUAAGUUCUUUGUUUACUUAUUGUUUUCCUUUCAAUCUUAUUUUGUUUCUUUUAUACGAAAGUAAAAAAAAAUAAAAGGAGGAAGCUUACCCAUUUUUACCGAAAAUUUUUUUUUGAGGUCCGGCUGCCGUGUACGGUGGCGCCGGCGGCGGUCCGGCGACCGGAUGAUGGCCGGCCUUGUGGCCGAAAAUCACCUACCCUCUCCCUCUCUCUCUUUUUUUUGUUAUUAUUAUAUUUCUUAAUAUUAUAUUAUAUAUAUUCUUUUAAUAUAUUAGGUAUAUUUUAAAUUCUAUAUUACGUAUAUAUAUAUUUUAUACUAUUUUAUGUAUAUAUCUUUAAUAUUAUCUUAUUUAUAUAUAUAUAUAUAUUUUUUCUACAUGUUAUCUUAUGUAUAUAUCUUAACUAUAUUAUGUAUGUAUUUUUAACACUAUAUUAUGUACAUAUUUUUAAUAUUAUCACGUAUUUAUUUUUUAUAUAUGUACAUAUUGAUGUAGUAUUAUUAAUAGUAUUGUUUUUUUUAAACAUCAUUAUUAUUUCUAAUAUAUAUAUUAUGUACAUUUUUUUUAUUUCUAUUUUAUUUUUUAUUUGUCAAUAUUAAUUAUUAUUAUUCUAAUAUUUUGAUAUUUUAAUAUAUUAUAUAUUAUAUAUUUUAUUAUUCACAUCAUUAUUCGCAUUUUUUUAACAAUAAUAUUCUUGGAUUUUUUUUACUAUCAUUUUAAAAACUUUUUACAUUUUAAUUUUAAGAAUAAGGCAAUGUACCGAUUUUAACAUUAAGUCAUCGAUUUCAUCGCUAUGUUGGGUGAAAUUAAUCGGCUCGUGUUAAAAACGGGACGUCCUUCUAAAAAAACAAAAAAACUUGCAACUUCUCAUUUCAUUCAAUCGGAUCACACUUAAAUGUCAAAUUGAAUUCGUAUUUUUGAAAAUCAAGACAACAUGUGUUUAAUAAGAUACCAAUUUUGGGCGUUGCGAGGGUGCUAAUACCUUCCUCGCGCGUAACCGACUCCCGAACCCUAAAUUUUCUCUGGAUUUUAACGUAGACCUAAACUCAGCCUUUUAUUCGUUUUAAUAAGAGAUCUAAUAGGUGUCUGAUCACAAUUAGGAAAAAGGAUCGUUGGCGACUCCCUGUUUAUUUCAAAUAUCAAACGUCAAAUUUCAAACUUUUUUUCAAUAAAUCGCCACAAUUAGCGACCAAGCUAAGGUAAAAUUUUUACGUCGCUACAAAAACCAUAAAAAAUAAUUAAGUGGCCUUAUUACAUUUAAAAGCCCAAAAACUUCAAACGUAAAUAAAAGGAUGUCCAGUUCACCAGAAGAAAAUCAAACUUUCAGAACGGGUGGCCACUCCGAAUUCCCUCACAGCUCUAAGCCCACUAUGGUUGGGGAUUUCCUGGUUAGAUGAAAAUAAAAGGGUGAGUUUGGGGAAACUCAGUGUGUAAGGAAAACCCAUUCAAAGCCCAAGUCAGCUAAGCCUAUUGGGCCAGAGCCCAUUCAGGUAACAGUAGUACUGGGCCAGAGCCCUUUUCAGAUUACAAUAAACUGGGCCUUAGCCCCUUAUUCAGAUAACAGUAUGGCCCAUAGGCCCAUUUCAAAAUACAUGCAACAUCAAUAAACAUAUGCAAGCCCAUUUGGGGAGACUACUCAACCCACCAACCACUACACUCCACCCGUACCAGCCAUACACUCCAUGUGGGGAAUAGCUCAACCCACCUAGCCCAACACUCCACAGUUGCAGCCUUGCUGCUCAGUUAACAGUAAAUUGAGACAAAGCCUCCAGUACGUGGACAAGCCACUUUCAGUACUUCCUCCGUCAAUAUCCCAGUCCCAUGCAUCAGAUAAUAAUAACAUGGCAUGUAGUAAAUAACAACAGUCAAACAUGCAUUUAGGUCAAUUUAACCCUAGGGGUAUUUCAGUAAUUUAUCUCCUAGGGGUAAAACUGUAAAUUUUUCACUUUUAAAGGUAUUUCAGUAAUUUAUCUAUUUUAGGGUUUUUCAUGCAUAUUCCUACCUUUCACGUACUAACAGAAUUACUACUGAGGGUUCUUACCGAAUUGGGGCCGUUGGCCCAUCUUUCCAAUUUUGGCCCAUUAAGCCUAAAAAAUCGAGGGCACAGAAAUCAUGCACUUUGCAGUCCAAAUUUUAUAGCUUACCAAAAACAUUAAUCGAUUUACCUCACGAGCAUUCGCACACUCGCAAAUCUACAAAAUACCGGUUUUCGGCAUUUCGGCUUUUCGGCUUUUGCCGAUCUAGACUAAGAAAGAGGGUGUUAGUUACACACCUGUUUGCGACGGUAUGCUGACGAGAUCCACACACGAACUGCCUACAAUUGGAUUACUAACACGUUAAUCUAACUAUUCAAAUACAAACUACGUAUUAACCCCUUACAAUAUUUGGCCAACCACACCUACAAAUCAUAGUAAGCUUAUAAGAAAUCAAUAAGCAACUCAUUAACAAAUUUUUGUCAAUGUUUACCAGAUAAUUAUAAUUUCACUGCAAGUUGUCUUCCUGAGAAACAGUCACUAAAUUAUUUAUAACUGGAGCUACGAAACUCCAAAUCAAGUUCCGUUAAUUUUUCCUGAAAAUAGACUCAUAUAUCUUCUAUCCAUAAAAUUUUUAGAAUUUUUGCUAUGGCCAAUCAAUACCAGAUUUUUCUUAAAGUUUCCCAUGUUUCACUGUUUGACUAAUCUGACCACUCUUCAUUACGAAUCAAAUUUCUCAUUCUACAGAAUUCAAAAUAUGUACUAGUUUAUUCCAUUUGAAACUAGACUCAUUAAGCUUUAAUUACAUAAUUUAUGCAGCUUCUAACUCAUCUCCCACAAUUUAUGGUGAUUUUCCAAAGUCACGUUACUGCUACUGUCCCAAGCAGAUUUAUUACCAAAUCACUCUUUCACACCUAACUUGCAUGCUUGUUAUUUAAACAUGUGUAUCACCAAUCAAUCAUCACAUAUCUAUGAUUUUACUUAAGUAAUCUCCAUUUCAUCAUUUUAAAGCACAACAUGUUAGCUGAUUUUUCCCUUUAACAUCUAAGGCACAUGCAUGCUCAUUUGGCUCAACUUCACCUAUCUUCCAUUUUUCAUCAAAAGAACAUGAAACAACAACCAUUUCCUUCAUUUUAAUUCAUGACUAAAUGCUCACAACACAACUAAAAAUCAAAAUAUACUUCAAGAGUUAAGGUAGAAUCAAGAAGAACUCAUGAACCUCAAAAUAGAAGCAAGGUACCAAGAACUUACCUUCAAUUUUCCUCCUCCUAAUGACCGAAUACUCAAAGCUUUCUCCUCUCCUUUCUCUUCUCUAACUUUCAGCUAUGAUGAACAAAGAUGGACAAAACUUUGUUCUUUUCACCCCUUUUUCUUUUAAUAAAACUUCAUAUUUUAUCCAUUUAAUUCUUUAAUACAAAAGACAUGAAAUUCUUAUCAUGAAACAUUUACCUAACCCAUUAUCAUGGAACAUUUACCUAACCUAUUAUCAUGGAACAUUUACCUAACCUUUUAUCAAUUUGUAUCAAUUUGUACCAUAAAUUAUGGAUAUCAAGUGUACAUUUUGUCUACAACAACAUGAUGGCUGGCCACUUCAUGUAAAAUGGGAGGUUUGUCAUGCAAAUCCUCCUAUUUUGCACUCCUAUUUAUUUGGCCACUUCAAUUUAGCCUAUAGCAUUUUCAAACAUUUUCACAUAGGUCCUAUUUCAUAAUUUCACUCCCUUUUUCUUAUGGAACAAAAAUUAACUAAAAUCAUCGGGUUCUAUCUUAAGUUUGGGCUUUCUAGAGGCCCACUAACAUAAUUAAACCUAUGCCAACAUUCACAGGAUUCCCGAAAAUUGGGGCGUUACAAUUCUACCCUCCUUAAAGAAAUUUUGUCCUCGAAAUUUACCUAAUCCAAACAGAUGAGGGUAUUGCUGUUGCAUCGUCUCUUCUGGCUCCCAAACUCAGAAGUUUCCCCUUCCUUAACUUGUUGAAAACGAGCGACCAAAGACUCACCGUUCAACUGUUUUUUUUCCUUAAUCUGAUCCACCCAGGUUGGCCUCACUUGCAACUCAGCCAACAGACUUCCAUCAUCAUACAGACUCAGACGAGCAAACAUUGCUCUCAGAUCAGAUACAGCUCUACGACUUAGAGCAUCGGCUACCACAUUAGCCUUGCCUAGGUGAUACUCGAACGAACAGUCAUAAUCCUUAAGUAACUCAAUCCAUCUCCUUUGUCUAAGGUUUAGCUCCUUCUGAGUCAACAAAUACUUAAGACUCUUAUGGUUAGUGUAUAUAAUACACCUUUCUCCGUACAAGUAAUGUCUCCAAAUCUUAAGUGUAAAUAUCACUGCUACCAACUCUAAAUCAUGAGUCGGAUAGUUCCCCUCAUAAGGCUUAAGCUGUCGUGAUGCAUAUGCAACCACCUUACCCUCUUGCAUUAACACGCAGCCCAAACCCACGUGUGAUGCGUCACUGUACACACUAAAAUCCUUCCCAGACUCACGGCUGAAUCAACUCAGGUGCUUCAGUCAGAACUUUCUUCAACUUCUCAAAAGCUUCCUGCUGCUUCUUAGUCCAUACAAACGGUACUCCUUUCCUUAUGAGUUUUGUCAGAGGUGCUGCCAUCACAGAAAAACCUUCCACAAACCUUCUGUAGUAUCCUGCCAACCCUAGGAAACUUUAAAUUUCCGACACCGUCCUAGGUGGCUUCCACUCCAAAAUUGCUUCAAUCUUUCAAGGGUCCACCUUAAUCCCCUCAGCAUAGACCACAUGUCCUAAGAAGGUUACCUCCCUCAACCAAAAUUCACACUUGUUGAACUUCGCGAAGAGUUCCUUCUCUCUUAACACUCGCAGCACUAUACGGAGAUGCUUAUCAUGUUUCGCUUCAGUUUCAGAAUAUACCAGGAUAUCGUCAAUAAAGACGACUACGAACUGAUCUAAAAAUGGUUGGAACACAUGAUUCAUCAGAUCUAUAAACGCUGCAGGAGCGUUCGUCAGUCCAAAUGGCAUAACCAGAAACUCGUAAUGACCAUACCGAGUCCUGAAUGCUGUCUUAUGGAUAUCUACCUCCUUGACCCUUAACUGAUGAUAUCCAGAUCGAAGGUCGAUCUUGGAAAAUACAGAAGCUCCUCUAAGCUGGUCGAACAGAUCAUCAAUCCUUGGCAGUGGAUACUUAUUCUUAAUCGUCAGUUUAUUCAACUGGCGAUAAUCAAUGCACAUCCGCAUCGUACCAUCAUCCUUUUUCACGAAUAGCACCGGUGCUCCCCAUAGAGACACGCUUGGCCUAAUGAAGCCCCUAUCCAAUAACUCUUGAAUUUGAGUCUUUAACUCCACUAACUCCUUCGGUGCCAUCCUAUACGGUGCGAUAGACACUGGUGCCAUUCCAGGCAAUAAGUCGAUUCCAAACUCCACUUCUCGGUUCAGAGGCAAUCCUGGAAGCUCCUCCGAAAAAACAUAUUGGAACUCAUUUACAGUCCUAACCUUAUCCACUGACAAUCCCUCCUCUUUUGACUGACUUACAAAUGCCAAAUAGACCUCACAACCUUUCUGAAUCCACUUUUCGACUCUUAAAGCCGACACCAUAUUGGACAAAUAAUCCCUUCGCUCACCUAUCACUAUAACCUCCUCAUCCUUUGUGGUCCUUAACACCAUUCGUUUAGUAGCACAAUCCAGAGUCACUUUAUGCUUAACAAGCCAGUCCAUUCCCAAAAUGAGAUCAAACUCUCCGAACGGUAACUCCAUCAGAUCUCUAGGGAAAAUCUUACCUUGAGUUUCUAAGGGUACAUCCCUAUACAGUUUGUCUACCCUAACCGAGUGACCCAAAUGACUUAGUACAGAUACCCCACUCACAAUCUCUUCAGAGCAGUCUAAGUUGUCCAUAAUUCGUUCUGUGGCCUCCAAUCAAUAUUCUCCCACAUUCGAGGCGAUACCAGACACGCCCCUAAAGAUCUCCGCUCCGUUGGCCCGAAGUCGUUCAGAAAUAGAUCCCCGAACUCUAUUGCCCGCACUUGCCCCGAAAACCCUUUCCAGAACACGAAGCAUUGCCUGUGACAGGGCAUCAUCCCCGGUACUGCGGUCAUGAGACUCUACCUCUGUUGCUGGUGGUACCGGUGCAUCCACCGCCGGCAUAUGUCUCGAAGACGAAGAUCUCGCUCGAGCACUUCCUCGGCUUCGUCCACGGCCUCUUGUACUCAUAUCGUAUUAUCUUGAUUACGAAUUUUUAUGCAUCAAUUAAUAUUUCAGUGUUUAUUACAGAUGUUUUAUGAAUCAGAUAGUAGUUCAGAGUUUAUUUUCGCAGAAUCGAAGUCUAGCUACAGUUUCAGUCUCUUAUCAGAUUUUUCCUAUGGUUUCAGUAUCAUCCUAUCUAGAGUAUCCUAGCAGGAUUUCAGUACAGACAGAUAAGUCAGAAAAAUAUUCAGAAGAGUUCAGAGUAAUACUUACAGGCUUGGGCCGGAGAUUCGGAAUGCCACCUUCUAAAGAUCUAAAUUUUGAAAAUCGUGUUUUUCGCAAUCUUUAUAAAUUUUUUUUAUUUUUGAAAAUCUUUUUUUUUGUAAACUCAUUCCACAGCCGAGUUGUUGCAACCUAGGCUCUGAUACCAGUAAAUGUAGCACCCCAAACCCAGCCCAGAAGUUAUGGUCGGAUCCGGCAUGCCACAUCAAAAACGUUAAAAAUUUUUUUCCAUUCUAAGUCCAGAAAAUCGUACUUGAUGUUCAAAAGAUUAAUUCAUUAAGGGUUAAAGUGAAUGGAAGCUGUGCACCAGGUAGGAAACCGAAAAAGAGGUGGUGAGUCCAUCGGACUGCUUAAGUACCAAGCUCCCUUCGGAUCGAAUCCUAGACAUGCAUACCGCCAUUGCCACACCUUAACGUCAUGGAUAUUUCUAGGAAACUGAUUUGAUUAAGUCAUUUUUAAGAAAAGUGAUUAAUUUUGGAAAAUACUUUCAUUGCGGAAGCUUUGGUUAUUGUCGUAUUAUUUUGAAAUCAACUGUUGUUUUUGAAAAUGCGUCCUAAAGCUAUCCAAUUUCAACAGUUAAAAUAAGUAUUACCUAUCUUAGUAAUACAUAUUAAAACCAUCAAAAAUAAUUAAGUGGCCUUAUUACAUUUAAAAGCCCAAAAACUUCAAACGUAAAUAAAAGGAUGUCCAGUUCACCAGAAGAAAAUCAAACUUUCAGAACGGGUGGCCACUCCAAAUUCCCUCACAGCUCCAAGCCCACUAUGGUUGGGGAUUUCCUGCGUGGAUGAAAAUAAAAGGGUGAGUUUGGGGAAACUCAGUGUGUAAGGAAAACCCAUUCAAAGCCCAAGUCAGCUCAAGCCUAUUGGGCCUAAGCCCAUUCAGGUAGCAGUAGUACUGGGCCAGAGCCCUUUUCAGAUUACAAUAAACUGGGCCUUAGCUCCUUAUUCAGAUAACAGUAUGGCCCAUAGGCCCAUUUCAAAAUACAUGCAACAUCAAUAAACAUAUGCAAGCCAUUUGGGGAGACUACUCAACCCACCAACCACUACACUCCACCCGUACCAGCCAUACACUCCAUGUGGGGAAUAGCUCAACCCACCCAGCCCAACACUCCACAGUUGCAGCCUUGCUGCUCAGUUAACAGUAAAUUGAGGCAAAGCCUCCAGUACGUGGACAAGCCACAUUCAGUACUUCCUCCGUCAAUAUCCCAGUCCCAUGCAUCAGAUAAUAAUAACAUGGCAUGCAGUAAAUAACAACAGUCAAACAUGCAUUUAGGUCAAUUUAACCCUAGGGGUAUUUCAGUAAUUUAUCUCCUAGGGGUAAAACUGUAAAUUUUUCACUUUUAAAGGUAUUUCAGUAAUUUAUCUAUUUUAGGGUUUUUCAUGCAUAUUCCUACCUUUCACGUACUAACAGAAUUACUACCGAGGGUUCUUACCGAAUUGGGGCCGUUGGCCCAUCUUUCCAAUUUUGGCCCAUUAAGCCCAAAAAAUCGAGGGCACAGAAAUCAUGCACUUUGCAGUCCAAAUUUUAUAGCUUACCAAAAACAUUAAUCGAUUUACCUCACGAGCAUUCGCACACUCGCAAAUCUACAAAAUACCGGUUUUCAGCAUUUCGACUUUUCAGCUUUUGCCGAUCUAGACUAAGAAAGAUGGUGUUAGUUACACACCUGUUUGCGACGAUAUGCUGACGAGAUCCACACACGAACUGCCUACAAUUGGAUUACUAACACGUUAAUCUAACUAUUCAAAUACAAACUACGUAUUAACCCCUUACAAUAUUCGGCCAACCACACCUACAGAUCAUAGUAAGCUUAUAAGAAAUCAAUAAGCAACUCAUUAACAAAUUUUUGUCAAUGUUUACCACAUAAUCAUAAUUUUACUGCAAGUUGUCUUCCUGAGCAACAGUCACUAAAUUAUUUAUAACUGGAGCUACGAAACUUCAAAUCAAGUUCCGUUAAUUUUCCCUGAAAAUAGACUCAUAUAUCUUCUAUCCAUAAAAUUUUCAGAAUUUUUGCUAUGGCCAAUCAAUACCAUAUUUUUAUUAAAGUUUCCCAUGUUUCACUGUUUGACUAAUCUGACCACUCUUCAUUACGAAUCAAAUUUCUCAUUGUACAGAAUUCAAAAUAUGUUCUAGUUUAUUCCAUUUGAAACCAGACUCAUUAAGCUUUAAUUACAUAAUUUAUGCAACUUCUAACUCAUCUCCCACAAUUUAUGGUGAUUUCCCAAAGUCACAUUACUGCUGCUGUCCCAAGCAGAUUUAUUACCAAAUCACUCUUUCACACCUAACUUGCAUGCUUGUUAUUUAAACAUGUAUAUCACCAAUCAAUCAUCACAUAUCUAUGAUUUUACUUAAGUAUAAUCUCCAUUUCAUCAUUUUAAAGCACAACAUGUUAGCUGAUUUUUCCCUUUAACAUCUAAGGCACAUGCAUGCUCAUUUGUUUGGCUCAACUUCACCUAUCUUCCAUUUUUCAUCAAAAGAACAUGAAACAACAACCAUUUCCUUCAUUUUAAUUCAUGACUAAAUGCUCACAACACAACUAAAAAUCAAAAUAUACUGCAAGAGUUAAGGUAGAAUCAAGAAGAACUCAUGAACCUCAAAAUAGAAGCAAGGUACCAAGAACUUACCUUCAAUUUUCCUCCUCCUAAUGACCGAAUACUCAAGAGCUUUCUCCUCUCCUUUCUCUUCUCUAACUUUCAGCUAUGAUGAACAAAGAUGGACAAAACUUUGUUCUUUUCACCCCUUUUUCUUUUAAUAAAACUUCAUAUUUCAUCCAUUUAAUUUUUUAAUACAAAAGACAUGAAAUUCUUAUCAUGAAACAUUUACCUAACCCAUUAUCAUGGAACAUUUACCUAACCUAUUAUCAUGGAACAUUUACCUAACCUUUUAUCAAUUUGUAUCAUAAAUUAUGGAUAUCAAGUGUACAUUUUGUCUACAAUAACAUGAUGGCUGGCCACUUCAUGUAAAAUGGGAGGUUUGUCAUGCAAAUCCUCCUAUUUUGCACUCCUAUUUAUUUGGCCACUUUAAUUUAGCCUAUAGCAUUUUCAAACAUUUUCACAUAGGUCCUAUUUCAUAAUUUCACUCCCUUUUUCUUAUGGAACAAAAAUUAACUAAAAUUGUCAGGUUCUAUAUUAAGUUUGGGCUUUCUAGAGGCCCACUAACAUAAUUAAACCUAUGUCAACAUUCACAGGAUUCCCGAAAAUUGGGGCGUUACAGUUUCUAUAGAAAAUCUAAAACUGGCAUUCAGACUAUGACAUGAAAUUCAAAAUAGGAUGCCUUCUUAAUUAUUAUAAAUAUUGGUUCAUGCCGUCACCAUUAUGACAAGGAAAUAUUCAAUAAUUAAUUAUUUUAAAUCCUCUAAGUGUAUUAUAUUUUUAUAUAAAUUUGGUAUGUUAAUAAUUUAAUUACUCUUUUGAUGAAAUGUUUUAAAAAAAUAAACUGUUAAAAUAGUCAGUUUUAUUUACUUUAGAUUAUAUUUAGUUAUUUAUAUUUAAAAUAUUACGUUUUAGUUACUUAGGUGAACGUGUUGUAACAUUUUAGUCACUGAGCCAUUAAUUAUGUAAUGAUAAGUUGACGUGACAUGUUAAAUCAUCAUUUUAAACAAAAAAAUUAGGUUAAAUUAGACAAUUGGUCCAAUAUUUCUUUGUUUUGAACAAUUUAAUUUUUUUUAUUUUAUGUUCUUUUAACCUUUUUUUUCUUUAUUUUCAACUCUUAUGCUUCUCUCUUUGUUUUUCCCCCUUCUCCAUCUUUUUUUAACUUAAUUUUUCUAUGUUUUCCAUCUGUUAAAACUAAUCCCUAUACUUUUAUUUUUUGAACAAUUUAAUUUUUUAUUAUUUAUUUAUUUUCCUUUUCUUCUUCUCCUUUAGUUUUAACAAAUGAAAUAUAGAAAAACUACAUUAAAAAAGAUGGAAAAAGGGAGGAAAAUAGAGGAAGAAGCAGAAGAGAAAGAAAAAUAAAGAAAAAAAAUUAAAUUGCUCAAAUGAAAAAAAUAUGGGGACUAAUUGUAUAAUUUAACCUAAAAUUUUUGUUUGAAAUGAUGAUUUAACGUGCCACAUCAGCUUACUGUGACACCGUUAACGGCUCAGUGACUAAAAUGUUACAACACGUUAAUGUAAAUGACUAAAAACUGACUAAAAUAUAACAUGAAGUAAACAAAAUUGACUAUUUUAAUUGUUUACACUUUAAUAAAUUAUUGAUUACACUAAUAUAUUAAAUUUAUUCUUAUUUUGUAUUGUUUUUCACAUGUGUAAUAUUCUGAUUAUUUUUUAAUGUUUAAUGUACUAACGUUUAAAUUUAUUCCAUCAUAAUUCAUAGCAUAAGAAAAAUAAUAUGAAAUAGACGAUAAGAUUGAAGUAAUUUUUUUUCCAAAAUAACAAGAAUGCAUUCAUGCAUGAGAAUUAUUCAUCACCAUGUGCUAAAGACUUGGACUGUUUGUCAAAGUUUUCUUCAGAAAAAUCAUAUAAUUUAUAAUGGAAGUAUAUAUAUAUAUAAGCAGAGUCAGGCCAACCAAAGAAGAAAAAAAUUAACAUGAUAUCAUCUUUUUUUUAUUACCCAGUAUUUAUUUAGCAAAUAUUGACUGUAAUAUUGUCAUGGUUAGACCAUAUUAUUUUUGCACAAGUGACGCACGUAUAUUAAGUGUAGACUUGCUCAAAACAGUUGGAAAUGAACAAGGUCAUUUCGUAGAAAUUGCAGUCAAUGCUCAUAUUUUUGGCUUAAUCCAGCUCGAGUUUAGGUAAAAAUUGAUUCAAAAUUGGACAAAUAUAUAUAAUAUUGAUAUCAUAAAUAAGUUAAUUUGAAUUCAAGGGAAUUCAAGGCAGUGUAAUCCAUGAAUACCUUUAAUAUGUAUACAUGAUAUGUGAAAGAUCAGCUCUAACUCAUGAAUAUCUCUAAUAUGUAUGCAUGCUUGAUGCAUGAUAUGUGGAAAAUAACUUAACUUGUUGAAUAGGUUUUGUAUCGAGUGUUGAGAGCACUUAUAAGUUCAUUUUUGGAACUUGUAUUUGAGAGUGCAUUUGAGAAAGUAAAUAAGUUUGUUGAAGUUUUCUGGAGGAGAAUUUAGAGGUGAGUUGUAGUAGCCCAAAUUUGACUGGGCUGAAAACGGAAUAAAAGAAUUAAAUAAAUAAUAAUUUAUUUAAUGUCCAUUUAAAAGUCCAUAAAUAACCAGCCCAAUAGACCCAUUUAGCCUAAACCCAACAGACCCGUUACACCUAGCAGCCCAUUUACAAUCAAAUACCUAAAGCCCAACUAAACUAACCCAUUAACUUGUAAAUCACCUAAAACCCGGUUACACCCGAGCCCAAAUACCCAAACAGACCAUGGACUAAAGUGGCCCAACUGGCCCAAAUCAUUACACCAAGGCAAGAAACCCUAGGGUUUCGGCCUUUCCCUCCUAGCGCCGCAAUGUCUUCUGGAAGCUUUGGGGAGUGUCUGUCCAGUUCCCCAAAUCAAGACGGCCAUCAAUGCUCUGUCUCAGGUUUCCAAUGCCCCAUCAGUGCCUCGCCGUCUCAAUAGCCACCGAUCGUGCCCCCAUCAAGGCCACGAUUCCAGGCCCUGAGUCACGCCUUGAUCAACGCCUCCGGUAGACCAUCGUCAAGCCUUCGUCAUUGCCGGAUUUCUCGCAAACAUCUGCAAGAAAAGGAAAGAAAUCAAAGCAAGAUUGCAGUAAAUAGGUUGGAACAGAGUUUGGAAAGAAAUCUUUCGAUUUCUUUCCAAAAUAGGCAGUAGAUCAAGGUUAUAAAGCCUUUUCUCAAAUCUGUAAAAAGGGAUACACAGAAAUAGAGAGAAACAUAUCACAAAAAGCAUUGUACAUCAAACCUUUGCAAUAAUAUUUCAGAAGGUGAUUAUUUUUCAUACUUAUCUCUUUUUCUCUUUUACGAAUAUAUGAAUCAUUUUUUUUUAAAAGUAACAUUUAAAAGGAAAGAGGUUACCUGUGGAAGGACGAAGGUUAUUAAACCUUCAGACCACCGCGUAUGGCAGCGCAUGGGCACUCGUGGGCCAGUGGUCGGAGGCCUGAGGCCAAGGCCAGAGAACCCCCCCGUCUCCUCAUUCAGAGGAUUUUUAGAUUUUUUUCUUCUAAACUGAUUGCUAAAUAAGUUUUAGGCUUAAGUUUUAGCUUAUAUAAUCCAGCCAAAACGACAUCGUUUCUAUUUAAACAAUAAGCUUUGAAACGUCACCGUAUUAGGCAGAGGAUCCGCGUGUUGACCCGAUUACCCGGGGAAAAUCCGCGUGUUUUCAUGAAAUGGGUUAAUUGUCCAAUUGGUCCUCUCGCAAUUUUUAUAUUUUUUAAUUUCAAUUUAUUUAUUUUUUAAUUUAGCUUUAAUAUUUUAAUUCUAUUUCAAUUUGGCCCUCUCAGUGAUUUACAACCGCAUUAGGGAAAACGCUGCCGUUUUGGGAAUAGGGCGAUUUGCCCAAUGAGUCCCUUUUGUUUUAUGCGUGUUUUAAUUAGGACCUUAAUUUAGCUUUUUUUUUUUCUAAAUUCACCCCUGUAAUUUUAUUAAACUUCAAAUUUAACCAUAUAUAUUUAUUUCUAUUAUUAUAUAUAUAAAUUUUUAUUGUUAUUUGCUUUAUUUUUAUUUUUAAAUUAUAUAUUAUAUGAUUAUUUUAUAUAUUACUCAUAUUAUUUAUAUAUAUUAUAUAUUAUUUUCACAUAUAUACUUUCAUAUUAUAUAUUAUAUAUAUUUUAUAUUAUUAUGUCAUUUUAUACUAUUAAAUAUUUUUAUCUACAUAUUGUUAUCAUUAAAAGUUUUAACUUGUAUUAUAUAUUUAUUUUUAUUUAUAUGUAAAUAAUUACUUUACUUAUAUUCUAUUAUUACACAUUUUGAAGAUAUUAUAAUAUAAUAAUUUGUAUAAUAUGUAUAUUUCAUUAUUAAUUACUUAUUUCAUAUUAUUCUAAACUUAUAUUUAUAUAUUAUACAAUUAUUUUAUUGUAAAUAUAAAUUCUUUCACAUAUUUGAUAUUUUAUACAUUAUUUUUUCUAAACCAUUAUAUUUUAUGUUUUUAUAUAAUUAUUAUUCUUAUAAAUAUAUUUUUAUAUAUUAUAUCAUUAAAUAUCACAUUUUUUAUAUGCUCAUUCUAUUUAUCAAUCGUUUGUAUGAUAUAUAUAUUUAUUAUUAUACAAUAUUUGCUUUUGCUUUAGAAUUAAUGUAUUAUUGCUAUGUUAUGUAUUUUAUAUGUUAUGUAAUAUCUUAGACCUUUAUAAUUUAUUUUCAAAUGCAUUUUUUAUAUAUAUGUGUUAAAAUUGUAUAUCAUGCAUCAUUUGUGUUUAAAUAUAUGUUGAAUUAUAUGUUUAGGGAUUUUUACCUACUUUUCUUAAAUAUGCAUUGUGUUUUAUGUAUAGUUUUUCUUAUUUAAAAAAUUGUCAUGUUUUAUUUCUUAUAUAUGUUGGUUAGUGUAUGAUAUUUAUGCUGUUAUGCUAUUACUUAUCUAUUAUUAUAACAUGUUAUCUCGUAUGUUAUGUUAAUAUGCUCCUUCAUGCAUCGGUUUUAAAAACGAGACUUCAAAGUUUUCAAAAAAUAAAAAGGCAAUGCUUGGUAUUUGGAAGCUUCGAGAAAAGUAGUGCCCUAACUUAUUGGGUUGCAACUUUUCUCGUUGAGUUCGAAUAGUCAAGUACCCUUCUAAGUUUUUAAGAUUUUCAAAAAACGAGCAACUGUCUUGGAAUUUCAAAGCGUUGUGUCCUAACUUAUUGGAUGUGGCGUUUUGUUGUUUCGAGAUAGGGAUUUCCAAAAAGGCUAACUUAGUAUCAAUAUUUUGAUACAAGUGAAUCUCAAUUUUCAAAAUCAAAAUAUUUUAAAGAGGAUUGUAUCUUAAAAUUUUUAAAUUUUCGACCUUAAAGACAUUUGAUAAUUAAUUAGGUACCAAUUUUUGGGCGUUACGAUGGUGCUAAUCCUUCCUUGUACGUAACCGACUCCCGAACUGUUCUUUUUAUUACGUAGACCAAAACUAAUGAUUUUAAAACAAAAUGUUUUAAAGGUGAUCCAAUCACACCUAAAAAGAUUGGUGGCGACUCCUGUUUUUGUUUUCUUAAAGUCGAUUCUCAUUUUUCAAAACUCGAUUUAAAAAUGGUUUCGACAGCUUGGCGACUCCACUGGGGACUAAUAAGAGAGUCAAGCCGUAUAGUUGAUUACCUUUUGUCUUAAUGUCGGGAAUUUGAAAAAUUUUAAAAUUCAAUCCUCUUUGCAUUACAUGUGUUUGUAUUAUUGCAUAUGUUAUAUAUUCUGAUACGCAUUAAAUUUGCAUGAUCGUUGUGGUCACACCCUUAAGUGGGAGUGAGAAACUACGCUUUCGUGAGGUUUUCACCUCCGUGCAGGAUAGUGGAUCACUUUCGGGAUACAUCCGUACCUAUGGUUUCGUGAGAUUUUCAUCUCCGUGUAGCCAUAGAGAAAUGUAUUCCUCUGAACUGAACUCAUUUCAAAUGAGCCUAUAAUGGGUGAGAAUUGAGGAAUCUGCUGGUUCGGGUACCUCAAACUUUAGAACCAACUUCAUAUAGAAAAACCAUAAGAGCCCAACUUAGUUAGAGUAAAACUUUAGAUAUUACCCUUAUAAAUUAUUGUUGAUAUUUAUUGAUAUCAUGUGAUACUAACUAUUUCUUUUCUUUUGUUUUGUGUAUGUCAUUUUGCAUUUAAAAGGUAUCGAUUCACGGUCAGUUUUUAAGUUAGGAAGUUUUAUUAUGGAGAACGGACUUCUUGAUAGAGUGGAGGGCAACGCCAACGUCCAUAGAUGGUCUGAACAAACUCAACUAAGAAGGGGAGAUAGUAUAGUUGUGGGAUACGUGUCAGAGCUGUCAGAUUACACUCGUAUUAGUGCCACGCAGAAUAAUCUCUAAGAGCUUAAGGAAAUUUGGGAUCAGUGGAGCAAAGAGACCAAUGAGUUAUUCUACGAUAAUUACGGAGACUUACCUUGCUGGAUGUUCAGGUAGACGAGCACUUAUUCUGAGCCCUUGCUCAGUUUUGGAACUCGGCGUACAGUUGUUUCACUUUUGGGGAAGUAAACUUGGUACCUACUAUGGAGGAGUACACUGCCUUACUUCAUUGUCCCAGGUUUUAGAAUGAUAGGAUCUAUUCUCGAGCUGCUUGUGUCCCUACCUUUUGGAAGAAAUUGAUGACUAUUAUGGGGAUGAGCGAGCAGUGGAUCACAGCCAGAAUUAAAGAGAAGGGUGAGUGCAAGUGCAUUUCGUGGGACGCUUUGAAAGAUCUGAUUCUGACACACCUUGAUGAGACGAAGAAAGUAGAUGUUUUUUCUUUAAGUUUGUAUGGACUGAUAGUUUUUCCUAGGGCUUUGGGAUAUGUGGAUGAGGCAACCACGGAUCUUUUUCAUCGACUCAGUAAAAGGGUCACUUCCGUCCUUGCAAUUUUGGAGGAGACAUUCAGGUCUUUAGGUGCAUGUAGGAGGGCUGGUGCUGGCAGGUUUAUAGGAUGUACUCAGUUACUUUUGGCUUGGUUCUACAGUCAUUUCUGAUUGAUAGAUAGGGUGAUUUGUCGAGUCUUCUUCGAGGAUUAUUCAUCGUUGAAGGACAUAGUAGCUUCAACUAGGAGAGUUGAUUUCCAGAAGAGAAUUGGAUAGCGCUACUUCAGAACCUUCAGUCGAAAGAUGUUGAGUGGAGGGCUCCGUGGAUGAUUCCUGGUGAGAUUCUUUACCGAUGAGGAAGUUUCGAUUGGGUCCCUCUGUUGGGAAUUUGGGGUGCCAUUGGUUAUGCCCCUUUGCUUGUGUUGAGGCAAUUUGGAUUGAGGCAGUUUGUACCAGCAACUUAUGGGUUGGCUCAAAGUGAGUUCAUGUACAAAGGAGCCGAUUACAAGAGGAAGGUUAGCGAGAUUUCUAGUACUUGGAAUAAGACUUGUCAGUUGAAAGGAGUAGCUAUUAGCCCUACUACGACACCGGAAUAUGUCGAAUGGAGAGGCAGAAGGGUUAAUGAUAACAUCCCUAAGCCACGCGUAGAAGGAGCUCGACCGAUAGAGGAAUAUUUGCAAGUAAUACCCUCUAAGUUAGAAAUUAUGAAGCAAGAGUUUGAGAGAAAGAGCUUGGAGUUCGAGAAGAGGGUAGCAAAGCUCGAAGAAGAAAAGAUGUACUUGAGCUUGGACGUCGACGUUCAAAAGAUGGAGGUCGAGAAAGAGAGGAAAGAAAAGAGGAAGAUCGAGAUGAUCUAAAUGAGCACUACAAAAAGGCACGAGUAUCCUUGAGGAGAGUGAGAGUAGGAGGAUAUUCAGAUCAGUUGCAGAAAGAGGUCCAAGUGGAAAAGGCUAGAGCCGAGUAUUGGGAGAAGAAGUUCCAAGAAAUGUAGUCGCAGAAUUUGGCAUUAGAAGAAGAGAAUAAAGGGUUGAAGACUAAGGUAACUGAGCUUGGAAGAUCCCUACGUUGGCACCGAAACCAUUAUCCUACAGUCGAGUUAGAGGAGCUAAAAAGUAAGGUUGAAGAUUUGGAAGUGGCAUUGCAUGAUGGUGAACUGCGGAUUGAGCAGCUCGAGGCGCAAGAAGAUUAUCUCAAAGAAGAGAUCCAUCAAGUUAAAGGUCAAGUCAUAGGUUGGGAUUACAUUAUUAGGGAGGCUAUAGCUCAGAUCGGAGAGGUUGCUGAAUAUGUUCGAGACUUAGUAGUACGAGCUGAUGCUUUGAGUAUGAUGUAUGCGUCAGCGUCUGAUAAGGGUCGAGAGUUAGCCCUUUUAUUAGAUAAAGUUAGAACUUUGGGCAUUAGGGAAAAGACGUAUAUGUAAUCCAUUUAUAUGUAAAGAUAUUCUUUUUCUAAAUAAAGUUUUCUAAAUGAGAUUGAAUCGAGAUCGAUGCCUUUUUUACAUUCAUGCAUUUGCAUCUCAUAGCAUUUCAUCGCAUCGUUUGCAUUCAAAGUUAUAGAAAGACCCUAAUUAGUUAAAGUUUACUUUCAAAGGUGGAAAAGAAAAUCUGGAAAUCACACAUCCUUACGGCACUCGCACUAAAACUAAGAGUAUGGAUCAAAGGUUCGAGCAAUUGCAAAAGGAUAUGCAAGACCAAUUGCAAGUGUAGUUGGCCAAAAUGCAGAAUGAUAUGAGGGAACAAAUGCUAGAGGCUCAGAGGAGUAUGAUGGCUGAAAUAGCCCAGCUGCUGAGGGCCACUGAUAAAGGAAAAGCUCCCAUGGCAAUCACUAAAGAGGAGAAUGAGGGUCCUCCUCCGGGUUUUACUCUGCCUCAUGUGCCACUACAAAUCGAGGCACAUCUUAGAAGGCCAUCUGUCACUGUGAGGCCUCAACAUGGGCCAGUUGAUGCUGGAAUCCCCGUGAAUUUCCCAUCUGGGUUGGGAAAUAAUUUGGGCGAUAGCUCGAUCAACCCUAUCACUCUUGAUCUGGAUCUGAUGGAGAAAGAAAUAAUGGCAACUGAAUCCUCAAAACAGUUGGAGGAUCGUUGAAAGUGGUUGGAGGAGAAAUUUAGAGCUUUGGAGGGCGUUGGCAAUUAUCAUGGGAUUGAUGCCAAAGACUUAAGUUUGGUCCUAGAUUUGGUGCUUCCUCAUAAAUUUAAGAUGCCAGAGUUUGAAAAGUACAACGGGACUACUUGCCUAGAGGCACACAUAACAAUGUUUUGUAAGAGAAUGACUGGGCAUGUGAACAAUGAUCAAUUAUUGAUCCAUUGUUUUCAAGACAGCUUAGUAGGAGCAGCGGCUAGAUGGUACAAUCAGUUGAACCGCGUAAGAAUCGGUUCAUGGAGAGAUCUAGCGCAGGCCUUCAUGCAACAGUACAAUCAUAUGACUGAUAUGACGCCAGACAGGAUCACACUUCAAAACAUGUAGAAAAAGCCUAAUGAAAGUUUUAGGCAAUAUGCACAACGAUGGAAGAAGGUGACAAUGCAAGUACAACCACCACUGUUAGAAAAGGAGACCACCAUGUUAUUUAUCAACACUCUGAAGGCGUCAUUCAUCACUCACAUGAUUGGAAGCACCACAAAAAGUUUCGCGGAUAUAGUUAUGGCAGGAGAGAUGAUUGAAAACGCUGUAAGGGGCGGUAAAAUUGAGGGGGAAAUGGCUAAAAGAUCGGCCCCAAGGAGAAAGGACAAUGAGGUGAAUAAUAUGAAUAGCCUCAAACCAUCACAGUUGGUUAACCCAAAGCAGCUGCGAUCGAGCAACAAAGUACUCGAAGUCAGGAAUUGGGUACAAGACAGAAUUAGGAGAGGAUGCAAUUCACGCCUAUCCAUGUGACGUAUCGUGAGCUUUAUCAAAGCUUAUACGAUGCACAUGCCAUUGCUCCAUUUCACUUGAAACUACUACAGCCACCGUACCUUAAAUGGUAUGAUAUAAAUGCUAAAUGCGAAUAUCACGCGAAAAUACCGGGGCAUUUGAUUGAAAACUGCACCGGAUUCAAGAAGGUCGUGGAGAGGCUUAUCAAAAUAGGGGUUGUGAGGUUCGAUAGUACCCCUAAUGUUGAAAAUCUUUUACCAGAUCAUGGCAAUCAAGGAGUGAAUGCCAUUGAUAAAACCAGGGAAGGAAAAAUCAAUGAAGAUAUUGCUGAGGUGAAGACACCCAUGAAAGCAAUAUGGGAGGAGAUGGUGAAAAGAGGUAUGUUGACCUCUGGGAAAGGUAGAAGAUGAAUAGACAAUUAUUGUGAAUUCCAUGGAAAGAUGGGUCAUAUGAUCCAAAAUUGUGAGAAGUUCAAGGCCAUGGUGCAAGGCCUUAUGUUUAACAAAGAGCUACAAAUUUUUGAGGGUAGUUCUUGCGAAAGACAAAUAUGCGUGCUAGAAAAUGAACAACAAGGAACCAGCCGACCAAGAAUUAUUAUUUCCUUGUUGAGGAAUAAUGAAGUGGGGGCGCGAAUCGGGCCCAAGGUCUUCAUCCAUAAACACACUCCUUUCUCUUACAAGGAUGACAAGAAGGUGCCAUGGAGCUAUGGCUGCAGUGUAACAGUACCUGAGGGGGAGAGCAUAGCCAGUGCGUCUAGGAGCGACCAAAAUGAAGGUUCCCAUACGCGAAGUGGGAAGCGUUAUGAUAGGGGGGCAUCAGAGUGGAGCCCACGAAAACAAAGGAUGUUGACAUUGAGAAGAAGAAAGAGGUUGAAGUGCUUAUCAAAGAGCCGGUAAAGGAAGAGGAGGCUAAGGAGUUUCUAAAAUUCCUUAAGCAUAGCGAGUACAGUAUGGUUGAUCAGUUGCAUAGGCAGCUGGUGCGUAUAUCAGUAUUAGCCUUACUUUUGAGUUCUGAGGUGCAUCGGGAUACAUUGUUGAAGGUACUUAACGAAACAUAUGUCACCCACGACAUAUCCGUUAACAAGUUAGACCGAUUGGUAAAUAAUAUCAGUGCUGACAAUUUCAUCUACUUCAAUGACGAUGAAAUUUCACCUGGGGGCAUAGGGUCGACCAAAGCCUUGCACAUAACUACUCGGUGCAAAGGAUACACGCUGCCAAGUGUACUCGUUGAUAACGGGUCUGCUUUGAACGUCCUUCCAUUAUCAACAUUGAACAGAUUACCCAUUGACAGUUUGCAUAUGAAAACAUGUCACAAUGUGGUAAGAGCCUUUGAUGGAACUGAAAGGAAAGUGAUGGGACGAAUCAACAUCCAUUUGGAAAUUGGGCCAAAUACAUAUAAAGUUGAUUUCUUGGUGAUGGACAUCAAGCCCUCCUAUAAUUGUUUAUUGGGAAGACUAUGGAUACACUCGGCAGGAGCGGUGCCCUCCUCAUUGCACCAAAAAUUGAAGUUAGUGACAGACGGACGAUUCAUGACCAUCAAUGCGGAGGAGGACAUUAUAGCAGCAGUCACUAGUAAGACCCCUUACGUCGAGACAAAUGAAGAGGCUAUUGAGUGUUCUUUCCGCUCUUUAAAAAUCAUCAAUGCAACCUUCAUUUUGGAAGGAAGUGAGGUGCCGGUACCCAAAAUGUCUAGAGCCACAAGGAUGGCCCUGCAAAUGAUGAUGGGGAAGGGAGUAUUGCUAGGAAAGGACUAGAAAGGCAGUUGCAAGGAGGGGUUCAGAUCCCAAAAAUGAUUGAGAAAAAAGAUUGCUUUGGUUUGGGCUUCAGGCCAAACCAUAAGCACAAAAGGCAAGAGAUUGAGAAGCGCCAGGCGAGAAGAAAGGCGCAUUUAAACGAAGGAGAAGUGCAGUGGGAACCGAUGACAUUCCCACCUAUAUCCAAAUUCUUUAAGUCUGGAGGAUUACUGGUAGAAGAGAGUCAUCAAAUUAAUCCUGUACACGGUGAGGGAUUGGAGCAAGGAAGCCUCGAGGGUAUUCGCCCUUACGAGCCAGGGAGCUUUCUGAUUAAUUGGACUGCGGAGGACCUUCCUGUAGUCUUUAGGAAUUUUUUAGAGUAAUUAUCGGAACAUGUCUAUUACUCUAGGGCCUAAGAGUAGUAAGAUUACGUUUUUAAAAACAGGCCUAUGUUUAUCUAUUAUUAUUUAAAUAAAAUAUAACUUUUAUCAAUUUAAACGAGUAUUGUUUCAUUUUUAUCAACCAAUAUUCCUUUAAAUUUUGGAAAUUCUUAUUCUUUUAUUCAUAGCACAUAAACAAUCAUUCUUAGAUUCAUUCAUUCUUUGUAUAUUCUUUCAUACCCCCACAGGUCCCUAGAUAUCAAUGAUAUGAGCACUAAUACAGCAAGUCCUGAUUUCUCUUGCGAACAAGACAUGUGUUUAGAGGAGCCUCAAGAUUUUGAAGAUGUUCAAGAUUAUGACGUAUCUCUUGAUCUAUUAAGAAUGGUAAAGAAGGAGGAGAAACAAAUCAUGCCAUAUGAGAAAGAGGCAAUAGAGAAUAUAGCCCUAGAGGAAGGGAAAGAGUUGAAAAUUGGAACACUGAUUACCGAGGACACAAGGCAUGGUCUGGUUGAGUUGCUUCGAGAGUUCAAGGAUAUCUUCGCCUGGUCAUAUCAAGAUAUGCCCAGAUUAAGUACCGACAUUGUAGUACAUCUUUCGAUAAGACAGGAUUGUAAACCAGUCUAAUAGAAGUUGCGAAGAAUGAGGCCAGAUAUUGUUCUGAAAAUAAAGGAUGAAGUCAAGAAGCAGUUCGAUGCAGGAUUCUUGCAAGAAGUGAAAUACUCCGAAUGCGUAGCUAACAUUGUAUCAGUUCCUAAGAAAGAUGGAAAGGUACGAAUGUGUGUUGAUUACAGAGAUUUAAAUAAAGCUAGCCCCAAAGAUAAUUUCCCUCUGCCACACAUAGACACUUUGGUGGACAACACAGCAGGAUAUUCGUUGUUUUCCUUCAUGGAUGGUUUCUCAGGAUACAAUCAGAUAAAGAUGCAUCCAGAGGACAUGGAUAAAACCACCUUCAUAACCUUGUGGGGCACCUUUUGGUACAAAGUAAUACCAUUUGGACUGAGGAACGCAGGGGCAACAUACCAACGAGCAAUGGUAAACUUAUUCCACGACAUGAUGCAUAAGGAUAUUGAGGUAUACGUUGAUGAUAUGAUUGCCAAGUCGCGAACAGAGAAAGAACAUAUUGAGGUCUUUAGAAGAUUGUUCUUGAGAUUGAGAAAAUUUCAAUUGAAACUCAAUCCAGCAAAGUGUACCUUUGGAGCUAGAUCGGGAAAAUUAUUGGGUUUCGUAGUCAGUGAAAAGGGAAUAGAAGUGGAUUCAGAUAAAGUCAGGGAAAUACAAGAUUUACCUCUACCACGUACUCAGAAGGAAGUUCGAGGAUUCUUAGGAAGGUUGAAUUACAUCGCUCGGUUCAUUUCACAACUGACCGAGAAAUGCGAUCCUAUCUUUCGCCUCAUCAGAAAGCACAAUCAAGGUACUUGGGAUGAGAAGUGUCAGAAUGCUUUUGAAAAGGUCAAGAAGUAUUUGUUGAAUGCUUCGGUAUUAUCUCCACUAAACCCAGAUAAACCGUUGAUACUAUACUUGUCAGUGUUCAGUAAUUCUAUGGGAUGUGUGCUUGGUCAGCAUGACGAGUCAGGGAAAAAGGAGAGGGCAAUUUAUUAUCUCAGUAAGAAAUUCACUGACUGUGAAAUGAGAUAUCCACCAAUUGAAAAGUUGUACUGUGCGCUGAUUUGGACAACACGGAGAUUAAGACAGUAUAUACUAUACCAUACCACUUGGCUCAUUUCAAAGCUUGAUCCAUUGAAAUACAUGAUAGAGUCAACGGCUCUAAAUGGGAGAAUGGCGAGAUGACAAAUUUUGCUUUCAGAGUUUGAUAUAGUCUACAUAAGUCAGAAGGCUACAAAAGGAAGUGCGGUAGCAGACUUCUUGGCCAGUAGGGCUUUAGAUGAUUAUGAGCCAUUGAACUUUGAUUUUCCAAAUGAGGAGUUAAUGUGUAUAGCAACGUCUGAAGAUUCUCAUUGGAAGCUAAAUUUUGAUGGGGCUUCUAAUGCAGUCGGAAAUGGAAUUGAGGCAGUUUUGGUAUCCCCGAAUGGUGAUCAUUACCCGUUCACGUGCAAGUUGGAUUUUGAUUGUACGAACAAUAUGGCUAAUUAUGAAGCAUGCAUGAUGGGACUUCAAGCAGCUAUAGAGCGAGGUAUAAAAACCCUAGAAGUAUACGGAGAUUCCGCGUUCGUAAUUUAUCAGCUUAAAGAUGAAUGGGAGACAAGGGACCCUAAAUUGAUCAAUUAUCGAAAGGUAGUUUUGGGGUUACUUGAGAAGUUUGAUGACAUCACCUUCAAUUAUCUCCCACGAGAUGAAAAUCAGAUGGCAGAUGCUUUAGCAACCUUGGCCUCAAUGAUUAAGGCGAAUAAAGAGGAAGAGAUGAGACAAAUUCAAAUGAGCGUCUACGAGGCUCCAGCUCAUUGUUGCAACAUUGAGAAGGAAGAAAAUGAUAAUAACCCUUGGUAUUAGGAUAUAUUUCGAUAUGUAAGAGAUCGUAAAUACCCUGAACAGGCUAAUGAAAAUGACAAAUGAACUUUAAGAAGGUUAGCUUGCGACUAUGUCUUGGACGGGAAUAUCCUGUACAAGAGAAGGAAAGACUAACUACUUUUGAGAUGCGUGAUGCUGUGGAAGCUAAGCUUAUUUUAGAAGAAGUUCAUGAAGGUGUAUGUGGGACGCAUGCAAAUGGGUUCACGAUGGCAAGGCAAAUCAUGAGGUUUGGCUAUUAUUGGGCCACUACAGAAGGGGACUAUAUCAACUAUACCAAGAAAUGCCAUAAGUGUCAGAUUUAUGGGGACAAAAUUCAUGUACCACCUUCACCUUUGCAUGUUAUGACUUCUUCAUUGCCCUUUUCCAUAUGGGGCAUGGAUGUCAUUGGACCAAUAUCACCGAAAGCUUCGAAUGGACAUCGGUUUAUCUUCGUGGUAAUUGGCUACUUUACAAAAUGGGUAGAGGCCGCUUCUUACGCGAAUGUUACUAAGUCAGCUGUGAGUCGAUUCUUAAAGAAAGAGAUCAUUUGUUGGUAUGGAAUGCCUGAAAGGAUCAUAUCCGAUAAUGCAUUGAACUUGAACAACAAAACAAUAUCAGAGGUUUGUGACCAGUUCAAGAUCAAGCAUCACAAUUCUUCUCCUUAUCGUCCAAAAAUGAAUGGGGCAGUGGAGGCCGCUAAAAAGAACAUCUAGAAAAUAGUGGGGAAGAUGACUGAGACCUAUAAAGAUUGGCAUGAGAAGUUACCGUUUGCACUCCUAGCCUAUCGAACAUCUGUCAGAACCUCUACUAGGGCAACCCCAUUCUCGUUAGUUUAUGAGAUGGAAGCAGUGUUACCUAUUGAAGUAGAAAUACCUUCUCUUCGAAUUUUGAUGGAGAUAAGGUUAGAUGAAGCUGAAUGGGUUCAAUCGCGAUAUGAUCAGUUGAAUUUGAUUGAGGAGAAGAGGCUAAAAGCCAUUCGACAUGGUCAGAUGUAUCAGAAGCGAAUGAUGCGAGCUUAUGAUAAGAAAGUUCGACCAAGAGAAUUCCACGAGGGAGACCUUGUACUGAAAAAGAUCAUUCCUAUUCAAAAAGACUUUAGGGGGAAAUGGAUGCCGAAUUGGGAGGGGCCGUAUGUCGUUAAGAAAGCUUUCUCUGGCGGUGCAUUGAUCUUAACAGAAAUGGAUGGGAAAAGUUUACCCAAUCCAGUGAACUCAGACUUAGUUAAAAAAUACUUUGUCUAAAGGAGAGGAGAAUCCAAGGUGAAAACCCGUAAAGGGCGCAUUGAGAUUUAAAAAAAAGAAUAAAAAACGGAGAGGCCAAAGUGAAAACCCACAAAGGGCGCCUUGUGCCCAAAGGGGUUUUGAGUUGAAAACCCAAAAGGGCGACUCAAAUUUUGAAGCAUCCGGUAAUCUUGCUCAGCAAAGAACGAAGAACGUUGCAUACUAGGGCAUCGACAGAGUACUUUGAAUCUUCUAAACACAUACCUUCAUGAAGUUGAUGGAUAAGUGCUCAAGCGGCGAUAUCUAGGGCAUCUAAUUUUGGCCUGUUUGCUAUCUUUAGAUUUUUUUUUCUUUCUCUUCUCAAAGAUAGGCUUUCAGAUUAAUUUCCAUUGUAUCUUUUUUGAUAAUUCAUUCAAAUCCAAUUAUUCUUAGAGUUUAUACAUCUUCUAUUGUUCUUUAAGUAUUGAAAUAAUGAUAGAUGAACUAAAUAUGUUCACAAACGAAGUUUUGCACAUUACUCUGGAAUUUCUAGAUAAUACAAGAAACUAAAACAGGACAAUUGUUCAAGAAAUUCACGUAAGUAAGGAGUGAAGGAACUCGAGGGAUUUCUUUCUUCCAGUCUAAAAGGAAAAUGGACAAAACCAACGACUCAACUUUAAGGAAAGAUUGUCUUACAGACAUCCUCAGUGGAUUGUAGCAUUGGAGGAAGGGAACAGGCCUAUAGGCUGAGCAAGAAUGAUACUUUGAAAAAACAAAAGAAGGAAUAAGUGAUGACGUUUAGGAUAGGGGUCAUAUUCACAACAUUUUGCAUCAUAACAUGUUUAAUUAGGAACAUUCGACUUACUUCGAUCAUAGCAUCCUAAUUAUCAAGCAUAAUCAUUCUACAGAUUAUCAAAGAUGGCGUGCCUUAAUCCUCUAAACAGUAGGGUAGUAGGCCGCAGCAUAGCAGAUCUCACCUUCAGAUGUUUAUACUGAAGAAGAUCCAAGAUGAUUUGGCAUCCUUGUGCUUACAAUGAGCGAAUCGAAGACAUAGCUGAUAUGGCUUUCACGUGUUUACGAUGAAGCAAAUCUAAGAUGAUUUGGCAUCUCUGUAUUGUCAGAGAACAAAUCGAAGUCUGGCAUCUCCACUUCGACGGGGAGCAGAUGCAUAGUAGAUCUCACAUUCAGAUGUUUAUACUGAAGAAGAUCCAAGAUGGUUUGACAUCAUUGUGCUUACAAGGAGCGAAUCGAAGACAUAGCUGAUUUGGCUUUCACGUGUUUACGAUGAAGCAAAUCUAAGAUGAUUUGGAAACUUUGUAUUAUCAGAGAACAAAUCGAAGUCUAGCAUCUCCACUUCGACAGGGAGCAGAUACAUAGCAGAUCUCACAUUCAGAUAAUUUCACUGAAGCAAGAUCCAAGAUGAUUUGACAUUUUUGUGUUUACAAGGAACAAAUCAAGGACAUAGCAGAUUUGACUCUCAGAUGUUCUCAAAUAGAUCCAAGAUGAUUUGGUAUCCUUGUGCUUACAAGGAACGAAUCGAAAACAUAGCUGAUUUGGCUUUCGCGUGCUUACGCUGAAGAAAAUCUAAGAUAAUUUGGCAUCUCUGUAUUGUCAGAGAACAAAUCGAAGAAGCAGAUUUGACGUAUCUGUGUUCGACGAAUAGCAAAUUGAAGAUAUCAACAUGACAGUCACAAGUUUACGAGAAGCAGAUUGAGGACUAUGAUUUGAUAAGACCGGUCAAAUUUGGUUUUUCUAAAUCUUUGCUCGAUUCCCGUUAUACAACAAUGAGCAAAGAGGGGCAGCUCUAGUAGCCCAAAUUUGACCGGGCUGAAAAUGAAAUAAAAGAAUUAAAUAAAUAUUUAUUUAUUUAAUGUCCAUUUAAAAGUCCAUAAAUAACCAACCCAAUAGACCCAUUUAGCCUAAACCCAACAGACCCGUUACACCUAGCAGCCCAUUUACAAUCAAAUACCUAAAGCCCAACUAAACUAACCCAUUAACUUGUAAAUCACCUAAAACCCGGUUACACCCGAGCCCAAAUACCCAAACAGACCCAGGACUAAAGUGGCCCAACUGGCCCAAAUAAUUACACCAACGCAAGAAACCCUAGGAUUUCUGCUUUUCCCUCCUGGCACCGCAACGUCUUCUGGAAGCUUCUGGGAGCGUCUGUCUAGUUCCCCGAAUCGAGACGGCCAUCAAUGCUCUGUCUCAGGUUUCCAAUGCCCCAUCAGUGCCUCGCCAUCUCAACAGCCACCGAUCGUGCCCCCAUCAAGGCCACGAUUCCAGGCCCUGAGUCACGCCGUGAUCAACGCCUCCGGUAGACCAUCGUCAAGCCUUCGUCAUCGUCGGAUUUCUCGUAAACAUCUGCAAGAAAAGGAAAGAAAUCAAAGCAAGAUUGCAGUAAAUAGGUUAGAACAGAGUUUGGAAAGAAAUCUUUCAAUUUCUUUCCAAAAUAGGCAGUAGAUCAAGCCUAUAAAGCCUUUUCUCAAAUCUGUAAAAAGGGAUACACAGAAAUAGAGAGAAACACAUCACAAAAAGCAUUGUACAUCAAACCUUUGCAAUAAUAAUUCAGAAGGUGAUUAUUUUUUGUACUUAUCUCUUUUUCUCUUUUACGAAUAUAUGAAUCGUUUUUUUUUAAAGUAACAUUUAAAAGGAAAGAGGUUACCUGUGGAAGGACGAAGGUUAUUAAACCUUCAGACCACCGCGUACGGCAGCGCGUGGGCACUCGUGGGCUAGUGGUCGGAGGCCUGAAGCCAAGGCCAAAAAACCCCCAUUGUCUCCUCAUUCAGAGGAUUUUUAGAUUUUUUUCUUCUAAACUGAUUGUUAAAUAAGUUUUAGGCUUAAGUUUUAGCUUAUAUAAUCCAGCAAAAAUGACAUUGUUUCUGUUUAAACAAUAAGCUAUGAAACGACACCGUAUUAGGCAGAGGAUCCGCGUGUUGACCCGAUUACCCAGGGAGGAUCCGCGUGUUUUCAUGAAAUGGAUUAAUUGCCCAAUUGGUCCUCUCGCAAUUUUUAUAUUUUUAAUUUCAAUUUAUUUAUUUUUUAAUUUAGCUUUAAUGUUUUAAUUCUGUUUCAAUUUGGCCCUCCCAGUGAUUUACAACCGCAUUAGGAAAAACGCUGCCGUUUUGGGAAUAGGGCGAUUUGCCCAAUGAAUCCCUUUUGUUUUACGCGUGUUUUAAUUAGAACCUUAAUUCAGCUUUUUUUUCUAAAUUCGCCCCUAUAAUUUUAUUAAACUUCAAAUUUAACCCUAUAUAUUUAUUUCUAUUAUUAUAUAAAUAUAAAUAUUUAUUGUUAUUUGCUUUGUUUUUAUUUUUAAAUUAUAUAUUAUAUGAUUAUUUUAUAUAUUACUCAUAUUAUUUAUAUAUAUUAUAUAUUAUUUUCACAUAUAUACUUUCAUAUUAUAUAUUAUAUUUAUUUUAUAUUAUUAUAUCAUUUUAUACUAUUAAAUAUUUUUAUCUACAUAUUGUUAUCAUUAAAAGUUCUAACUUGUAUUAUAUAUUUAUUUUUAUUUAUAUGUAAAUAAUUACUUUACUUAUAUUCUAUUAUUACACAUUUUGAAGAUAUUAUAAUAUAAUAAUUUGUAUAAUACGUAUAUUUCAUCAUUAAUUACUUAUUUCAUAUUAUUCUAUUUAUCAAUCGUUUGUAUUAUACAUAUAUUUUUUAUUAAUAUGCAAUAUUUGCUUUUGCUUUAGAAUUAAUGUAUUAUUGCUAUGUUACGUAUUUUAUAUGUUAUGUAAUAUCUUAGACCUUUAUAAUUUAUUUUCAAAUGCAUUUUUUUAUAUAUAUGUGUUAAAAUUGUAUAUCAUGCAUCAUUUGUGUUUAAAUAUAUGUUGAAUUAUAUGUUUAGGGAUUUUUACCUACUUUUCUUAAAUAUGCAUUGUGUUUUAUGUAUAGUUUUUCUUAUUUAAAAAAUUGUCAUGUUUUAUUUCUUAUAUAUGUUGGUUAGUGUAUUAUAUUUAUGCUGUUAUGCUAUUACUUAUCUAUUAUUAUAACAUGUUAUCUCGUAUGUUAUGUUAAUAUGCUCCUUCAUGCAUCAGUUUUAAAAACGAGACUUCAAAGUUUUUAAAAAAUAAAAAGGCAAUGCUUGGUAUUUGGAAGCUUCGAGAAAAGUAGUGCCCUAACUUAUUGGGUUGCAACUUUUCUCGUUGAGUUCGAAUGGUCAAGUACCCUUCUAAGUUUUUAAGAUUUUCAAAAAACGAGCAACUGUCUUGGAAUUUCAAAGCGUUGUGUCCUAACUUACUGGAUGUGACAUUUUGUCGUUUCGAGAUAGGGAUUUCCAAAAAGGCUAACUUAGUAUCAAUAUUUUGAUACAAGUGAAUCCCAAUUUUCAAAAUCAAAAUAUUUUAAAGAGGAUUGUAUCUUAAAAUUUUUAAAUUUCCGACCUUAAAGACAUUUGAUAAUUAAUUAGGUACCAAUUUUUGGGCGUUACGAGGGUGCUAAUCAUUCCUUGUACGUAACUGACUCCCGAACCUGUUCUUUUUAUUACAUAGACGAAAACUAAUGAUUUUAAAACAAAAUGUUUUAAAGGUGAUCCAAUCACACCUAAAAAGAUUGGUGGCGACUCCUGUUUUUGUUUUCUUAAAGUCGAUUAUCAUUUUCCAAAACUCGAUUUAAAAAUGGUUUCGACAUGAGUAAUUUAGAUCUUUAGGUACAAAGUUCUUACUAGGCAAAAAACUAACAUGACACCCUGUAAGAUGUGAAAUGGGAGGAAGCCAAAUGUCAAGUAUUUCCAUGUGUUUAGAAGUACCUUGAUAGGUGGAAAAAUAAAAUCCUACACCUAAUUAAACAGGAUAUAAAUUAAAAGUAUAAGGAGUAGGGUCGAUCCCACAAGGACUAAUUUAUGUGAACUUGUAGUUUGUUAUAACCAGGACGUAUUGUAAGCAAUUUUGUGCCCAUAAUUUAUGCUAACCUAUACGAAAUAGAAAGAAGGAUUAAAUAUGAAUGUAACUAAAUUGCAAAAAUUAAAUAAUAAUGAAAUAGAAAUAAACAAAUCAGAAUUAAAAUUGAAUAACCCAAUAAGAUGGAUUUUGACUUCAACUUUGGAUUGAUCCCUGAACAAUGGAUUUUUUUCUCUAAUCGAUAAGUCGGGUAUAGUGAUCAAGGAACAACCUCAAACCACCAACCCUUUCGUAUGUAAAUUAACUGUAUGAACAACUUUACAGUUAACCUUACCAUGUAACACCCCUAACCCGUAUCCGUUACCGAAACAGGGUUACGAGGCAUUCUGGACUUAUACACUAGCAUUCGUAUAAAACCAAGUAAAAAAUUUGCAUUCUAAAUUAAAACUUUUCAAAUUUUAUGAUAAAGUCCCUAAUAUGGGCCUACAGGGCUCAAUACAUGCUUUGGAAGUGGUUCGGGACUAAACUGGCAAAUUUGGAAAUUUUACCUUGAAGAUAGGGGCAGACGCCCGUAUGGCCUGGGACAUGGCCGUGUGGCUAGCCCGUGGGGAUCCCAUGGUCGUCUGGCCAACCCGUGUGGAAUUCUGACUUGUAAUUUCUUAAGUAUCAAAGGGGCACAUGGCCUGGGCAUACGCCCAUGUGGCUAGGCCGUGUGGUAAACUGAUUUUUCAUCAUUUUUAAGCCAUUUUCACAUGAUUAUAACACGCAACCAUGCUUGAAACCCGUGUCCUUCACACGACCAAGACACACGGCCGUGUCUUUUGCCUGUGUAUUAUCCUGACUUUACAUUUAAGGAUGCAAGGGACACACGGUCAUAUCACACGCCCGUGGGCUUACCGUGUGUCACACACGGCCUAGACACACACCCGUGUGUCUAACCAUGUAGACGAAAAUAGGCCGUUUUAGGCCACUUUUCUCACCCUUUCAUCCAUUACCUACACUUAAACACAAUUAUACACUAAUAGAGUCCAACCAAACAAUUAUUUCAAGCCGAAACAUGUAUAUUUCAUUUUCAAACACAAAACACCAUAUUCAACUUACUUUGCAUACUUAAUCAUUCAUACUAUUACAUUAUCAAAUCAACCCCUAUACAUGCCAUAUAAAUCAAAAAGUUGUUUAACAAAAUCUACCGGAGUAAAUCUGGAUAGUGUGAUUCUUGAUGUAGAUCCGAUCCUCCAUAUGUAUAUAAGUCAAUCUACAAAACAAAUAACAUACACAAGUAAGCUUAUAAAAGCUUAAUAAGUUCAUAGGCAUAGAAAAAUAAAUCUUACCAAACAUUGUACACAAUUAUAUAUCUUAUAAUUUAACUAAAUCUUCCUGUAAAUCACAAAAUCAUUAAUAAGUUCAUAUGAAUAAUUUCCAUGUUGCUAUUCACAAAUUUUAACUCAUUUGGGCCCAUUUCUAAUUUACUUUCAUAGUCAAAUUAGGGAACACUAAUGGAAUUGAGUACUUCAUUAUCACAUUGCCAUGGUAAACCAUGGACUUGCACAUAGUCACAUAUCACACACCAAAGCUAUAGCCCUGCCAUGGUCUUACAAGGAUCACAUAUCAUACCGAUGCCAUAUCCCAGCUAUGGUCUUAUACGGAAUCACAUUAUCACAUCACACCGAUGCCAUAGCCCAACUAUGGUAUUAUACGGAAGCACAUAUCACAUCUUUUCCGUCAAUUCAUCAUGGUCAUAAAAUGAAAGCACUCAAAACCAUUGUUCCAACUAAUUUGUACUUUUAGUUAAACAUUAUUUAGUAAUUAAUACAAUUUGAUAGUAUUCAUCUACAAUAAGAUACCUUAGAAAUCCUAAGAUUUCCAUAAGAAAAUAUUGAACUUUUUCAUAUGAACUUACCUGGGUUAAUUUGCAAAAGUCGUAGAAAUUCAGGGACUAUUCUUGCAAUUUCUCAUUUCCACGAUUCACUUCGUUUUCUUGAUCUAUAAUUAUAAAAUCAUUCCUUCAUUAGCAUUUAUUUCAAUUCUAUUCUACUUCACAAUUUAUUCCCUUAAAUUUUCAAAAAUACACUAUUACCCCAAACUUUUUAGUUUUUAUAAUUUAGUCCUUGCUCAAUUAAUUCAUCGAUUGAGCUAAUUCCUCUCAAAUAACACUUUAUCAAGACAUUAUAAACUACUUCAAAGCCUUUAAAACUCAAAAUUUCAUCACAAAUCCCUAAUUCUAACAACUUUUACAAUUAGAUCGUAAAAAUUGAUUUCUAUAAAAAUCUCUUCAUGAAAUCAUCAUAUAAUAAAAUUAAAACCUCAAUUCCAUGAUAAAUCAUCAUAAAAUUUCAGCACUUAUUCAUAGAAACUUUCAAAAUUAUCCAUGAAAUCAAAAACUAAUGAAUUAAACAAGUGGACCUAGUUGUAAAAGUCUCAAAAACACAAAAAUUACAAGAAAUAAUCAAGAAUUGAGCUUACAUGUAGUAAAAAUAUGAGAGACCAGCUUAAAAGAACCCUUCAAUGGUGUUUUUGCUAGAGAAGAUGAAGAAAAAUGAAGAAAACUCUAGAUUUACCAAAUAUAUCAUAUUUUACAAUUAAUUUUUUACCCUAUUUCCAAUUUUACCCCUUUUUCACACUUGAUUUUUAUUUUUCCUGCACAAUGAUGCUGUCAACCCAUCUAAUUUGGGUCUUUUUACCUUCUAACUCCUUCUUUGAUAAUAUUUUAAGCUAUUUAAUCAUAUUUUAUAGUUUUGUACUUAAUUCAAUUUAGUCCUUUUUCUUCAAUUAAUAACCAAAAUGUUAAAAUUUCUUAAUGAAACUUUAAUAUUACCUUAUUAACACUCCAUAAAUACUUAUAAAAAUAUUUAUGGCUGGGUUUAUGAAUUUGAGGUCUCGAUACCUCAUUCUUGACCCAAUUAUCUAACAAUUUUCUUUUAAAACACAAAAUUCACUAAUUAAUAAAAAAUAUUUCUAAAAUCACACCUAACCUUUACUUAUAAAUUUCUAAAUUACUAAACUCACAUGUCAGAUUUAGUAAAUUCACAUCACUAUUCCGACACCACUGAAAUUUGGACUGUUAUAUACCAAAUGGCGUAACCAUUUUUAAAAAAAACGGGUAUCGACUUGGAGAAAAAAGAAAACGGGAGUCGCCACCAAUCUUUCUAGGUGUGAUUGGAUCACCUUGUAAAAGUGGUUGUUUUUAAUAAAUGGUUUGAUUUAUUUAAACAACGAUUUUGGUCCACGUAAAUCAAGAAAAAUAGGUUCGGGAGUCGGUUACGCACGAGGAAGGAUUAGCACCCUCGUAGCACCCAAAAAUUGGUACCUAGUUGAUUAAUUAAUAUCUUAGUGUCGGAAAUUGAAAGCUUGAAAGACAUUGAAAUACGACCCCUCUUCGUAAAAACGCUAAUUUGAAAAUGACCGAAUAGAUUAAAACAAACGUUAAAGACUCUCUCAUCUCGAGGUAAUAAAAUGUCACGCCCAGUAAAUUAAGACACGACAUCUCAAACUUUGAGAAUGAGCUUGCCUUUAUUUAAAAUUCAUAUAUUCUAAUUUUUUUUUGUAAAAGGUUGUUCUGUUAUUUAGGAUAAACAAGAAAAGUCGAAACCCAGUAAGUUAGGGCACGUUUUCUUGAAUUUUCUAAUACCAACCUAAUUUUUUUUUGUAAAAGGUUGUUCUGUUAUUUAGGAUAAACAAGAAAAGUCGAAACCCAGUAAGUUAGGGCACGUUUUCUUGAAUUUUCUAAUACCGAAUACUGCCUUUAUUUUAAAAAAAAUUCUUACUUCGAGGUAACGAAGUGUUAUACCCAGUAAGUUAGGGCACAACACCUCGUACUUCUGAAAAUAAGUAUUAUUCAAAACUCGUAUUGCGAUUUAAAAGAGUAUUCCGUAUUUAGAUUAAAUGAGAAAAGUCGAGACCCAGUAAGUUAGGGCAUGAUUGUCUCGAAUUAUCAAAUACGGAAUAUUUAUUUUUAUGAAAGAAUUAUUAUUGGGUUAGAUAAAACCUAAAUUCGUGAUGGAACGAGAUAAUAAAGAACGCAUAACAAAUAAAAAUCAAUAACUAUAACAAGAUAAACAUAAACACAAAUAUGAAUAGUAACGAUAAAUACGAAGGUAAGAUAAAUGAGUCGAACAAAUAAUAAGAAAGGGAAAUAAUGAAUAAGAUAAAUGUUUGAAAUUAUUUUAAAAAACUAUAAGUAGAAUAGAUGAUGAAAUAAUAAUAAAAAAAGUAAUGAUAUGUAAAUAAAAUAAAUAUGCUAAAAAAUAUAUAUUUAUUAAAUUAGUUAAUAUAAAAAAUAAUAACGUAUAAGUAAAUACAAAAAAAGAAAAUAUAAUAAUAAUAGUAAAAACACAAUAGUAAUAAUAAUGAAAAGGUAUUAUAAUAUAAUAGUAAUAAUGAUAAUAAUAGUGGUAUUAGUAAUAAUAAUAAUAGAAAAUAAUAACAAUAUUAAAAAUAACACUCUCUCCCUCCCUUCUAAAUCCGGCUAUUGGUCCGGCUUUGCUUCGGUCACAGACCCCCACGGGUCGCCGUCGGCGCCACCGUACACGGCGGACGGACCUAAAAAAAAAACUUUUUCGAUAAUGAAAAUAUGGGUAAGCUUCUUACUUUUAUUUUUACUUUCGUGUAAAAAAAACAAAAUAAAAUUGAAAGGAAAACAACAAACAAACAAAGAACUUAAGAUGAUAAUAGACAAAAGAAACCUCUUUUGCUUUGAUCUUUUGAUUAAUCUCCAAAAACUAGCCUUUCCAAAAAAAAACCCCUUCUAACAUAGUCUUGAAUGGCUUUUUUAGCCAAAUUUUACAACUAAUUUUUUUGUAGGCAAGUGGAGUGGUUGGGAUGGUUUAGUGGGGUGGUUAGAGUGGUUUAGUGGGGUGGUUGGAGUGAAGAUAUUUGGAUUUUUUUUUAUUUUUUUUAUAUUUCAUAAAUGGGCCAUUAGGGUUUAGGUGAUUGGGCUUUAAAGGUUGUUGGGUUUUGGGCUGUUAGGUUUUAGAUGUUGAGCUUUUUAGCCCGGGUAAAAUUUAGGCUGUACAACUGCCCCUCUUUGCUUGUUGUCGUGUAACGUGAACAGAGCAAAGACUAUAAAAAGACCAAUUUUGCCCGGGCUCGCCGAGUCUUGAGUUCUUGAUCUUUGAUCUUCUUUAAAUGGCCUCUUGACGGCUUCAAUCUGUUUCACUGCAACUUAGGAAAGCGAUAUUUUCUAUCUUUGAUCUGCUCCCCGUCUAAUACAGAGACGCCAAAUCUGUCAUCUUCGAUCUGCUCCCCGUCUAAUACAGAGACGCCAAAUUUGCUUCGUCAAUCUACUCCUUGCAAACUCAUGACUGUCAUGUUGAUAUCUUCAAUCUGCUUCCCGUUGAACACAGAGACGCCAAAUCUGCUUCUUCGAUUUGUUCCUUGUAAGCACAAGGAUGCCAAAUCAUCUUGGAUCUUGCUUCGGUAUAAACAUCUGAAGGCCAGAUCUGCUAUGUAUCUGCUCUCCGUCGAAAUGGAGAUGCCAGACUUUGACUUGUUCUCUGACAAUACAGAGAUGCCAAAUCAUCUUAGGCUCGCUUUAGCGUAAGCACGCAAAAGCCAAAUCAGCUAUAUCUUCGAUUUGCUCCUUGUAAGCACAAGGAUGCCAAAUCAUCUUGGAUCUUGCUUCAGUAUAAACAUUUGAAGGCCAGAUCUGCUAUGUAUCUACUCUCCAUCGAAAUGGAGAUGCCAGACUUCGACUUGUUCUCUGACAAUACAGAGAUGCCAAAUCAUCUUAGACUUGCUUUAGCGUAACCAUGUGAAAGCCAAAUCAACUAUGUCUUCGAUUUGCUCUUUGUAAGCACAAGGAUGCCAAAUCAUCUUGGAUCUUGCUUCAGUAUAAACGUCUGAAGGCCAGAUCUGCUAUGUAUCCACUCUCCGUCGAAAUGGAGAUGCCAGACUUCGACUUGUUCUCUGACAAUACAGAGAUGCCAAAUCAUCUUAGACUUGCUUUAGCGUAAGCACGCGAAAGCCAAAUCAGCUAUGUCUUCGAUUUGCUCCUUGUAAGCACAAUGAUGCCAAAUCAUCUUGGAUCUUACUUCAGUAUAAACAUCUAAAGGCCAGAUCUGCUAUGUAUCUACUCUCCGUCGAAAUGGAGAUGCCAGACUUCGACUUGUUCUCUGACAAUACAGAGAUGCCAAAUCAUCUUAGACUCGCUUUAGCGUAAGCAUGCGAAAGCCAAAUCAGCUAUGUCUUCGAUUUGCUCCUUGUAAGCACAAGGAUGCCAAAUCAUCUUGGAUCUUGCUUCAGUAUAAACAUCUGAAGGCCAGAUCUGCUAUCUAUCUGCUCUCCGUCGAAAUGGAGAUGCCAGACUUCGACUUGUUCUCUGACAAUAUAGAGAUGCCAAAUCAUCUUAGACUUGCUUUAGCGUAAGCACGCGAAAGCCAAAUCAGCUAUGUCUUCGAUUUGCUCCUUGUAAGAACAAGGAUACCAAACCAUCUUGGAUCUGUUUUAGCCAGAUUUGCUAUGCUGCGGCCUAUUACCCUACUGCUUAGGGGUUAAGGUGCGUCAUCUUUGAUAACCUGUAGAAUGAUUAUGCUUGAUAAUUAGGAUGCCAUGAUCAAAAUGAGUCGGAUGUUCCUAAUUAAACAUGUUAUGAUACAAAAUUUUGUGAAUAUGACCCCUAUCCUAGACGUUACCAUUCAUUCCUUUAUUUGUCUUUUCAAAGCAUUAUUCUUGCUCAACCUGUAGGCCUGUACCCUUCCUCUAAUGCUACGGCCCACUGAGGAUGUGUGAAUUUCUCGAACAAUUGUCCUGUUUUAGUUUCUUGUAUUAUCUAGAAAUUCUAGAGUAGUGCGCAAAAUUUCAUUUGUAAAUAUAUUUAGUUCAUCUAUCAUUAUUUCAAUGUAACAUGGAAAAUGAAUGACUCUUUAAGAAUAAUUGGAUUUGAAUGAAUUAAAAGGAAAGGAUACAAAGGAAAUUAAUCUGAAAGCCUAUCUUUAGGAAGGAACAAAAUCUAAAGAUAGAAAACAGGAUAAAAGUUAGAUGCUCAAGAUAUUGCUGCUUGAGUGCCUAUACACCAGCUCCAUGAAGUCUUUCUUGAGUUCAACAUGUGUUUAAAAAGAUCCAAAGUACUUUGUUAAUGCCCCAAUAUGCAACGUGUUUCGCCCUUCAAAUAUAGCAAGAUCACUGUGUACUCUUCAAAAUUUGAGCUACCCUUUCGGGUUUUCAACUCAAAACCCCUUUGGUCACAAGGUGCCCUUUGCGGGUUUUCACCUUGGCCUCUCCUUUUUUUUUUUAAUCUCAAGGCGCCCUUUACGGGUUUUCACCUUGGAUUCUCUUCUCCUUUAGACAAAGUAUUUUUUAACUGAGUCUGAGUUCACUGGGUUGGGUAAACUUUUCCCAUCCAUUUCCAUUAAGAUCAAUGCACCACCGGAGAAAGCUUUCUUUACGACAUACAGCCCUUCCCAAUUCGACAUCCAUUUCCCCCUAAAAUCUUUUUGAAUAGGAAGAAUCUUUUUCAGUACAAGGUCUCCCUCGUGGAACUCUCUGGGUCAAACUUUCUUGUCAUAAGCUCGCAUCAUUCGCUUCUGAUACAUCUGACCAUGCCGAAUGGCUCUUAGCCUCUUUUUCUCAAUCAAGUUCAACUGGUCAUAUCGGGAUUGAACCCAUUCAGCUUCAUCUAACCUUAAUUCAGUCAAAAUUCGAAAAGAAGGUAUUUCUACUUCAAUAGGUAACACUACUUCCAUCCCAUAAACUAACGAGAAUGGGGUUGCCCCAGUAGAGGUUCUGAUAGAUGUUCGAUAGGCCAGGAGUGCAAAUGGUGACUUCUCAUGCCAAUCUCUAUAGGUCUCAGUCAUUUUCCCCACUAUUUUCUUAAUGUUUUUGUUGGCAGCUUCUACUGCCCUAUUCAUUUUUGGACGAUAGGGGGAAGAAUUGUGAUGCUUAAUCUUGAACUGGUCGCAAACUUCUGCUAUCAUUUUGUUGUUCAAGUUUAAUGCAUUGUCUGAUAUGAUCCUUUCAGGCAUCCCAUACUGACAAAUGAUCUCUUUCUUCAAAAAUCGACUCACAGCCGACUUAGUAACAUUUGCAUAAGAAGUGGCCUCUACCCAUUUUGUGAAGUAGUCAAUAACCACGAAGAUAAAUCGAUGUCCAUUUGAAGCCUUCGGUGAUAUUGGUCCAAUGACAUCCAUGCCCCACAUGGAAAAGGGCCAUGGAGAAGUCAUAACAUGUAGAGGUGAAGGUGGUACAUGUAUCUUGUCUCCAUAAAUCUAAUAUUUAUGACAUUUCUUGGCGUAGUUGAUACAAUCCCCUUUCAUGGUAGACCAAUAAUAUCCAAAUCUCAUGAUUUGUCUAGCCAUCGUGAACCCAUUUGCAUAUGUCCUGCAUACGCCUUCAUGAACUUCUUCUAAAAUUAGCUUAGCUUCUACGGCAUCAACACAUCUCAAAAGUACUUGGUCUUUCCUUCUCUUGUACAGGAUAUCCCCGUCUAAGACAUAGUCGCAAGCUAGCCUUCUCAACGUUCGUUUGUCAUUUUCAUUGGCUUGUUCAGGGUAUUUGCGAUCCCUCACAUAUCGUAAUAUAUCCUGAUACCAAGUGUUAUCAUCCUCUUCUUCCUUCUCAAUGUUGCAACAAUGUGCUGGAGCCUCGUAGACACUCAUUUGAAUUAGUCUUAUCUCUUCUUCUUUAUUCGCCUUAAUCAUUGAGGCCAAGGUUGCUAAAGCAUCUGUCAUCUGAUUUUUGUCUCGUGGGAGAUAAUUGAAGGUGAUGUCAUUAAACUCCUCAAGUAACCCCAAAACUACCUUUUGAUAAUUGAUCAAUUUAAGGUCCCUUGUUUCCCAUUCACCUCUGAGUUGAUAAAUUACCAACGCAGAAUCUCCAUAUACUUUUAGGGUUUUUAUACCUCGCUCUAUAGCUACUUGUAGUCCCAUGAUGCACGCUUCAUACUCGGCCAUAUUGUUCGUGCAAUCAAAGUCCAACUUGCACGUGAAAGGAUAGUGAUUUCCAUUUGGAGAUACCAAGAUUGCCCCAAUUCCAUUUCCGACUGCAUUAGAAGCCCCAUCAAAAUUGAGCUUCCAAGAAAAAUCUUCGGCCGUUGCUAUACACAUCAACUCCUCAUUUGGAAAAUCAAAGUUCAAUGGCUCAUAAUCCUCUAGAGCCCUACUGGCCAAGAAAUCUGCUACCGCACUUCCUUUGAUAACCUUCUGACUUAUGUAGAUUAUAUCAAAUUCUGAAAGCAAAAUUUUCCAUCUCGCCAUUCUUCCAUUCAGAGCCGUUGACUCCAUCAUGUAUUUCAAUGGAUCAAGCUUUGAAAUGAGCCAAGUGGUAUGGUAUAACAUGUACUGUCUUAAUCUUCGAGUUGUCCAAAUCAGAGCACAACACAACUUUUCAAUUGGUGGAUAUCUCAUCUCACAGUCAUUGAACUUCUUACUGAGAUAAUAGAUUGCCUUCUCCUUUUUCCCUGACUCGUCAUGCUGGCCAAGCACACAUCCCAUAGAAUUACUGAACACUGGCAAGUACAGUAUUAACAGGUUAUCUAGGCUAGGUGGAGAUAAUACCGGAGCAUUCAAAAAAUAUUGCUUGACCUUUUCAAAAGCAUUCUGGCAUUCCUCAUCCCAAGUACCUUGAUUGUGCUUUCUGAGGAGGCGAAAGAUAGGGUCACAUUUUUCGGUUAGUUGUGAAAUGAACCGAGCAAUGUAAUUCAACCUUCCUAGGAAUCCUCGAACUUACUUCUGAAUACAUGGUGGAGGUAACUCUCGUAUGGCUCUGACCUUGUCUGAGUCAACCUCAAUUCCCUUUUCACUAACUACAAAGCCUAAUAACUUUCCCGAUCUGGCUCUAAAGGUACACUUUACUAGAUUGAGCUUCAACUGAAAUUUUCUCAACCUCAAGAACAAUCUUCUCAAGACCUCAAUGUGCUCUUUUUCUGUAUGUGACUUGGAAAUUAUAUCAUCAACGUAUACCUCAAUAUCCUUAUGCAUCAUGUCGUGGAAUAAGUUUACUAUGGCCUGUUGGUAUGUUGCCCCUGUGUUCUUUAGUCCAAACGGCAUUACUUUGUAGCAAAAGGUGCCCUAUAAGGUUAUGAAGGUGGUUUUAUCCAUGUCCUCUGGAUGCAUCUUUAUUUGAUUGUAUCUUGAGAAACCAUCCAUGAAGGAAAACAACGAAUAUCCUGCUGUGUUGUCCACCAAAGUGUCUAUGUGUGGUAGAGGGAAAUUAUCUUUGGGGCUAGCUUUAUUUAAAUUCUGUAAUCAACAUACAUUCGUACCUUCCCAUCUUUCUUAGGAACUGGUACAAUGUUAGCUACCCAUUCGGGGUAUUUCACUUCUUGUAAGAACCCUGCAUCGAACUGCUUCUUAACCUCAUCUUUUAUUUUUAGAACAAUAUCCGGCCGUAUUCUCUGCAACUUCUGUUGAACUGGCUUACAAUCUUGCCUUAUCGGAAGACGAUGUACUACAAUGUCAGUACUCAAUCCGGGCAUGUCCUGAUAUGACCAGGCGAAGAUAUCCUUAAACUCUCGAAGCAACUCAACCAGACUAUGCCUUGGGUCCUCUGUAAUCAGUGUUCCAAUUUUCAACUCCUUCCCUUCCUCUAGGGAUAUAUUCUCUAUUUCCUCUUUCUCAUGUGGCGUGAUUUGUUUCUCCUCCUGUUUUACCAUUCUUAAUAGAUCGAGGGAUACGUCACAAUCUUGAACAUCUUCAAAAUCCUGAGAUUCCUCUAAACACAUGUCUUGCUUGUAAGAGAAAUCAGGAGUGGCAGUAUCAGUACUCAUAUCAUUGAUAUCUAGAGACCUGUGGGGUAUGAAAGAAUAUACAAAGAAUGAAUGAAUCUAAGAAUGAUUGUUUAUGUUCUAUGAAUAAAAGAAUAAGAAUUGCCUAAAUUUAAAAGAAUAUUGGUUGAUAAAAAUGAAACAAUGCUUGUUUAAAAUCGAUAAAAGUUAUGUUUUAUUUAAAUAAUAAUAGAUGAACAUAGGCCCAUUUUCACAAAUGUAAUCUUACUACUCCUAGGCCUUAAAGUAAUAGACAUGUUUCGAGAAUUACUCUGAAAAUUCCUAAAGGCUACAAGAAGGUCUUCAGCAGUCCAAUUAUUCAGAGAGCUCCCUGGCUCGUAAGGGCGAAUGUCCUCGAAACUUCCUUGCUUCAAUCCUUCAUCGUGCACAGCAUUAAUUUGAUGACUCUCUUCUAUCAGUAACCCUCUUGACUUAAAGGAUUUGGAUAUAGGUGGGAAUGUCAUCGGUUCCCACUCCACUUCUCUUCCGUUCAAACGCGCAUUCCUUCUCGCUUGGCGCCUCUCCAUCUCCUGCUUUUUGUGCUUAUGGUCUGGCUUAAAGCCCAAACCAAAGCGAUCUUUCUUCUCAAUCAGUUUUGGGAUUUGAAUCCCUCCUUGCGACUGUCUUUCUAGUCCUUUUCCCGGUAAUGCCCCUUUUUCCCAUCAUCAUUUGUAGGGCCAUCCUUGUGGCUCUAGACAUUUUGAGUACCGGCACCUCACUUCCUUCCAAAAUAAAGGUUGCAUUGAUGAUUUCUAAAGAGCGAAAAGAACACUCAAUAGCUUCUUCAUUUGCCUCAACAUAAGGGGCCUUGCUAGUGACUGCUGCUAUAAUGUCUUCCUCCGCGUGGAUGGUUAUUAACCGUCCAUCUGUUACUAACUUCAAUUUUUGGUGCAAUGAGGAAGGCACCGCUCCUGCCGAGUGUAUCCAUGGCCUCCCCAAUAAACAAUUAUAGGAGGGCUUGAUAUCCAUUACCAAGAAAUCAACUUCAUAUGUAUUUGGCCCAAUUUCCAAAUGGAUGUCGAUUCGUCCCAUCACUUUCCUUUCAGUUCCAUCAAAGGCUCUUACCAUGUUUUCAUAUGCGAACCGUCAAUGGGUAAUCUAUUCAAUGUGGAUAAUGGAAGGACAUUCAAAGCAGACCCGUUAUCAACGAGUACACUUGGCAGCGUGUAUCUCUUGCACCGAGUAGUGAUGUGCAAGGCUUUGGUUGACCCUAUACCCCCGAGUGGAAUUUCAUCAUCAUUAAAGUAGAUGAAAUUGUCCGCACUGAUGUUAUUUACCAACCGGUCCAACUUGUUAACGGAUAUGUUGUGAGUGACAUAUGUUUCGUUAAGUACCUUCAACAAUGCAUCCCGAUGUACCUCAGAACUCAGAAGUAAGGCUAAUACUGAUAUACGCGCCGGCUGCUUAUGCAACUGAUCGACCAUACUGUACUCGCUAUGCUUAAGGAAUUUUAGAAACUUCUUAGCCUCCUCUUCCUUUACUGGCUCUUUGACAGGGAUUUCAACGUCUUUCUUUUUCUCAAUGUCAACAUCCUUUGCUUUUGUAGGCUCCACUCUGAUGUCCCCCCAUUAUAGCGCUUCCCACUUCGCGUAUGGGAACCUUCAUUUUGCUCGCUCCUAAAUGCACUGGCUAUGCUCUCCCCCUCAGGUACUGUUACACUGCAAUCAUAGCUCCAUGGCACCCUAUUGUCAUCCUUGUAAGGGAAAUGAGUGGGUUUAUGGAUGACGAUCUUGGGCCCAGUUCGUGUCUCCACUUCCUUAUUCCCCGGUAAGAAAAUAAUAAUUCUUGGUCGGCUGGUUCCUUGUUGUUCAUUUUCCAGCACACAUAUUUGUCUUUUGCAAGAACUACCCUUAAAAAUCUGUAGCUCUUUGUCAAACAUAAGGCUUUGCACCAUGGCCUUGAACUCCUCACAAUUUUGGAUCACAUAACCCACCUCUCCAUGAAAUUCACAAUAAUUCUCUAUUCCUCUUCUACCUUUUCCAGAUGUCAACAUACCUCUAUUCACCAUUUCCUCCCAUACUACUUUCAUGGGUGUCUUCACUUCAGCAAUAUCUUCCUUGAUUUUUUCUUCCAUUGUUUCAGCAAUGGCAUUUACUCAUUGAUUGCCAUGAUCUGGUAACGGAUUUUCGGCAUUAGAGGUACUGUCGAAUUUCACAACCCCCAUCUUGAUAAGCCUCUCCACGGCCUUCUUGAAUCCUGUGCAGUUUUUGAUCAAAUGCCCCGGUAUUCCCGCAUGAUAUUCGCAUUUAGCAUUUGCAUCAUACCAUCUGUGAUACGAUGGCUGUAGUGGUUUCAAGUGAAAUGGAGCAAUGGCAUGUGCAUCAUACAAGCUUUGAUAAAGCUCACGAUACGUCACAGGGAUAGGCGUAAAUUGUAUUCUUUCCGAAUUCUGUCUUAGGCCCGAUUCCUGUCUUUGGGUAUUUUGUUGUUCGACCAUAGCUGCUUUGGGUUAACCAACUGUGAUUGCCCUCGAGUUGAGACUAUUCACCUCAUUGUCCUUUCUCCUUGGGGCUGAUCUUUUAGUCGUUUCCCCCUCAAUUUUACCGCCCCUUACGGCGUUCUUAAUCAUCUCUCCUGUCAUAAUUAUAUCCGCAAAACUUUUCGUGGUGCUUCCAAUCAUGUGAGUGAUGAAUGGCGCCUUUAGAGUGUUGAUAAAUAACAUGGUGGUCUCCCUUUCCAACAGUGGUGGCUGUACUUGCAUUGCUACUUCCCUCCAUCGUUGUGCGUAUUGCCUAAAAUUUUCAUUAGGCUUCUUCUCCAUGUUUUGAAGCGUGAUCUUGUCUAGCGUCAUAUCAGUCACAUAGUUGUACUGUUGCAUGAAGGGUUGUGCAAGAUCUCUCCAUGAACCGAUUCUUGCAUGACUCAACUGAUUGUACCACCUAGCCGCUGCUCCUACUAAGCUGUCUUGAAAACAAUGGAUCAAUAGUUGAUCAUUGUUCACAUACCCAGUCAUUUUCCUAUAAAACAUUGUUAUGUGUACCUCUGGGCAAGUAGUCCCAUUAUACUUUUCAAACUCUGGCAUCUUAAAUUUAUGAGGAAGCACCAAGUCUGGGACCAAACUUAAGUCUUUGGCAUCAAUCCCUUGAUAAUUGCUAGCGCCUUCCAAAACCUUAAAUUUCUCUUCCAACCACUUGCAACGAUCCUCCAACUGUUUUGAGGAUUCAGUUGCCAUUCUUUCCCUCUCCAUCAUAUCUAGAUCAGGAGUGACAAGGUUGAUUAGGCUAUCGCCCACGUUAUUUUCUGACCCAGAUGGGAAAUUCACGGGGAUUCCAGCAUCAACCGGCCCAUGUUGAGGUCUUACAGUAACAGAUGGCCUUCUAAGAGGUACCUCAGUUUGCAGUGGCACACGUGGCGGAGUGAAACUCGGAGGAUGAUCCUCAUCCUCCUCACCAAUGAUAGCCAUGGGGGUCUUCCCUUUAUCAGUGGCCCUUAGAAGCUGAGCCAUUUCGGCCAUCAUACUCCUCUGAACCUCUAGUAUCCCUCAUGUCAUUCUGCAUCUUAGCCAACUACUCUUGCAAUUGGUCUUGCAUAUCCUUUUGCAAUUGUUCGAACCUGAUCCAUACUCUUAGUUUUAGUGCGAGUACCGUAGGGAUGUGUGAUUUCCAGAUUUUCCUUUUCUACAUCUCUGGAAGUAAACUUUAACUAAUUAGGGUCUUUCUAUAAUUUUGAAUGCAUAUGAUGUGAUGUAAUGCAAAUGCAUGAAUGCAAAAAGAAAAGGAGAUGUUGAUCUUGAAUUCAAUUCCAUUAGAAUAACUUUUCUAGAAAACAGAUUUCUUUACAUGAAAAUAUAUUACAUAUGCGGUCUUGCCCUUCAUAGUCCAAGUAAACGCUGAUCUUUUCUUUAUGGUCGAAUCCUAUAAAUUCUCUAAAAGAUGCCUCUGCUAGCUCCUUGUUGCUUAAUCUGAGCCUCGAUCUCUUGCUCGCUUAUCUUCAUGAUACUCAUCAAAAAGUGUCGGCUCUUGGAUAAUCUUCAUUGGCAAUUAAAUCAAGUCAUGUAUUCCUUCGUGGACUUCCGGCUUUCUCUCGUCAUUCUCUUGGAUAACCUUUGUUGGCUUAAAUCUCUGGCAAUUACAUCAUGUAUUCCUCCGUGGAUUAUCAGCUUUCUCUCGUCGUGUUUACUUGAACUAUAUUCAGACGACAGCACUAGAAUCCACUUUAUCAAGAAAUUCGUUUCCUUAUGACAAACUAUUCUAUUUAGGAAUCGAAUUUUGAAUCAACAUAUUCUUUUCUUUGAUGUAAUGUAAUGCAAAUGCAUGAAUGCAAAAAGGUAUCGAUCUCGAUUCAAUCUCAUUUAGAAAACUUUAUUUAGAAAAAGAAUAUCUUUACAUAUAAAUGGAUUACAUAUACGCCUUUGCCCUAAUGCCCAAAGUUCUAACUUUAUCUAAUAAAAGGGCUAACUCUCGACCUUUAUCAGACGUUAACUCAUACAUCAUGCUCAAAGCAUCCGCUCGUACUGCUAAGUCUUGAACAGAUUCAGCAACCUCUCAGUUCUGGGCUAUUGCCUCUCCAAUAAUAUAAUCCCUAUCUCUGACUUGACCUUUAACUUGAUGGAGCUCUUCUUUGAGACAAUCUUCUUGCACCUCGAACUGCUUAAUCCGAAGUUCACUACCAUGUAAUGCCGCUUCCAAAUCUUCAACCUUACUUUUUAGCUCUUCUAACUCGACCGUAGGAUCAUGGUUUCUAUGCCAACAAAGAGAUCUUCCAAGCUCAGUUACCUUAGUCUUCAACCCUUUAUUCUCUCUCUAAUGUCAAAUUCUGCGACCGCAUUUCUUAGCACUUCUUCUCCCAGUAUUCGGCUCUAACUUUUUCCUCUUGAACUUCUUUCUGCCACUGUUCUAAAGACCUUCCUAACCCCACUCGCUUCAAAGAUACUUGUGACUUCUUAUACUUUUCUUUUAAAUCAUCUCGGUCUUCCUCAACCUUCCUCUUUUCAUUCCUAACCUUUUCAACCUCCUUCUUUUGCAGGUCGACAUCUAGACUUAGGUACAUCUUCUCCUCUUCAAGUUUUUCUAUCUUCUUUCCGAGUUCCAAAUUCUUUCUCUUAAAUUCUUGCUUCAUGAUAUCAAGCUCCGAGGGUAUCACUUGUAGAUAUUCCUCCAUUGGUCGAACUUCUUCCAUUUUUGUCAUAGGGAGAUUAUCGUUAAUCCUUCUACUCCUCCACUCGACAUAUUCCGGUGUCGUGGCAAGAUUAAUGGCCACUCCCUUCAAUCGAUAAGUCUUGUUCCAAGUACUAGAAACUUCGCUAACCUUCCUCUUGUAAUCGGCUCUUCUGUAUACAAACUCACUUUGAGCUAACCCCUGAGUCACUGGUACGAACUGUCUCAAUCCAUGCUGCCUCAGAAAGAGCAAAAGGGCAUAACCAAUGGCACCUCAAAUUCCCAACAGGGGAACCCAAUUAAAGCUGCCACAUCGAUAAAGUAUAUCACCAGGAACUAUCCAUGGAGCUCUCCAUUUCACAUCUUUCGACUGAAGAUUCUGAAGUAAUGCUAUCCAAUUCUCCUUCGGCACAUCCACUUUUCUAGACGAGGCUACUAUAUCUUUCACUGGGGAGUAGUUUUCAAAGAAAACUCGACAAAUAGUCUUAUCAAUCAACCGAAAGUGACUGUAGAACCAAGCCAAAAGUAACUGAGCACAUUCUAUAAACCUGCCUACGCCAGCCCUCCUACAUGCACCUAAGGACCUGAAUGUUUCCGCCAAAAUCGCAAGGACAGAAGUGACCCUUUUGCUGAGUCGAUGAAAAACAUCCGUGGUUGCCUCGUCCACAUAUCCCAAAGCCCUAGGGAAAACCAUCAGUCCAUACAAACUUAAGGCAAAAAUGUCUACCUUCUUCGUCUCAUCAGGGUAUGUCAAAAUCAAAAUUUUCAAAGCGCCCCACGAGAUGCACUUGCACUCACCUUUCUCUUUAAUUCUGGCCGUGACCCACUGCUCGCUCAUCCCCGUAAUGGCCAUUAAUUUCUUCCAAAAGGUAGGGACACAAGCAGCUCGAGAAUAAAUCCUAUCACUCUGAAACCUGGGACAACGAAGUAAGGCGGUAUACUCCUCUACGGUAGGUACCAAGUCUACUUCUCCAAAUGUGAAACAGCUGUACGCUGGGUUCCAAAAUUGAGCAAGGGCUCGGAAUAAGUGCUCAUUUACCUGAAUAUCGAGUAAGCAAGGUAAAUCUCCGUAAUUAUCGUAGAAUAACUGCUUGGUCCCAUUGCCCCACUGAUCUCAAAUUUCCUUAAGCUAUUGGAGAUUAUUCUGUGUGACACUUAUACGAGUAUAAUCUGGCAGCUCCGACACAUAUCCUAUAACUAUACUGUCUCCCUUUUCUAAUUGAGUUUGCUCUGACCAUUGAUGAGCAUCAACAUUGUCCUCCACUCUAUCAAGAAUUCCGUUUUCCAUAGUAAAACUUCCUAACUUAGAAACUGACUGUGAAUCGAUACCUUUAUAAAUGCAAAAUAACAUGCAAACAAAAGAAAAGAAGUAGUCAGUAUUGCAUGAUAUCAAUAAAUCUCAACGAUAGUUUAUAGGGGUAAUAUCUAAGGUUUAAUCCUAACUAAGUUGGGUUCUUACGGUUUUUCUAUAUGAGGUUGCUUCUAAAGUUUGAGGUACCUGAAUCAGCAGAUUCCUCGAUCCUCACCCAUUAUAGGCUCAUUUGAAUCGAGUUCAAUUCAGGGGAAUACAUUUCCCUAUGGCUACACGGAGAUGAAAAUCUCACGAAACCAUAGGUACGGAUGUAUUCCGAAAGUGAUCCACUAUCCUGCACGGAGGCGAAAACCUCACGAAGGCGUAGUUUCUCACUCCCACUUAAGGGUGUGACCACAACGGUCAUGCAAUGCAAUGCGAGAAGAUAUAUGCAUAAAAACUUGAAACGAUUAAAGAAAAUAGGAAUAAAAUGAUGAAAACAGUACGAAAAACGGGUGAAACGUAAUGAAGAGAUUGUAUAUCAAAACCAAAUUCUCAAUUUUCGAAAAAAGGCAAAAGUUAAUCAACUUGUGGCUUGACUCUCUUAUAAGAAUCCCCAGUGGAGUCGCCAAGCUGUUGUAACCAUUUUUAAAAAAAACGGGUAUCGACUUGGAGAAAAAAGAAAACGGGAGUCGCCACCAAUCUUUCUAGGUGUGAUUGGAUCACCUUGUAAAAGUGGUUGUUUUUAAUAAAUGGUUUGAUUUAUUUAAACAACUAUUUUGGUCCACGUAAAUCAAGAAAAAUAGGUUCGGGAGUUGGUUACGCACGAGGAAGGAUUAGCACCCUCGUAGCGCCCAAAAAUUGGUACCUAGUUGAUUAAUUAAUAUCUUAGUGUCGAAAAUUGAAAGCUUGAAAGACAUUGAAAUACGAUCCCUCUUCGUAAAAAUGCUAAUUUGAAAAUGACCGAAUAGAUUAAAACAAACGUUAAAGACUCUCUCAUCUCGAAGUAAUAAAAUGUCACGCCCAGUAAGUUAAGACACGACAUCUCAAACUUUGAGAAUGAGCUUGCCUUUAUUUAAAUUCUAAAUUUUUUUUAAAAGGUUGUUCGGUUAUUUAGGAUAAACAAGAAAAGUUGAAACCCAGUAAGUUAGGGCACGUUUUCUCAAAUUUCCUAAUACCGAAUACUGCCUUUAUUUUAAAACAAAUUCUUACUUCGAGGUAACGAAGUGUUAUACCCAGUAAGUUAGGGCACAACACCUUGUACUUCCGAAAAUAAGUAUUAUUCAAAACUCGUAUUGCGAUUUAAAAGAGUAUUCUGUAUUUAGAUUAAAUGAGAAAAGUCGAGACCCAGUAAGUUAGGGCAUGAUUGUCUCGAAUUAUCAAAUACGGAAUAUUUAUUUUUAUGAAAGAAUUAUUAUUGGGUUAGAUAAAACCUAAAUUCGUGAUGGAACGAGAUAAUAAAGAACGCAUAACAAAUAAAAAUCAAUAAUUAUAACAAGAUAAACAUAAACACAAAUAUGAAUAGUAACGAUAAAUACGAAGGUAAGAUAAAUGAGUCGAACAAAUAAUAAGAAAGGGAAAUAAUGAAUAAGCUAAAUGUUUGGAAUUAUUUAAAAAAACUAUAAGUAGAAUAGAUGAUGAAAUAAUAAUAAAAAAAGUAAUGAUAUGUAAAUAAAAUAAAUAUGCUAAAAAUAUAUAUUUAUUAAAUUAGUUAAUAUAAAAAAUAAUAACGUAUAAGUAAAUACAAAAAAAGAAAAUAUAAUAAUAAUAAUAGUAAAAACACAAUAGUAAUAAUAAUGAAAAGGUAUUUUAAUAUAAUAGUAAUAAUGAUAAUAAUAGUGGUAUUAGUAAUAAUAAUAAUAGAAAAUAAUAACAAUAUUAAAAAUAACACUCUCUCCCUCCCUUCUAAAUCCGGCUAUUGGUCCGGCUUUGCUCCGGUCAAAGACCCCUACGGGCCGCCGUCAGCGCCACCGUACACGGCGGUCGAACCUCAAAAAAAACUUUUUCGGUAAUGAAAAUAUGGGUAAGCUUCUUACUUUUUUUUUACUUUCGUAUAAAAAAACAAAAUAAAAUUGAAAGGAAAAUAAUAAACAAACAAAGAACUUAAGAUGAGAAUAGACAAAAGAAACCUCUUUUGCUUUGAUCUUUUAAUUAAUCUCCAAAAACUAGCCUUUCCAAAAAAAAACCCUUCUAACAUAGUCUUGAAUAGCUUUUAUAGCCAAAUUUUACAACUAAUUUUUUUGUAGGCAAGUGGAGUGGUUGGGAUGGUUUAGUGGGGUGGUUAGAGUGGUUUAGUGGGGUGGUUGGAGUAAAGAUAUUUGGAUUUUUUUUUAUUUUUUUUAUAUUUCAUAAAUGGGCUAUUAGGGUUUAGGUGAUUGGGCUUUGGAGGUUGUUGGGUUUUGGGCUGUUAGGUUUUUAGAUGUUGGGCUUUUUAGCCCGGGCAAAAUUUGGGCUGUACACCAAGUAAAUAACAUUGAAAAUAGCUUCCAUGGUUUAAUUCCUCAACAGCCCGGCGAACUAAAAUGACUCAGCUCAAAUUGACAGCCUCAAUUGCUUGGGUCUACACACCUAUUACCUUUUCCAUCUUUGAUUUUCCAAGUUCUUUUGAAGCAAAAUCCAAGGAUGGUUUGAGCCACAAAACAUCUCGAAAGAGAAGUUGUUAAGUUGAAAUUCUCUCCAAAAUGGCUUGAAGGAAAGCAUGAAUCAGUAGCCCCAACUGAUCUAACUGAAGGAGAACAAAAAGUUGAAUCUGACCUUGAAACUAUACUAAUUGUUCAUUUAGUGACUAUUUUAGUCGAUCUUGCGAGCAACCUAGUAGGAUUCAAUCAAAGGAUGGUUAGCAUUUUACUGCUUCUAUGACUCUCAAAAUUGAUUUAUCUCCAAACUUCAAAUUGAAAUCCAAGUCGUUUAACAGAUUCGACGUUGGUAUUUUAACAACAAUAUAAAACAUAGAAAAUAUGAAAGAAAGAUAUAUUGGAAGCAGACUAUAAGCUGUUGUAUUAUUCAUAUUAUAUAGUAAAACAAAAACAAAAACCUACAAAAGUUACUCUUAAAAAACAUGCCACAAACACUUAACUUACUCCUAAAAUCAUGUAACAUAAAUUUAAAUUCCUAAAUACUUUCUCUACAUACAUAUUAUUAAGCAAGUCUAAGGCACAUCCUCAACACUCCUUAUUUCCUUAGUAAUUGCAAAAGCCUAAUUUAUUUCUUAAAACUUUAAAUCUAACUUUUGGAAGAGCCUUGGUUAACAUAUUUGGAAUUUGAUCUUCAAUCUUGCAAAAAAUAGACUUGACUUCACCAAUCUUCUGUUCUUCUUUCAAAUGAUAUCCAUCAAUCUUGUUGUACCAGGCCCUGGAAGUUUGUUUAAAACCACAUGAGGCCUUCUUUAACAUGUAGACUUUCUCCUCUUAUCGCUUGACUUGGAAUACAUCGGGUUGCUUUUCUCUCAUUGCUUCAAUCCACUUGUCAUCCUUCUCAGCUCCUUUAAACUCAGAAGACUCAAAUAUAGCAAUAUUGUACCUUUCAUAAAUUUUAGAUAAAGAUCUUAUGUCACGAACUGGAACAUCAUCGAUGUUGCCAUCAAAGUACUGAGGAGUCUCUAGCAAUUGGUUCAUUGUUGACUUCUCCUCCAUUAGAUUUAGAGCAAAACUUUUUGUUUUCAUUUUUACUUUGAAUACAUCUCUACCUUUUGAGUCUUUGAUCAAGCACCAUUUUUCUUCAAAUAUGAUAUUGAAUCCUUUUUCAAUCAACUACCCAACACUUAGAAGAUUUUGGUUAAUGUUAGGAACAUAUAGAACAUUAGUUAUGUGUUUCAAACCUAUUAAACUUUCAAUAACAACUGCUCUUUUUCCCUUAACUGGAAUAAACUCACUAUUUCCAAUUUUUAUUUCAGAAAUGAUAAUUUUAUCAAGUUCUUUGAAAAGUGUUGGGUCAUUGGUCAUGUAAUUUGUGCAAUCGCUAUUGAUCAACCAAGAAUCAUUGGAGAAACAUGUCGCCACAAAAAGGAACUUAUCUUCUUGUUGCUCAGUAGAUGCUUUUGCCUCUUCAUGUUAUUGAGAUUUACAGACCUGCUCUAUGUGCCCAAUACUAACACAUUUUCUGCAUUUAAUAUCAGACCUCCACCAACAUUUUUUUAGCAAGUGAUUUAUCUUCUUACAAUGUGGACAUAGUGGAUAUGUUUCGUUGUUGUUAUUGUUGUUGGUCUCAUCUUUAAUUUUCUUAUUUUUGCCUAUUGAAUUUUCAAACUUUACUUGAAAAGCACCCUUUACUGAUGCUUCUUGUCUUAUCUUUCUCCUUUGUUUUGGAGCCUCCAAUACAUUCACUAAUUAUGCCAAGGAUAUACUUGACAAAUCCUUAGAUUCUUCUAAUGAAUAAAUUUUAGACUUAUAUUUUUAGGCAAAGUGACAAGAAUUUUUUGCACUAUUCGAUCAUCGGAAAAAUCCUUACCCAACAAUCUUACCUUGUUUACUAUGCCCUCCAACUUGUCAGAAUAGUCUUUAAUGGUUUCUGUCUUCUUCAUUUUCAUCAUUUCAAACUCUUUGAUCAGAUUGAGCACUUGAAUAUUUUUCGUUCUUUCAUUGCCCGAAUAUUCUUUCUUGAGGUAGUCUCAAAUUUCUUUUGCUGACCCCAAACUCAUGAUUCUUGUAAAUAUUUUGCUUGAAACAGUAGAGAAAAUACAUGCUUUAGCUUUGGACUUCCUUGUCUUCUUCUCUUUGUGAGUCUCUAGUUGAUUCAUUGUUGGAUUUAUUGGAAAAAACGAAACAUCGUAGUCUUCUUGUACUGCUUCCAAAGAUCCAUUGCAUCAAGAUAGACUGUCAUUCUAACAACCCAAGCUUGAUAGUUACCACCAUAAAAAAUUGGUGGAACAAUAUGAGACAACGUUGUGUCAACUUCCAUGUCUAAAGCUUACGUGUUUCUCUCAACUAACAUAUCCCUUAAGAUAAAAGCUCUGAUACCAAUUGUUAGUAUUUUAGCAACAAUAUAAAACAUAAAAAAUAUGAAAGAAAGAUAUAUUGGAAACACACUAUAAUUUGUUGUAUUGUUCAUAUUAUAUAGUAAAAUAUUAACAAAAACCUGCAAAAGUUACUCCUAAAAAACAUGACACAAACACUUAACUUUCUCCUAAAAUGUAUGUAGCAUAAAUUUAAAUCCCUAAAGACUUGGUCUACAAACCUAUUAUUAAGCAAGUCUAAGGCACAUCUUCAACAUUCGAGAUUAAGAAAUUACUUUCCGUAAUAAUUUAUUAACUCAAUUCGAACAAUAAUGUUCAACAUAUUUUUUUAACAAAAAGGGAAGUAAAGAGGAAGGAGAUGAUGACUAAGAUGGUGACAAGUUGAUUGCUCUUACUAAUGGGAGUUUAUUUUACUUUUGGUUAUUACAAGCUUCAUUUCAUUUUGAGUAUUUCUUUUGAAAUAUUUGUAAUGACUAACUUUUCUAAUGGAUUGAUGGAUUUUAUUUUGGUGUACAAACACUUAUCUUCAUCUUACUUAGAUAUAAUGCUAGUACUUUGGUUGUUGAUACAAAUACUUAAAAGGCAUUAAUGGUUGAUUUACUUGAUUAUGUUUUAAGUUAAGUGUGAUGGAUAAGGGGAUUGUACUAAAAGGAAGCAUUUUUUGUUACUGUUGAUAAGCUUCCUCAUUUGAAUUGGUUUUGUUCAAAAAAUUGCCCAGAGAAAAAAAAUUGUAGAAGUAAGUUUCAAAAAUGGCUUGUGAAGUGCCGACGGUAAUGGCCACUAUAGAUAGCAUUGUAAUAGACUCCAUUACUUGCCAUGUUUAGAGUUAACAAUUUUUGAAACUAAAUAUUUGGCUUGAAAACGAUGAUGAUAUUAUGAAAAUAUCAACGUCCAACUAUGAAGAUCAAGUAAUUGGAUCCCUUGGAUUGUGGAGAUUGGAUCAAGAUAGCAUUAAGGAUAUAUCUCCAAUAGUCCAUAUUAUAUUAGUUUUUAUUAUUUAUUGUAUUUUGCUAGUUUAGCUGUUGAUGUUAAGGGACUACAUUAUAAUUGAUUUCGUAUGUUAGCAAAACUUAAAACUCUUAUAUAUUUAGGAGACUUGUAUAGAUUUUGUACCAAGUAUUGAGAGAACUUAUUUGUUCAUUUUAAGAACUUGUUUUUGAUAGCGCAUUUGAGAAAAUAAACAAGUUUGUUGCUUGGUUUAUUACCUAAGUUCUAGAUCUUUAAGUACAAAGGGAAGUUGUUAUACCGGGGUGUGAUAGGACUUUAAUCACUUGUUGUGUAAGGUUGAAAGAUAAUGAAUUUACUCAUUGAAUUAGGCUCCACAAGUGUAGGAGAAACAAAACUGUAUAUACAACCUUGUGUGUUCAUGUUACAGUGCCGCCUUCAAUGGGCACAACAAUAAUCACUUCCAAUCAAACACUCGAUUUUCUUAAUAAUUUAUCAACCGUCCAUUUCAACACUAUUAAUUCUUUUCAUAGAAUUUGAAAGUUAAUAUGAGACAUUGGGUUGGUAAGUACCAAGCAAAUCUCAACAUUGAAAUUGAACCAAAUUCAAUUAAUUUAUUCAAUCAUAAUAUUCAACAGAUUUAAAAUUUAAAUUUAAACAUCCAUAAUACUUUCUUUUAUAUAUAUAUAUAUUAUAGAAGAAGACAUCAACGCAAAAGCUCUAUUCCAACUACUCUUGGAUUUGUAGAGGUGAAGUAGACAAUACCAAUCCCAUCUCUAGGUGCACUCCUGGCUAAACCGUCAGCAACGAAAUUAGUUUCCCUAUAAAUGUGCCGAAGCACCACAGUCCAAACUCUAUAGCAUAAAGUUCCUGGUAUCCACUAUAAUCGAUAGAUUACAAUCUUCACAGUCCCCUGCUGGAGCAUGUUCAUGAGCUCUAAGCAGUCACGUUCUACUUGGAUCCGCCAAAACCCAUGAUCCCAAGCGGUUAUUAAUCCACCAUGCAUCGCCCUCGCCUCCUAUUGCAAAAUAGAGCAAACACCAAAGGAUUUGUUGAACCCAAUUAACCGGCUGCCAUCCUUAUCAUUUAAAGCUUUUUAACUAUGUUGGUGACACGUUCAAUAAAUAUAAUUUUAAAGGUAUUUUUGUUUUUUUAACUGCAAAUUGUUUGGGCAAUAUAUUUCAAAAGUUGCUUUCAAAUGCUUUAAAAGUUAGGUUACAUGGCCUGAAUUUGUCUUUAAAAGAAAGGAAAGAACAAAAUACAAAAUAAAUAAAGAAAAUUCUUUUUCUGUUCUGUAUAAUCUAUCUACUCCCAUUUACCCGUGGGGUGGGGGUUCUUCCAUUCAAUUUCAAAGGCAUUGAUAGAGGGCAGCUUCCACCACAUGAGUUUAAUCAUCGCCAACUAAUCGUGAGUAACCAAUAUUAAUAAAUAAUCUCCAUUCUUCUCAACCGCCAUAACUGCUCCAUCAACCUGCUAUGUCGGGUGAAAUGGGAACGUACACCUAAGCUAGAGACAAAGGGAUAUAUCUCCUUAGUAAGUUUCUACCAUGGGAGAUUACCACUUUACCCCCAAAUAUCAGGCCAUCGUUACGUUUUCUCUAUGAAGUAGCCUUGGAGACAUCCUUACUUGACCUAUUGUACUUCAUAUGGCUCUUAACUAGUUGCCCUGCUGCAAGUGCUGACAUGAGCGACAGCUCCCCGGCAAGAACAGCAGACGCUACAAUGGUUGCCAGCGUCCUAGAGUUUGCUCCUGGUGUCUCUUUGCUUGCACCCUUCACUCCAAGUAAGUUCAAACAGGCUGACUGAGAUGCAAGCUGUGUUCCACCACCAACGGUACCAACCUAAAAGAUACAGCAACAAUUAUAAUUAGGGACAUACAUAAAUACCCCGAUUCUGUUUUGGUAAUGAAAAUCCUUGUGAUGGAUAAUCAGAAGGCAACAUAAUCAAUUACCUCGAUGGAAGGCAUUGUGACAGAGAUGUGGAGGUCCUUGCCCUCGUUAACAGCUUCCAUCAUAGUGAUGCAAUGAGAGCUCUCCACAUUUUGAGCCGGAUCUUGGCCCGUAGCUAAGUAGAUUGCAGUGACGAUGUUACUGGCGUGGGCAUUGAAUCCACCCAGAGCUCCAGCCAUAGCUGAUCCAGUAAGGUUCUUGAGCAUGUUAAGCUCAACGAGAGAUUCCACACUUGUCUUCAAGACCUUCUUAAUCACAUCACCCUUAAUGAUGGCUUCGCAAACAACAGAUUUGCCUCGUCCUUCAAUCCAAUUUACAGCCGCUGGUUUUUUGUCGGAACAAAAAUUUCCUAUAUGGGCAAAUUCAUAAAUUUCAGUAAUCCUAUAUAGAACAGUAAAAACAUAGAAAGAACACAAUUACAAGUCAAAAAGUGAAACUCACCAGAGAUGCCAAUGACAUCCAUGUCAGGGAAAUCAGUUUGAAGGAAAUCCAAAACGUUUUGGACUCCCUUGGAAACCAUGUUCAUCCCCAUAGCAUCACCUGUACUGCAAGUGAAUCUAAUAUACAGAUUCUUUCCAGCAAUUGCACAUUUGAUACCUUGAAGCCUGCCAAACCUACUUGAUCUGCAACCACCAAAGAGUCAAAAUUUUCAAUAUUAGCUUGAAUUUUAAAUCCAUCAAUAUGGAGUUCUAGAAAUAUCAAAACAAACCUGUUGAAAACAACAGACAAGGUCUCGAAAUUAUCAGGGUCCUCCAAAUACAACUUCAAAUCAGCUGCCCUUUUCGCAGUACCGAACCUUACACAUGGAGCUCUAGUCAUACCAUCUUUCAAUAGAACACUUGUAGCUCCACCAGACAAAUGAAUAGCCUUACAGCCCCUAUUAGUGCUAGCCACCAAGCACCCUUCCGUGGUAGCCAUAGGAACCGAGUACUCUCUUCCAUUAACCAACAAAGGCCCAGCAAUUCCGACGGGAAUUUGCACGUAGCCAACCGGCAUCUCACAACACUGCCCUAAAAUCGACUCGUAAUCUAACCCAUCCAAGGGCAAUCCUGAUAAUGACUUCCCUGUUAAUCUUUGCAACGCUUCCCGCCUGAUUGCAGCCGCCCUCUUGCAAUCACCCAAUUUCGAUUCCAAGGAAUACGAAGGGGUUGUUCCAUCCACUACAGAUUUAAUUAGUUCUUCAUCUUCCUCCGUUGUAACCGUCACAGGCUGUUCAUCGAACACCUUCUGGGGAGUCACGAUUGGUGCGGCAGGAGGCAGAGGUGGAAGCGAGCAAUCGAGAGCUUGUCCACAAGGGACCUUACGGGUGUCUUCCUUUGCGAGCAGAACUUCAUUAUCGUCUUCCUCGUCCUCGGCAACCCAAACGUCAGGCGAUGGUUGGAAAACCAAGGAUUGAACGAAGUCAAUCCCAAAGAAACCCAAAAGGUAAAUAAAGGACGCGAAAAAUGAGAGAAGGGCGAUGAUGUCGGAAAAGGUGACGACAUGGAGAGCUGUGGAGGUACGGAUCUUCUCACGCCAACGGGAAAGAAGGAAAUAAACCACCGAGAAGAAGAGGGUGAAGAACAGGGCAUUCGUUAGGUGCAAGGGAAGCGGCAAUGCGUCUGAGGCUUUACCGUGAUCUUCCUCUAAAGGAAUCUUCUUCGUUGGCUUGAGAGAUUGAACAGGUUUAGUCGAAUACAGCCGGGGAGCCUCCAUACUGGGUGUCGACGGCAGCGGAAGCCCGGCAGUGGAGAAGGAGAAUAGAAGAGGAAUGGAAGUGAGAGAGGAUUUCAGUUAGUUUUACGAUUAUGGGGGUAGGUGCAGUUUGAGAUAUUGGAGUUUAGGGAGGGAAGGGGAUUAUUUAUAGGAUAGAGAAAAGAGUAGAGAGAGCGUAGUGUUUGGCACGUGUUAGUGCGGAGCUUUACCAAGUGACGAGUCAAAGAAAGAAUUUCAAGGGAAGUGUUUGGAAGCGUGCGUGCAGUGCAUGUGCAUGGUGGGGCAUUGCAUUUUCCUUUCAUUUGUUCUUUUCUCCUGCCAAAUUAUGAGAAUUUGGAGACGAUGCUGAUUUUAAAAAUAUAUUCAGGAAAAUUUACAAUUUUUUUUCUGAUAUUUCGAAAAAUAAACUGAUUUUGAAAAACCUAAUAAUAAGCUUAUUUUGUAGAAAGUGUUUUUUUUUCUUCUCGUAGGAUUACUUUUUAACUUUUUAAAUAUAUUGGUUCAUUUUGUUAGAUGAUUAAAUGUUAGUAGUUUUAUUCUUGAUUUUCAAGUUCGAUUUCUCUUCUAUUUACAUUUGUAUUUUUAUUUCAUAUUGUUUCAAGCUUUGCUUUAAUACAUUAGCUCCUCUUAUUAGAUACUUAAACAAUAGUGAUUUUAUCCUUUUAAGUCUUAGCUUCGAAUUUUCUUUUAAACACAAUUGUAUUUUUUUGUUUCACAUUGAAGUUUUUUAUUUAUUUAUUUUUAAUUAAUAAUUCUUUUAUUUAUAAAAUAAAAUAAUUAUUUCAAAUUAUAUAAUAUAAAUUAUAUUUUGAUGAAAUUGAUAUUUAUCAUUAUGUUAAAUAUAUUUUAUUUUUUAAAAGCAACAACUAUUUUGUUAUAUUUUUUUUAUAUAAAAUAUUUAGUUUCUCCACAUAUAUUGUGGGUAUGAUGAUUUCUAAUAUUAUAAAAUCAAUCAAUUAUUUCAAAUAUUAUUAUUUUUUCAUGUGCAUCGUGGGUAUGAUAUUUCAAAUAAUUUUAUAUGUUAAAUAUUUCAAUUAAUUAUUUUAAAUACAUAUACAAAGAUAUAUAAUACUAAAAUUUACUAUAUUCAUGAUAUGGAUUGAAAAAUAAACAUUACACAUAUAAAAAUUAUAUUUACUAAAGAUAAUGAUAUUUGACAAUAAUUAUUUGAUAUUUUAAAUAAAAUAAUUAUUAAUUAAAAAGAUAAAUAAAAAAACUUGAAAACAAUAUAUUUAUUAAUUAAAAAUAAAAAAAUUUGAAACAACAUGAAAUAAAAAAAAAGUACAAACUUUCUUAGAAGAGGAAUCAAACCUAAGACUUAAUGAUAAAAUCACUAUUAUUUAAUCAUAUAUACAAGGUAAAAUAAAAAUACAAACGUGAGUAAGAGAAUAAUUUAACCCAGAAUUAAUGAUAAAACCAUUAAUAUUUAAUUAUCUGACUAAAUAAAUUGAUAUAUUAAAAGAGUUAAAAGAACACGCGGUAUAAAAAGCGUUUGUUUUUUUAUUUGUUUCUCCAAAUUUAAACCUGCUAUUUUGAUAUUUUCUGUCACUUAUUUAGCAUUAUUCUGUCUUUAAAUUAUUCCUAAUUUUGGCUUGUUUUUCAUUAAUUAAUUCAAAAAGUUUAUUAUGAAUGUAUUUAAUAAAAAAGAAAUCUGGAGGUUUUUCUUUUUGCUCAUGAUUAAUUGGAUAAGUUUACAUUUUUACAAAAAACACAUUAAGACAAAGUCAGAGUGAAAAAAAUAAUUAAGCAAGAAAAAUUCAGAAAAAAAUUGACUCUUUAAUAAAAAAAUGUAAAGAUUUAUUUGUUUUAUUAUUGAAAAGAAAAUGCCAUUCUCAAUUAAUAUCAGUAAUAGUCAAAUUAAUUGGGACCAUUUUUCUUUGUCCUAAUUGGGACUAUUUUUUUUUCGCAUGUUUAUUUCAUGUUAUUUUUUAACAAAACUAAAGAAAAAAAAUUGACCAAUCUGAAUUCAAAAUAUAAUUAAAUUUUUUUAUAAAUACUUAUUAAAUUAAAGUCCAAAUUUGACGUUUAUAAUAUUUUAAUAUGCUCAAAUGAUGACUUUUUUAUAUUAAAUAAAAUCUAAUCCACAUUUUACCCCCUUCCUUAAAUUUCAGUCAGUCAAAUCACAUUAAAUUCAAAAUAGGAUGCAUAAUUAUUUAUUAUAUAUACAAGUGAUUGCAAUUUACAUGCAUAUAUGUAUAAUAUUAGUUCAUGCAGUCACCAAUAGUUGAAUAUUAACAUUUACAAUUAUUUCACUCAUUGCAAUGAGUCAAAAAACUAGUGCUUUGCCCUUUUCUUUUUCCCGAUAAAAUGUAUUAUAUAUAUAUUAGCAAUGCAAAGUAGAUAAUCUCAUAUUAAUCGAGAAAAGAUUUUUAAGAGGAUUUAAAUACAGUUUUACCUUUUAAUAUCAUUAUUAUUAAAGCUAAAGGUUUAACACAUAUGUGUUGUCAUCUCCUGCUUGACUCAGUUUGUGUUUACUAUAUGUAUUGUGUGUCUUACUAUUGUAGAAUAUUCUCAAUAGAGGAGGAAAAUCAUCUAUUAUUUUUAAAAAUUGAAAUUGUUAUUUUACUAUUUUAUUUUAUUUUAGUGUUUAAUGUACCUCCCACGAUAGUACAAGAAAAAUAAUAUGAAAUAGACGAUAAGAUUGAAGUAAUUUUCUUUUUCCAAAAUAAAAAGCAUGCAUGAGAAUUAUUCAUCACCAUGUGCUAAAGACUUGGACUGUUUAUCAAAUUUUUCUUCAAAAAAUCAUAUAAUUCGUAAUGAAAGUAUAUAUAUAUAUAAACAUAGUCAGGCCAACCAAUGUAGAAAAAAAACUAUCAUGAUAUCAUCUUUUCUUAUUGCCCAGUAUUUAUUUAGCAAAUAUUGACUGUAAUAUUGUCAUGAUUAGACCAUAUUAUUUUUGGACAAGAACAAGGUCAUUUCCACACAGGAAGAAGUGCAGUCCAUGCUCAUAGCCUGCUUAUGCAUUUACAGAAAAAAAAAAGGAAUUUAGGUAAAAUUUGAUGUUAAUAUUUCAGUGAAUAUUAAAUAGUUGUAUAUGAUAUUGAUAUUAUAGGUAGAUGAAUUGAGUUUAAGACGGUUCAACCUAUAAAUACCUUUAGCAUGUUUAUGUAAGGAAAAUAAUAUAGUUUUUUUACGAGUUUUUUAAUGAAGGAUAUUAUACCUUAAUUUCAUAUAAUAUAUGUGUAUUUAUACUAUUGUUUAAGUUUUUGAUUGGGCUAGUGUCACUCACAACCGGGUCACUAAAUUUAGUAGGAAAAUUAUUGAAACAUCCUUUCAUAAUUAAAAUAAGUUGCAUUAUUCGAAGGUAUUUUAGUCUUUUUAUUUUUAAAAAGCAAAUAAAAAUAUGUAUAUGGUGGAAUUUGAAUCCAAACUAAUUGGGUUAAAAAAAUAUAUUUAAUUUAUCACUCAACUAAAUUUCUUUAUUUUGAUAUUUUUAUACUUUUUUUAUUUUAUUAUGCAUAAUUUAUUUUAAUACCGUACAUAUUUCAUGUAUUAUUAUGUUUAAUUAGUUUCAAAUCAUACGUUUUAUUAUUUAUUAUUCGUAAACACAUAUUUAUAUUCUAAAUUUGUUGUUUCUACACGUAUAUGUGUGAGAUAAAGUUUCUAAUAUUUAUAAAAUAAUAUAAUCCUUAAAAAAGAAACACAAACUUCUAGGUAAGUGAGGUUUUUACCAAAUGACACAUGUUGGUAAUUGACACUUUUGGGUGGUUAUUGAUGGCAUUGUAAAGUCUUUUGAUCUUAACAUUAUGCAAAUCAAAACCUUAGUAUUGCACAAACAAUGCUUUUUGGAUAUUUAGAAUAAUAUGAUUAUCAUAAGUUUAACAAAUAUCUUAUGCGGAAUUGAAGUUGGUUAUUAGAUUUGACGAAGAACACUUGAUAUAUUGAUUUUUCUCUCUUAACAUUUUUCCUUUAAUUACACAAAUCCUAAGCAAUGAAGGCAAAUUUUUUAUGUAAGUGGAAUUAAUUUAUAAUGAUAAACUUUUAAUAUGAUCAAGUAACCUAAUGAAAUGAUAAAAUUUAAUUUCUAUUAAAGUAAAAUUUUUAGGCCUCAUGAUUUUAGACUUAUUGGGUCCACAUAAUUGGGCUUAAAAUCUUACAUUCUCUCAUUUGGUCUAAUCAGAUAAAACAUAAACUUUAAUAGAACAAUUGUUGAGUGCGCAUAAAAAUAAUAGAAAAUUUGUCAUUAAAAUUUGAUUAGGUUGACCUCAUAUAAUGUGGCAUAUAAUUAACAGAAAAUAAACAUGUUAAAUUGACAAAUUUUGAUAGAAACUACCAACGACAAUAAUAACCAAAUUAGAAUCUUUAAAUUAAAAAGAGAAGAUUGAAAUUUUAACUUUUAAAGUACAAGAACCCAAUCUCAAAUUCAUUACAAGUACAGGGACUAACAACACAUGUUAGCUUCUUCUUUUUUUGAGGUAAAAAAAAUAAUCAAUAUAUGACCAACAUGCAAUAAAAAUUUGUUUUAUUUUAAAUAUUAAAUUACUUUUAUUUUAAUUAAAAUUUUUAAUUUUUUUAAUUUAACAAUUGACCCGAGUGAUAAAGUACUUGCAAAUAAAUAUUUUGUGGGCAAAGAUUUAAUCAUUAAAUAUUACAUUUUUAAUUAUUUCAUUUAAGUAUUUUGUAUAAAAAUAGUAAAAGGCGAAAACAUUAAUACUAUAAUUGUGAGACACCUCACAUGCGAUCCAAUAGUCUAAUCCAAAUUGGCGACAUCACAUUAUAUUGUCAGAGUAACUCAGACUAACUAGAUAAACAAAUAAAUCACGUAUAAUUUCAAUUAAAUCACGUGUACAUGUUUAAUGAAUGUCAAUUGAUCUAGUUUAAAGUAUUUAGGAAUUGUACUUGAUCAAAUAUGGAGUUGGGAUUCGAAUCCAAACUCAUUUAUCCAAAUUUUAUAGGGAGUUUCAAGACAUGACCUUCAUGUCUCGAGACACUAAUAAAAUAUGGUCUACAAUGAACAUUUAAAUGUAUUCAAUCACAAACCAAUUCAUACUUAACUUAAACAAACUUUAUACCAAUUUCACAUGCAUGAAUUUAACAAACAAAUAUAUAACCAAAUAUCCGAACAAUUUAACAAUCAAGUCACCUCAACUUAAUGUAGUUAAAUAAAUGGCUUAAUACUUAUAUCCAUGCAAACUCAUUCAUUACUCAAGCAUUAAAACUCAACAAAAGAAACCUUAUAGGUCCAUAGCUAACCAAAACAUACCAUAUUGACCAAAACAAUAUUUAACUCGAGUUGAAUUAUUGACCUUAGAUGUUUUACAAUUUUAAUCUACUAAAAUCCUGUCCGAGACAUGUGCACAAAAACAAACAUAACUAUACGUUGAGUAUUAAAUACUUAAUGGUGCUAGCAUAAUCUGAAUUCAAAUAUAUAACAUUAAGCAAUUUAAUAUACUAAACGAAAACUUCAUUUAAUAGAUUCAAUGUCAUAAUACUAAGAUGGCAUUCUAGUAUUUCAUUUACCCAAUUUCAUAUGGAGCAACAAUCAUCCCGUAACUUUAUACCAUUUCAUUUAUUCACCCUCAUGGUAUUUAAGUAACAUUUACCUGUGCAAUCAAUUUUCUCCUCGUGAGGCAGGUUCAGACGUCACGAUAUCCAAAACAAUAUUGAAAUUGAAAGUCUUGGGGUCUCAGUGUCAUGAUACCCAUCUUUGGUAUCGCUAUAUCACUAGAGUUGACCUUAAGUUUUUUCACUUCAGCAUUGUCAGGGGUAUCACGACUUUCAUGGCCUCAAUGUCGCGAUACCCAGUUCUGAAUGAUAAUUUCUUCGAGUUCGAGCCAUUAUUGACUUCCUACACCAACUCAAUCAUAUCAUUAGGUCCCUCAUGACACCAUUUGGCCAACUUGGGUCUCAAUAUGGCAUAAAACUAAUAAAAAUCAUUAAUUAAUAACAAAAGCAAAAAAUCGACAAAAGUAAAGAAAAUACACUUAUAUUGCUUGAGAAUAAGUUCCUCGAGUGUAAUGGAAAGCCUAAUUUGACAUAUCAAAUUACGUUAGAUCACUUAUUCGAUACGAGUUCAAACCGUGUUACCCCCUUACCCUACCCCUAAUAUUGUACAAAAAAACUAAUUGCUAAUCUUCUAAUGUAGUCUCUGUACUAUAGUGCUUAAUGAUUUAUAUAAUUUAAUUACUAAAUAAUUUUAUUUCUAAUUUAUCUUUUAUUUUUUUAAUCUCGCACUCACUUUGUAAUUACUCUAUCAAAAUUUUGAACAACUCAAUUUAAUAAAUUCGAUCCCACAAUUAACUUUUUCAACAUAAAAAAAAUCGAAUCAUUACAAUAUUAUAAGAAAAAAACUUUUAAGUAUAGGUGUAGUUAGGAGUCCAUGUUUUUUUAUUUAUUUUUUUUAUAUUAAUCUAGUUUGAAGAAAAAACAAAAUAAUAAAAAGUAGCAAAUUCUAAAAAUAUCAUUUCCUAUAAAAAAAAAGUUGUGAAAUUAAAUUAUUAUCUUGAAAGAUGUUUUGGCGAUAUUAUAAGAAGUAUAAAUCAUGUUUUAAAAUUAUUUUGAUUUAAAUUUCGUCACGUGUAGACCGUAUUGAUCUAUAAUAUGUUUAGUUUGUGCUUUGUUAUUUGUUGGAGUUUUAACCAAAUUUUUUUAGUAAGUGUAGACUAAACUGGUGAACGAAAUAUAUCAUUAGGUACUAAAUGAGUAAAACAUUUUAAAUACCAAAAUAAAAAAUAUAUAAUUCAAGAGCUCAAACAUGAAUAAAGGCUAAUAAAUUUUGUGAUAAUUUUCUCUCACUUACUAUAGGCAAAAAAUUUCAAAAAAGAAAUUAUUUGAUAUAUUAUUUGUCGAAACCACCCUUUUUAUUUAAAAUUUUUAUGUUUAAUGAAAAAUGGGAAUCGACCUUUUGAAAAUAAAAUAUAGAGUCGCCACCAAUCUUUUGUUUUGGUGUGAUCGGAUCACAUAAGAAUUUGGUUAUUUUAAUAAAACAUUUUUGGUUUACUAAAACGACGAUUUUGGUCUACAAACUUUUGAGAAAACGGGUUCAGAGUCGGUUAAGCAUGAGGAAGGAUUAGCACCCUCACUACGCCCAAAAUUGAUACCGAAUCGAUUAAAUGCUGUCCUUAUGUCUAAAAUUUAAAGAUAUUUUUUUGAAAUGUGGUUCUUUUUUGUAAGACUUGAGUAACCCGAGUUGGUUGCAAAAAAUCUUCUUGUUUUGACUUUCGAAAGCUUAUAAUUCGAAAAUUACAAAAGGGUGCCCAACUAUUUGGUCCAACGAAAAACCGAAAUCCAGCACAGUAGGGCGCGAUUCCUCGAAUUUCCAAACAUUGAACAUUGCCUCACCUUAGAAAACACGAGUGAAAUUUCGAAGAGAUAUUCGAUUAUUUUGAACAAACGGGAGAUUACAACCCAACACGAUAGGGCACUAUUCCCUGAAUUGCCAAACACUGGACAUUUCUUUCGUUUUAAAGGGUUUUUAGAAAACGUGAGUGAAAUUCCGAAGGAAUCUCCGAUUGUUUUGAACAAACGAAAAUGCGCAACCCAGCACGAUAGGGCACGAUUUUCGAAUCGCCAAACAUCUAAGAUCACCUUCGUUUUGGGAGGUUUUUUAAUAAACAUGAGUGAAAACCUAAAGGAAUAUCCGAUUGUUUUGAACAAACGAGAAAUCACAACCCAGCACGAUAGGAAAUGAUUCCCGAAUUAUCAAACACCGAGUAUUGGCUUCUUUUUAAAGGAUUUUUAGAAGAAAUGAGUGAAAUUUUGGAGGGAUAUUCGAUUAUUUUGAGCAAACGCGAAAUUGCAACCCAGCAUGUUAGGGCACGAUUCCGCGGAUUGUCAAAAUAUCAAAUCUCAUCUUCGUUUUAAAGAAUUUUAAAUGAAUAAUUAUAAAACUAGCUUAAAAUGUAUUAAUGCAUUUUUGAAAUGAGACGAAUUUAACCAAAAAAAUUUGGGUUUAAAAAAAAACCAUAUUUCAUGAACUAAGUGGAAAACGAUGAUAUGGGGGAAUAUGUGUACACACCAAAACACGACAACGGAAUAGUGAAGGCAAUACAAUUUACUUAACCAACUAACGAGAACUUAAAUGACUAAGCAUAACUAGUUUGGAAAUAUAACUCAAUUUCAACCAUGCAUGGAGAAUAAUUAACAUGACGAUAUGAAACAAAUGAAUAAAUAAUAUGCAACGAAAACAUACAUGGCAUAAUAAAAAUUAUUACUAUUAGAUGCACAAAACAAAAUGCAGAUCAAAUGAGCAAUAUGGUGUAAAACUAUUUUAAAACAAUGAUAAGUACAUGACACAUACUAUAUGAAUUGAUGAAUUGACAAGUAAAAAAAAAAUUUGUUAAUGGCAAGCUUAAUAAACACACGCAAUCAUUAGAAUAUAUAUAAUAUAAAAGAAUAAUAAUGAAGAUAUAUGACAAGAUAUAAUACACAAAAUAGAUUUAUAAAACAUAUGUACAUGUAAGUUUAUAAAAAAAAACAUGAGAUUAAUAAUGAGAUAUAUAUAAAUUUUUAAAAUAGUUUCAUAUAUACAUAAUUAUUAAAACAUAUAUUAUGGAAUAAAUAUUUUUAAUCAAAUAGCAUACAAAAUAUUGAGGAAUAUUAGCUAAAAAAUGACAAUUUUCAUAAAAAAUUUUAAAAUAUGUAUCAAAGAUGAAAAGAUUACAAAAAAAAAAUGUAAAAUAAAACAUAAUCUUAGAAACAUAAUCAAUUUACACAUUGCGCAGAUAUAUAUAACAUUAAAAGUAAUUAUUCGUAAAAGCAUGUAAUACAUACAAAAUUAACUUGAUUUUAUUGUAAGUUAUAUGAUAGAUUUAAAAGCACACCUAUAUAGAAAGAAAACCAUACGCGUAGAAUACGCGAGUUUAAUAAUGUAUAGAUUAAAUGUGGUAUCCACAAUGCAUAUACAUAUAAUGAUAAUAACUUAAAAGAUAUUACAUAGGAUUAUAUGAUACAAUACGAGAAUAAAUUUAAAAAGGAAUCAUGUGCGUAAAAUAAUAUAAGGUUGAUUAAUAUAUACAUGCAAUAAAAUUAAUUUUGAUACAAAGUACAUAUAUAUAUGUAGCGACGUAAAAAUUUUAGCUUAGCUUGGUCGCUAAUUGUGGCGAUUUAUUGAAAUUUUUUUUGAAAUUUGACGUUUGAUUUUUGAAAUAAAUAGGGAGUCACCACCGAUCCUUUUUCCUAGGUGUGAUCGGACACCUAUUAGAUCUUUUAUUAAAACAAAUAAAAGGCUGAGUUUAGGUCUACGUUAAAAUCCAGAGAAAAUUUAGGGUUCGGGAGUCGGUUACGCACGAGGAAGGUAUUGGCACCCUCGCGACGCCCAAAAUUGGUAUCUUAUUAAACACAUGUUGUCUUGAUUUUCAAAAAUACGAAUUCAAUUUGACAUUUAAGUGUGAUCCGAUUGAAGGAAAUGAGAAGUUGCAAGUUUUUUUGUUUUUAGAAGGACGUCCCGUUUUUAACACGAGCCGAUUAAUUUCACCCAACAUAGCAAUGAAAUCGAUGACUUAAUGUUAAAAUUGGUACAUUGCCUUAUUCUUAAAAUUAAAAUGUAAAAAGUUUUUAAAAUGAUAGUAAAAAAAAAUCCAAGAAUAUUAUUGUCAAAAAAUGCGAACAAUGAUGGGAAUAAUAAAAUAUAUAAAAUAUAAAAUAUCAAAAUAUUAGAAUAAUAAUAAUUAAUAUUGACAAAUAAAAAAUAAAAUAGAAAUAAAAAAGAUGUACAUAAUAUAUAUAUUAGAAAUAAUAAUGAUGUUUAAAAAAAAUACUAUUAAUAAUACUACAUCAAUAUGUACAUAUAUAAAAAAUAAAUACAUGAUAAUAUUAAAAAUAUGUACAUAAUAUAGUGUUAAAAAUACAUACAUAAUAUAGUUAAGAUAUAUACAUAAGAUAACAUGUAGAAAAAAAAUAUAUAAAUAAUAUAAUAUUAAAGAUAUAUAAAUAAAAUAGUAUAAAAUAUAUAUAUACGUAAUAUAAAAUUUAAAAUAUACCUAAUAUAUUAAAAGAAUAUAUAUAAUAUAAUAUUAAGAAAUAUAAUAAUAACAAAAAAAGAGAGGGAGAGGGUGGGUGAUUUUCGGCCACAAGGCCGGCCAUCGUCCGGUCGCCGGACCGCCGCCGGCGCCACCGUACACGGCAGCCGGACCUCAAAAAAACUUUUUCGGUAAAAAUGGGUAAGCUUCCUCCUUUUAUUUUUACUUUCGUAUAAAAGAAACAAAAUAAGAUUGAAAGGAAAACAAUAAGUAAACAAAGAACUUAAAAUGAGAAUAGACAAAGAAACCUCUUUUGCUUUGAUUUUUGAUUAAUCUCCAAAAAAACUAGCUUCUCCAAAAACUAGCCUUCACAAUAACUCUUCUCCUUGAUUACUUUAAAAAGAAACCUCUCCAAAAAUCCUUUACAAUAAUUUUCUCUCCCAAAAACUCUAAAAAAAAAAAAAAUCCCCCCCCAUAUACAAAAUAUGAGAAGGCUUAUAUAGCCAUUUACAAAAUAUUUUUUUAUUUUUUAUGUCUUCAUUUGUAGGUACAAGUGAUGGUGGAGAAGGUGUGGCUAGUGGAGUUGGUGGUGGAAAAAGAGUGGCUAGUGGAGUUGGUGGUGGAAAAGGUGUGGCUAGUGGAGUUGGUGGUGGAAAAAGAGUGGCUAGUGGAGUUAGUGGUGGAAAAGGUGUGGCUAGUGGAGUUGGUGGUGGAAAAGGAGUGGCUAGUUGAGAAAAGUUUAAGUUGUGGGCUAGGUUUUUUUUUAUUUUGAUUUGGGCUUAGGGUUUGGGCCAUUGGGGUUUUGAUGUAAAUUGGGCUUUGGGUAGUUAAGAUUUUGGGUUUUGGGUUUAAUUUUGGUGGGUUAGGUAAGGCUAAAUUGGGUUUUGAUGUAAAUGGGCUAAAAUUGGCCUACAACAGCUGCCCCUCUUUGCUUGUUAUCGUGUAACGAGAAUAGAGCAAAGAUAUAAAGAAAGGCCAAUUUUGCCCGGUCUUGCUAAAUAUGGACUUCUUUGGUGCUCUUCUCAUCCAAGUAGUCUCUUUCCAGUCCAUCGCAUCUUGUAGCUUUGGUUCAAUCCACUGCAAAUUCGGAGAUAUGCCUUAUAGCUUCAAUCUGUUCCAAUGUAAUUCAAUAUGCUCUUCUAUUGCUUUAGUGAGAUAAGGUUUUGGGUCUUCUCUUCUGCCACUUUAGAAAGGCAAGAUCUGAUAUCCUCGAUCAACUCCACUGCAACUUCAGGGAGACAAAAUCUGGUGUCUUCAAUCAGCUCUAAUAUUGAUUCUUUACUCGGCAUGUGAUCCUGAGCUCAACUCAUUUCUCGCAAUAUGAAUUGACUCUGUAAAACUAGACAUUAAAAACAGAAAUUGAAAAUAGCUCAGCACGUGAGCCAAGGCUCAACUCACCUCUCGCAAAAGUAGAUUUUGAAAAUACCUCGACAUGUAAACCCAAGGCUCAACUCACAUCUCGCAAUAUGAGUUGAUUUUUGAAAAGCAGAAAUUCAAAACGCCUCAGCGUGUGACCCGAGGCUCAACUCACCUCUCGCAAUAUGAGUUGAUUUUUUUUGAAAAGCAGAAAUUGAAAAUAGCUCAGCACGUGAGCAAAGGCUCAACUCACCUCUCACAAUAUGAGUUGAUUCUUUUGAAAAGCAGAAAUUGAAAAUAGCUCAGCACGUGAGCAAAGGCUCAACUCACUUCUCGUAAUAUGAGUUGAUUUUUGAAAAAUAAAAAUUAAAAACAGAGUUUGAAAGACAGAAUUUGAAAAUACCUCGGCAUGUGACUCGAGGCUCAACUCACCUCUCGCAAUAUAAGUUGAUAUUUUGAAAAGCAGAAAUUGGAAAAAAACAGAAAUUGAAAAUACCUCAGCGUGUCUUGAGGCUCAAUUCACCUCUCACAAUAUGAGUUGAUUUAUUUUUUUGAAAUUAAAACACAAAAAUCGACAAUUCCUCAGCGUGCCCCGAGGCUCAACUCACUUCUUGCAAUAUGAGUUGAUUUUUGAAAAAUAGAAAUUGAAAUUACCUCAGCAUGUCCUGAGGCUCAACUCACCUCUCGCAAUAUGAGUUGAUUUUGACAAACAGAAACAGAAAUUGAAAAUACCUCAGCACGUGAGCCGAGGCUCAACUCACUUCUUGCAAUAUGAAUUGAUUUUUUUGACAAUAGAAAUUGCAAUUACCUCAACAUGUCCCAAGGCUCAACUCACCUCCCGCAAUAUGAGUUGAUUUUUGAAAAACAUAAAUUGAAACAAAAAAAUUGACAAUACCUCAGCGUGCCCCGAGGCUCAACUCACCUCUCGCAAUAUGAGUUGAUUUUUGAAAAACAGAAAUUUAAAAAUACCUCAGCGUGUCCUGAAGCUCAACUCACCUCUCGCAAUAUGAGUUGAUUUUUUUUUACGAACAGAAAUUGAAAAACAAAAAUUGAAAAGACCUCAGCAUGUGAGUCGAGGCUCAACUCACUUCUCGCAAUAUGAGUUGAUUUUUGACAAACAGAAAUUGAAAUUACCUCAGCGUGUCCCGAGGCUCAACUCACCGCUCGCAAUAUGAGUUGAUUUUUUGAAAAAUAGAAAUUUAAAAAUACCUCAACGUGUCCUGAGGCUCAACUCACCUCUCGCAAUAUGAGUUGAUUUUUUUUUACGAACAGAAAUUGAAGAACAGAAAUUGAAAAGACCUCAGCAUGUGAGUCGAGGCUCAACUCACCUCUCGCAAUAUGAGUUAAUUUUUGACAAACAGAAAUUGAAAUUACCUCAGCGUGUCCCGAGGCUCAACUUACCUCUCGCAAUAUGAGUUGAUUUUUGACAAACAGAAAUUGAAAUUACCUCAGCGUGUCCUGAGGCUCAACUCACCUCUAGCAAUAUGAGUUGAUUUUGAAAAACAAAAAUUAAAAGUACCUCAACGUGUCUUGAGGCUCAACUCAUCUCUCGCAAUAUGAGUUGAUUUUCCUUGAAAAGCAUGAAUUAAAAACAUCAAAAUACCCAAAACCUGUCCUUUGGUAGAACUCGGGUGUCUUUUCCUUUGAUUCAGUGCGACUCUCAUUCAAGAUUUCUUGCUCUGCUGGAGUACCUGUAUAUGUUAUGUAUGAUGUUAUCAUGAUAUGCACAUGUUUGUCUUAAAUGAUUUUAUGCCUACAUGAUUAUGCAGUGCUCCUUAAGCAUGUUUGUCGUAUGUCCAUUUAGCCACGAUUGUUGAGGAUCUGUGUUCAUUGCUUUGAUUCUCAACUUUCUCUUCAGGCCUUAUACCUGCCUUCAAGCUUCACGAGUAAUCGACGUUCCUCAGAUAUCACUCUUCUGCCCCCGAUUGAACUUUGUUCUUACUUUGAGACUCUUGUGCUUAUCAAAUUUUCAUCCAGGUAAUGCUUAACAUUUAUCUUGUUUAGAGUAUGUCAUUUCUCCAUUUAUCAUGUAAAUAAACACAUAAUGAGAUGCAUGAAAAAGGUCAGGUAGGGAAAAAUGAUAUUUCAUAUUCAUCUAUUUCAAAUGUGGCAAACAAAGCAAGUUAACCAAUGAGAGUAAAAAAUGUCAAAAAGAAAGAAAGGAUCGUAUUCAACGGAUACAAAUACUUUAGAUAUUCGACACAUGAACUCUUCCACGUUCCUCAAUCAAGAAUAUUUUCGAGUCUGGCUCUUUGCGUAGAAGAUUUCGAGCUUUCAGAAAUGCUUCAAAUACUGUAGUCUCACUGUUUGACCCGCUGUUAAAACGCCACGCUCUUUAAGCCAGGUUUACCUCAUUAGGACGCCCUCUCAGGUUUUCAUCCUAAUCUUUUGUGCUAAUCAAGACGCCUUUUGCGGGUUUUCGCCUUGAUCCCUCUUUUUUUUUGGAUGCCCUUUUCGGGUUUUCAUCUCAAGCAUAAUAUUUCUUCACAGCAUCUGAGUUCACUGGAUUCGGUAACUUCUUUCCAUCCAUCUUGGUAAGGAUCAAAGCUCCUCCUGAAAAUUCCUUCUUUACGACGUAUGGUCCUUCCCAAUUUGGUGCCUAUUUUCCUCGCAGGUCCUUUUGUAUUGGGAGAAUCUUCCUCAGUACGAGUUCUCUUUCGUGGAAUUCUCUUGGCCAUACUUUCUUGUCAUGGGCCGCGAUCAUUCUCUUCUGGUACAUCUGCCCAUGACAAAUUGCUCUUAGACAUUUUUCUCCGAUGAGGUUCAACUGAUCAUAUCGAUCUCGAACCCAUUCUGCUUCUUCUAACUUUAAUUCCAUUAAGACUCGCAGGGAGAGGAUCUCAACCUCAAUAGGUAGCACAGCUUCCAUUCCGUAAGCCAGAGAGAAAGGAGUUGCUCCCGUAGAUGUUCGCACAGAUGUGCGAUAUGCAAACAAAGCAAAUGGAAGCUUCUCGUGCCAAUCUUUAUAUGUUUCAGUUAUUUUCCCAAUGAUCCUCUUAAUAUUUUUAUUGGCUGCUUCAACAGCCCCGUUCAUCUUUGGGCGAUAGGGCGAGGAGUUAUGAUGCUUUAUUUGGAACUGCUCCCACACUUCUUUCAUCAUCUUAUUGUUCAGAUUCAUGACAUUAUCUGAAAUGAUUCUUUCAGGCAAACCAUACCGGUAAAUGAUUUCCUUUUUCAAAAACCUGCAAACUGCAGUCCUCGUCCCAUUGGCAAACGAAGCGGCUUCUAUCCAUUUUGUGAAGUAAUCGAUGACCACAAAAACGAAUCGAUGUCCAUUUGAUUCUUUUGGAGAAAUUGGCCCUAUGACAUCCAUGCCCCACAUAGAAAAAGGCCACGGAGAAGUCAUGACAUGAAGGGGUGAAGGGGCUACAUGAAUUUUAUCGCUGUAGAUUUGACAUUUGUGGCAUUUUCUGGCAAAAUUGAUGCAGUCAUUUUCCAUUGUCAGCCAAUAAUAACCGAGUCUCAUGAUCUUUCUGGCCAUAUUGAAACCAUUGGCAUGCAUUCCGUAAAUUCCCUCAUAGACCUCUUCAAGUAUUUUUCUGGCUUCAACAUCAUCCACACAUCUCAAAAGCAUCUGAUCCUUUCCUCUUUUAUACAGGAUAUCCCCAUCAAGAACAAAUCCCGCUGCCAUUCUUCUAAUUGUUCUUUUAUCGUUCUCAUUCGCUUGUUUGGGAUACCUUUGAUUCUUGAUAUAUUCUAAGAUAUCAUGGAACCAAGGUCGUCCGUCUACUUUUUUCUCAAUGCUACAACAGUGUGCAGGGACCUCGUAUAUGCUCAUUUUGAGGGGCAUUAUUUCUACUUCUCUACUUGCUUUGAACAUUGAAGCCAAAGUGGCUAGGGCAUCAGCCAGUUGGUUCUCUUCUCGUGGGAAGUAAUGAAAAGUUAUUUCUUUAAAUUCCUUGAUCAAUCCAGCCACUAAAUCGCUGUACUUAAUCAAUUUUGAGUCCCUCACUUCCCGCUCUCCACAGAUUUGGUAAAUCACUAGGGCUGAGUCCCCGUACACCUCCAAGAUCUCGAUGUUUCGUUCGAUAGCUGCACGAAGCCCCAUGAUACAGGCCUCAUAUUCUGUGAUAUUAUUGGUACAGAAGAAGUUCAGUCUUGCAGUGAACGGAUAAUGAUUCCCGUCUGGUGAUACCAGGAUUGCUCCAAUUCCAUGCCCUAAAGCAUUUGACGCACCAUCAAAGCACAUCUUCCAUGACUUCUCUUUUGAUGACUCGGAUUCCAUUUCUGUGAUGCACAUUAAGUCUUCGUCUGGGAAAUCAAAUUUCAAGGGCUCAUAUUCCUCCGUCGUUCGAGUCGCUAAGAAAUCAGCUAUUGCGCUCCCUUUUAUCGACUUCUGACUUACAUAGGCAAUGUCAUAUUCUGAUAGGAGGAUCUGCCAUCGUGCCAUUCUUCCUGAGAGUGCCGGUGAUUCCAUCAUGUAUUUUAUUGGGUCUAGCUUUGAAAUUAGCCAUGUCGUGUGAUACAACAUAUAUUGUCUGAGUCUCCGAGCUACCCAAACCAGAGCGCAACAGUAUUUUUCAAUGGACGAAUACUUUGCCUCAUAUUCAAUGAACUUUUUACUGAGGUAGUAGAUCGCCUUUUCUUUCUUUCCUGACUCGUCGUGUUGCCCCAGUACGCAACCCAUUGAAUUUUCAAACACAGUUAAAUACAAUAUCAAUGGUCUUCCCGGAGUUGGUGGUACUAGCACUGGAGGACUAGACAAAUAUUGCUCUAUUUUAUCAAAGGCCACCUGGCAUUCCUCAUUCCAUUCUCCAGGGUUAUGUUUUCGAAGAAGUCGAAAGAUUGGGUCGCAUUGGUUGGUAAGCUGAGCGAUAAAUCGGGUGAUGUAAUUUAAUCUCCCUAAAAAUCCUCUAACUUCCUUUUGCAUGCGCGGAGACGGUAACUCUUGAAUGGCUUUUAUUUUAUCUGGAUCAACCUCGAUACCUCUUUCACUGACAAUGAAGCCUAGCAACUUCCCCGAGGUAGCCCCAAACGUAAAUUUGGCUGGAUUGAGCUUUAACUGGAACUUUCUCAGCCUGUCGAACAACUUCUUGAGAUUCACUACAUGCUCUUCUUCCCCUCGGGAUUUAGUAAUCAUAUCGUCGAUGUAGACCUCUAUUUCUUUAUGCAUCAUGUCAUAGAAUAACGUCACCAUAGCCCUUUGAUAUGUUGCCCCAGCAUUCUUUAACCCGAAUGGCAUCACCUUGUAGCAGAACGUUCCCCACAUUGUUAUGAAGGUAGUUUCUCCAUAUCCUCAGGGGCCAUCUUGAUCUGAUUAUACCCCGAGAAUCCAUCCAUGAAAGAAAAUAAUGAAUGUUUUGUUGUGUCGUCCACCAACGUAUCAAUAUGUGGCAAGGGAAAAUUAUCUUUUGGGCUUGCUCGAUUCAGGUCACUGUAAUCCACGCACAUUCGUACUUUGCCAUCUUUCUUUGGUACCGGGACUAUGUUAGCCACCCAUUCUGGAUAUUUGGAGGCUUGUAGGAAGCCAGCAUCAAAUUGCUUCUUGACUUCCUCUUUUAUUUUCAACAGCAUUUCGAGUCUCAUCCGUCUUAAUUUUUGCUGGAUAGGCUUGCAUUCUGGCUUUAAUGGGAGCUUGUGGACCACUAAAUCUUCAUAUAGCCCUGGCAUAUCCUGGUAUGACCAUGCAAAAACAUCUUUGUACUCGCGGAGCAGAGCGAUCAAAUUAUGCCUAGUGCUCUCUGAAAUAGAAGUCCCAAUUUUCACUUCUUGUUUCCUUUCUUCAGUGCCCAAGUUUAUUGUUUCCACAGAUUCUUCAUGAGGCAAAAUCUGUUUAUCCUCUUGUUCCACCAUUCUUAACAAUUCAGGAGAUGAGACAUAGUCUUCAGCAUUUUCUUCGGCUUCGAAUUCUCCUAAACAAACAGCCUUCUCAAAAUCGAUUUCAGGACUCGUAACGGGUUUGUUCAUGCCAUUGAUAUCUGAGCACCUGAAAGUUGAAUGGAAAAGGAAACUAUAGAGGGGCAUCCAAGUAUUGGAACCAACAAACGAAAUGUUUUGGCAUGGUAUGAGGCAAAUGUACAGAUAGGCUAUGAAAUGAGGAGAUGAUUAUGAAAUUAGUGAUAAUGCGAAAGAUCGUGAUAAAAUGCAUCUUCAUUGAUAUUCAUUUAAAUGAUAAAGAGUGAAUGCAAGCUCUUACAAAAGAGUUCUAUUAUAUCUAAGGACACAAUAGAGGGUUAAUGUUUGAGCAUUACUCUGAAGACUUAUAAACUACAAGAAGGUCCUCGGCAGUCCAAUUGUUCAACAUGAAACCAGGAGGACAAGGGUGUAUCCUCGAGACAUCUUUACUCACAUCAGCCCCUUUGUCAAUAACAUUUAUACUGACAUUUUGAAGACCCUUUUCAAUUAACCAUAGCGUGUUUCGUGGACCAUCUUGUCCAGGGUACAUCAUUCCCGCAGAUGUAAAUGUUUUUGACAAAGGAGGGUACUCUAUUGGUUCCCAUUCUGGUUCUCGGCCCAAAGUUCUUGCAAUCCUUCUUUCCUGAUCUUUUUUCCACUGUCUUCUUCUUUGACGCAUGUCAGGCUAGAACCCCAAACCGUAUCGGGCCCUGUGGUGCACUGGCUUUAAAGCCCUGACUAUUCUUUGCAGAUAUCUCCCUAAACCUCUUCUCGCUCGAGCUCCCUUUCCUACGGUCAAUUUGACACCUAUUCUAGUAUUUCUUGACAGUUUUGGCACCAGAAUUCUGUUUCUCUCAACAACAAAAGUGGCAUUGACGAAUUCAAGGGAUCGGAAGGAACAUUCUAAUGCAUCUUUGUUCACUUCCAAGUACGGUGCAUCGGCAGAGACGGAUGCGACAAUGUCUUCUUCUCCCUUGACAGUGACCAAACAACCGUCCAUGAUAAAUUUCACCUUUUGAUGGAGGGAUGAUGGGACUACUUCAGCAGAAUGGAUCCAGGGUCUUCCCAAAAGGCAGUUAUAAGAGGGUGUAAUGUCCAUGACUUGGAACUUGACAUCAUAAAUGUAAGGGCCCACUUCCAAAGGGAUUUCGAUCUUUCCCAUGACUUCGCGCCUCGUCCCGUCGAAUGCCCUUACCGUGGAAUGACAGGGCCUUAAGUAGGACAAAUCCAUCGGUAUUCUAGAAAGCGUGGCCAAUGGCAUAACAUUUAACACUGACCCAUUAUCGAUGAGUACGUUCGGUAUUAUGUAGCCCUUGCAGUGAGUCGUGAUAUGUAGCGCUUUCACCGAGCCUCUACCAUUUGGCGGUAUCUCAUCAUCACUAAAAGAGAUGAAAUUAUCUGCAUUUAGAUUAUUUACCCACCUAUCAAGCUUCUCAAUGGAUAUGUUGUUGGCCACAUAAGCUUGAUUUAACACCUUCAAUAAAGUAUUCCGGUGUGGCUCUGAAUUUAACAGUAGAGAUAAAACUGAGAUUCGUGCUGGCUGCUUACUCAAUUGUUCCACCAUACUAUACUCGCUGUGCUUGAUAAAUUUCAAGAAUUCUUGAGCUUCUUCCUCAUUCACAGGCUUUUUGGUUUCUUGCACGGGUGGAAUUUCUUGCUCGACUUCGACUUCGUGCAUCACUGCUUUUCCUUUCUGUUUCAAGUCACUGUUCUAUUUUAUCUCCUUCAAAUAACAUCUUCCACUACGAGUGAAAUGACCUACUUCCCCGACGCUUCCAGUUAUGGCUUUGGGUUUUUCAUCUUCAGGUGUGACGAUAUUAACGUCAUAUUUCCAUGGUACUGUUUUAUUGUCCUUGUAAGGGAAAGGAGACGGUACUUAAAUUAUCAUUUUUGAUUUCACCAGUUCCUUCCUUGCAUCGUAAUAAAUUACGAAUGGUCGAUCGGCGCUAUACGGACAACCUGACGAUUGAUUGUCAGAGGCACAUACUUCUUUCUCAUUGGCCCCUCCUUCAUUAAUGAUCUCAAUCUCCUUAUUAUCUAUCCGGUCUUGCAGUAACCUUUUAAAUUCCUCACAUGAUUGAAUGUCGUGCCCUACAAUUCCAUGAAAAUCAUAAAGAACCUGACAUUCUUUUCUGAGAUUAUCGCCGGGGCGACAGAGCAAUCCAUUCUUAACCAGUGCUUCUCAGAUUUUCUGCAGAGGCGUCCUUAUUUCUGAAACACAUCUUCUGACUUGCCAUUCAUCUUCUUUCCCCACUGUGCUUACAUUCCCUUCAGUAUGGUUAGGGAACGGGUUCCCAGUUACAUUACUGGUACUAUCGAAUCAUAGGAUACCCGCAUCAAUUAGUCCUUGAACUCUCCUCUUAAAGGCUAGGCAAUUUUCCGUGGAAUGUCCCUGGUUUCCCGCAUGGUAUUCACAACUAGCGUUUAGGUCGUACCAUUUCGGGUAUGGGGGCCUCAAGGGUGCCAUAUAAUGCGGGGAUAUCAAUUGCUUCUCCAAAAAUUUUGGGUACAGUUCCCCAUAUGACGCAGGAAUAGGGGUAAAUUGUAGUCUUUCGGAAUUGGGUUUUACUGGCCUCUGCUCAUUUUUGGGUUGACCUUGGGCGGGUAUUAUAUUUUGUGGGAAUGUGGUGGUUGGUCUCGGGUUACUUGUGGCGUAAACGGGGUAAGAAGAGUAAGGAGGCGGUGUUUGGUAGUAAGGGGUUUGAGGAGGGUAAUAGAAAUUCGGAGGUGGAUAAUUUCGAGGUCGAGGUUGGUUUGGAUAUGGGUUAGGGGCAUAACGGCUUCCCAUUCCCACCAUGUGGGUUUCUGGUUCUUUCUUCUUCAUGGGCGCUGCCCUUCUUGAACUUUCUUGACCUUCCAUACUACCGCUCUUGACAGCAUUCUCUAUAAGCUCACCGGAUAUUACAAUAUCCGCAAACUCCUUCGUGGCACUUCUCACUAGUUUGUAAUAAAACGGCGCCUUUAAGGUGUUGAUAAAGAGAACGGUUAUCUCCGUUUUUGUUAGUGGGGGUUCCACUUGGGCCGAGACGUCUCUCCAUCUCUGCACAUACUGUCUGAAGGUCUCUGAUGGUUUUUUCUCCAUCAUUUGCAAGGUCAUCCGGUCUGGCACCAUGUCUGAUACAUGCUUGUACUGCUCGCAGAAUGCAGACGCCAAGUCCUUCCAGGAUCGAAUCUUUUCUCUACUAAGUUGGUUGUACCACCGAAGAGCUGACCCUGUUAGCUAUCUUGAAAGCAAUGUAUGAGUAGCUUAUCCUCGUUCACAUAACCGGUCAUUUUUCGGCAAAACAUGACAAGAUGCGCCUUUGGACAUCUCGUGCCAUCGUAUUUUUCGAAAUCAGGCACCUUGAACUUCGAAGGCAGAACUAAAUCGGGCACCAAACUGAGCUCUUUGGCACUUAAUGCAGAGAAGGCUUCAGUACCCUCUAUUACUUUGAGUCUUUCCUCUAAGCUCCUAUACUUCUCUUGAGCCUCACAAUCGUCCGUUCUCAACCUGGCUACUUCCGCUGGAUCGUCCGAAUCUGGAAUAAUUGGAUUGGCAGGAUUAGCCUCAGAAUUUGAUAUGAAUAUUCCUUGCCCUAAAUGAGUAUAUGGCACCAGCCGUUGCUCUGGGUCUGUGGGUUCUCCUUGGGUGUACCCUCUUUGUGCUGCGUGGGCGUGUGGUGGAGUGAAUCCGGGGGGAUAGAGCGGGUCUUGAUUGUGAUUAGCUAUUGAUCGAGAUUCCUCAAUGUCAGGGCUCUGCAUGGGUCCCUUUCCUUUAACUAAAGCUGACAUCAUCUCCAUCAUCUUGGCCAUUUGAUCAUUCUGUUCAAGCGAUUCUUCUCUUGAUCUCACCAUUAAGUCUCUCGUCUCUUGCUGUGACCUAGCCAACUGCUCUUGCAAUUCCUUUUGAAUUCUCUCCAUCCUUUCAAUCCUUUCAUUGAAUUCGGCCUCCAUUACUCUAGUUUGUCGGCGCGUUCUAUACGAAUGACGUGGUUCCAGUCUUGUGGUAUUACAACUGCGAAUUAUAUAUUUUAUCUUCAGCGACCGAGUAUGGGAUAUGCAAUGUAUGAAUGAAUGCAUGAAUGAAUGCAUGAAUGUUAAAUGAAUGUCAGUCAUGAAUGAAUAUGCAAAAAUUUGGUGUUAAUUUCAAGAUAGCCCCUAUUUAGGCAUUUCCUUAAUCAAAGGAGUAUUACACAACGUUUCGGUCACUCUUAUAAUUGACUCCUCCAUUAGAAACCCGUUUUUGGCAACCAAUCUCUAAUCAACACCUUCCUAACAAGAUGCCUUCGAUGCAUGAUGAAAAAUAAAAAUACAGAUAAACGACCUUGGUUAGCGCAACACAUAUAAACAGAGAAAAACUGUGGAAAAUUUAACAAAUUAAGCUACUUGGUCCAGUAGACUCGAUUCCCUUGCUUAGAAAGCACAAAUGUAAAAGAAAUAGAAGGUAAGAUGUGCUUUUCCCGUGUACUUAUUUCGGUGACUACUAAACGAGUGGAGGUUCGGCAUGGCUCUAGUUGGGUGGCUCGUAUGGUUCACUAUAUGCGGUUUUGGUUCUAGACAGGUACUCGAAUUACUCGUACUAUCAUCUGCUAAGAUUAGCACGAAGCCUCGGUCAUAACCCAUCACAGGCUCACGAGUUCAAUUCGAGGGAUUACAUUUACUUAUGCUUAUGCGGAGGGACAAGUUAACUCACGAAAGCAUAAGUCAUAUGUAACCCGAAAGUAUUCACCAGCCUGUGCGGAGGGACGAGUUAACUCACGAAGGCAUAGCGUUUACUUUCACUUAAACGGACAGAGCCCGGAUAGAGAGCUUAUGUUAUGCAAAAUGCAAGUGCACGGUGUGUGGGAGAAACUUGCAAUCCUUCCAUUUAUUUUAAAACUACAAAACUAAAACGAAAGAUAAAACAAAUUAGGAGAUACGUAUGUAUGAUUUUUUUGAAAACAAAACUUAAGGAUCAUGAUUAAAUAUUAAUUUGAACAUGGAAAUUUGAAAAUUUUGACAACACGCGUUUAAUUCCAGACACGACUCUCAACAAGGCUGUCUCCAGUGGAGUCGCCAGCUGUAGCGACGUAAAAAUUUUAGCUUAGCUUGGUCGCUAAUUGUGGCGAUUUAUUGAAAUUUUUUUUGAAAUUUGACGUUUGAUUUUUGAAAUAAAUAGGGAGUCGCCACCGAUCCUUUUUCCUAGGUGUGAUCGGACACCUAUUAGAUCUUUUAUUAAAACAAAUAAAAGGCUGAGUUUAGGUCUACGUUAAAAUCCAGAGAAAAUUUAGGGUUCGGGAGUCGGUUACGCACGAGGAAGGUAUUGGCACCCUCGCGACGCCCAAAAUUGGUAUCUUAUUAAACACAUGUUGUCUUGAUUUUCAAAAAUACGAAUUCAAUUUGACAUUUAAGUGUGAUCCGAUUGAAGGAAAUGAGAAGUUGCAAGUUUUUUUGUUUUUUAGAAGGACGUCCCGUUUUUAACACGAGCCGAUUAAUUUCACCCAACAUAGCGAUGAAAUCGAUGACUUAAUGUUAAAAUUGGUACAUUGCCUUAUUCUUAAAAUUAAAAUGUAAAAAGUUUUUAAAAAUGAUAGUAAAAAAAAAUCCAAGAAUAUUAUUGUCAAAAAAUGCGAACAAUGAUGGGAAUAAUAAAAUAUAUAAAAUAUAAAAUAUUAAAAUAUCAAAAUAUUAGAAUAAUAAUAAUUAAUAUUGACAAAUAAAAAAUAAAAUAGAAAUAAAAAAGAUGUACAUAAUAUAUAUUAGAAAUAAUAAUGAUGUUUUAAAAAAAUACUAUUAAUAAUACUACAUCAAUAUGUACAUAUAUAAAAAAUAAAUACAUGAUAAUAUUAAAAAUAUGUACAUAAUAUAGUGUUAAAAAUACAUACAUAAUAUAGUUAAGAUAUAUACAUAAGAUAACAUGUAGAAAAAAAAAUAUAUAAAUAAUAUAAUAUUAAAGAUAUAUAAAUAAAAUAGUAUAAAAUAUAUAUAUACGUAAUAUAAAAUUUAAAAUAUACCUAAUAUAUUAAAAGAAUAUAUAUAAUAUAAUAUUAAGAAAUAUAAUAAUAACAAAAAAAAGAGAGGGAGAGGGUGGGUGAUUUUCGGCCACAAGGCCGGCCAUCGUCCGGUCGCCAGACCGCCGCCGGCGCCACCGUACACGGCAGCCGGACCUCAAAAAAACUUUUUCGGUAAAAAUGGAUAAGCUUCCUCCUUUUAUUUUUUACUUUCGUAUAAAAGAAACAAAAUAAGAUUGAAAGGAAAACAAUAAGUAAACAAAGAACUUAAAAUGAGAAUAGACAAAGAAACCUCUUUUGCUUUGAUUUUUGAUUAAUCUCCAAAAAAACUAGCUUCUCCAAAAACUAGCCUUCACAAUAACUCUUCUCCUUGAUUACUUUAAAAAGAAACCUCUCCAAAAAUCCUUUACAAUAACUUUCUCUCCCGAAAACUCUAAAAAAAAAAAUCCCCCCCAUAUACAAAAUAUGGGAAGGCUUAUAUAGCCAUUUACAAAAUAUUUUUUUAUUGUUUAUGUCUUCAUUUGUAGGUACAAGUGAUGGUGGAGAAGGUGUGGCUAGUGGAGUUGGUGGUGGAAAAAGAGUGGCUAGUGGAGUUGGUGGUGGAAAAGGUGUGGCUAGUGGAGUUGGUAGUGGAAAAAGAGUGGCUAGUGGAGUUAGUGGUGGAAAAGGUGUGGCUAGUGGAGUUGGUGGUGGAAAAGGAGUGGUUAGUUGAGAAAAGUUUAAGUUGUGGGCUAGGUUUUUUUUAUUUUGAUUUGGGCUUAGGGUCUGGGCCAUUGGGGUUUUGAUGUAAAUUGGGCUUUGGGUAGUUAAGAUUUUGGGUUUUGGGUUUAAUUUUGGUGGGUUAGGUAAGGCUAAAUUGGGUUUUGAUGUAAAUGGGCUAAAAUUGGCCUACAACAAUAUAUAUUAAUAUUUAAAAGAGAUUGUAUAAGAAAAUUAAAAGAGUUUAAUGCAAAAAGAAAUUCGAAGUGGUUAUUUCAUAAAACAAAACAAAAUCAUGCAUGUACAAAUGUAUAUGUAUACAACAAAUAUAAUAUAUUAAAAAACAAGAUAUUGACAUGAUAAAAAUCUUCAAAACAACUGUACAAAUAAGCAAAUAAGAAUAAAAGGUUACAAGCCAAAAGGAUUUAAUUAGAAUCGAUCCAAAACGAAAGGGAUAAUCUGAAAAUAAAGUAAUAAUAAUAAAAGGAUCAAUAUUCAAUGCGCGAAAACGCAUAGGGACUAAAACUGGCAAUAUACCAGAUACCAAAACGUUACGUUUAGGCGCGGAUUAGAUUGGAAACAAAUUUAAAUUACAAGGAAAAAAUUAAAAAAAAUAAAAAAGGAGCAGAUGGGCCGAUUUAAAUGCGGUGCAAAAGUGGAGGGAUUUAACUUGCAAAUAACCCCUCACCGCAAUGACGCGUGGAUCCUGAGAGUCAAAGAACCAGAUCGGGUCGGGCAGAAAGGGGGUGGCCUAGACGAUGUCGUUUGAGACCAUUUUUAUUGGUCUAAACGGUGUCGUUUCUACUACCAUAAAAAGGCUAAACCAUGCCUUCAUUCAGCCGAAACCCUAGAGUAACCCUGGCUUUUCUUUUUUUCCUUAGCUGAACCCUAAGUCACUGCCCCAAACUGACGAUUCUCAUCCCCCAGGCACGAAUUACUCACCCAAUCCCGAAGGAUGAUUUUUAGCCUCAAAAUCUCCUCCUGGCCUCGACUUUAACAAAGCAGAAGGAGAUCUACGGCGUACCCCCGGUAAGGUUUCGUUUCUUUUUUCUUUUAUGCACUCAAAACUUGAAAGAACGACUGAAGAUUCAGAAAUAAAUGAACUGGGCUAAGGAUAAAAGAAAAGCCUCAGAGAUUGGAAUCGGAAUCACCUUCGAAUGCUCGUUGCUUUUUUUGUAUAUUGCCUUUGUUUUUCAUUUUCUAUUGCUUCUGUAUGCGUAAAAAAGGGGAACCCCUAUACAAUAUAAAAUCCUCGGUUUUAUAGUCGAAUGUUCAAAAAAGAAAUAAAAGAAUACAAUUUUUGUUCUUUUUUCGUAUUGGCCAUUAUUGCUGCUGUCGUUUUGUCCGUUUCUUUGCAGGUACAAAGUGUGCGUUGGUGCUCGGGUACGGGGCUGUGUGUUGGCAUCGUACGGAGACUAUGCUGGCGCGGACGUGGCUGCUGAACGGUACAGAGCAUACGACGCUGGGGCUAGGCUCGUCUGCGGUUACGGCGCGAAAGUGAGGAGGAAGCUCUAGGGUUUCUUUUCUCAAAAUACUGGGCCUAACGGGCUAGUAAUUGAUAUUGUGCUGUAGGGCAUUGAUUAAUGGACUGUUUUGUUUAUUUGGGUUUUAUGUUUAAGUUUGGGCUAUUAGGUUUGGGUUUAAGUUUAGGCCAUUGGGUUUGGUUUUAGGAUAUUUGUAAAUGGACAUUUAUUUAAUUAUUGGGUUUUUUACUAUUAGGUUUGAGGUUAAUGGGCCGGGCAAAUUUGGCCCACUACAGUUGCCCCUCUUUGCUCAUUGUCGUGUAACGAGAAUAGAGCAAAGAUUAUAAAUGGGCCAAUUUUUCCAGGACCUGCUGAGUCUCGAUUUCUUUUGGCGCUUCUUUUCUUCAAGUAACUUCAAUAUGCCCCACUGCAACUUCAAGGAGACUCGGUUCACGUGUUUUUAUCCUGCUCUACUGCAACUUCAGAGAGAUGAGAAUUGUGACUUCGACCUGCUCCACUGCGACUUCAGGGAGACAAGAUCUUGCAAUUUUCGGCCUAUUGCCCUACUACUUAGGGGGUUAAGGCUUGUUUUCUUCGAUCUGCUCUACUGGAGACGAGAUCUGCAAUCUUCGGCCUACUCCGCUACAACCUUAGGGAGCUAGGAUAGUGGCUUGAAUCUUGCUUCACUGCAAUUUUAGGAAGGCUAGAUUCACCGUCUUUGAUCUGCUCUACUGCAACCUCAGGGAGACAAGAUCUAAAAUUUCAGCCUACUCCACUACAACUUUAAGGAGCUAGGUUGGUGGCUUAAAUCUGCUUCACUGCAACUUCAGGAAGCCAAGAUUCGCCAUCUUCGAUCUGCUUCACAGCAACUUCAGGGAAAUAAGAUCUAAAAUUUCAGCCUACUCCACUACAACUUUAGGGAGCUAGGUUGGUGGCUUAAAUCUGCUUCACUGCAACUUCAGGAAGCCAAGAUUCGCCGUCUUCGAUCUGCUUCACUGCAACUUCAGGGAAACAAGAUCUAAAAUUUUAGCCUACUCCACUACAACUUUAGAGAGCUAGGUUGGUGGCUUAAAUCUGCUUCACUGUAACUUCAGGAAGCCAAGAUUCACCGUCUUCGAUCUGCUUCACUACAACUUCAGGGAAACAAGAUCUAUAGGAUUCGCCAAUGUCACUACACUGUCUUCUAAAGACAUGAUUUGUAAAAUUGGUUUCCUGUAUCUGUGUAUGUCAAAUAAUUAGGAUGCUAUGAUCGAGAUGAAUUAAAUGUCUCUAACUAGAUAUGGUGUUUAUGUCAAAUAAUUAGAAUGUUAUGAUCGAAAUGAAUCAAGUGCUCCUAACUAAAUGAAUGAUUAUGAAUGUAGAAAUGUCAUGAGAGUAACUCCUUUUUAAACGCUUAAGCUAUCAUUGCUCAUAGUUCCUCCGGGUUCUAUCAUUGAUGUGCUAUCACGCCCUCUUGCUUAGUCGUUAUCUCUGACAGAAAAUUUGAAGAAAUAGCCAUAAUUUGGACUACUCUUUUUCCAAUGUUUUCCACUUUCGAGUCUGGUUAAUUCUAGAUAGUAGCCCUGUUUCAGGUCCUUGUACUAUUUAGAGAAUUUUCAAAAUAAUAUGCAUAACUUCUUUUAUUUGGAUAUUAUAAGUCCAAAAAAUCGUGAUUUCAACAAAAUGCUCAAAAGAGAUUAUCAUAAUGGACAAGAUAGAAUUCUAUUGAGUAAAACUCGAAGUGAAUACAUUAAACAGGAUAGCAAAUCUACUAAGGCGUAAAACUCAAAGUGAAUACAUUAAACAGGAUAGCAAAUCUAAUAAGGUACAAAAAUAAAAUGAGAAAAGAGGUGCCCUAGAUAUCGCCGCACGAGUUUCACUAUUCUGAUUUCUCAAAGGCUCUUUCGAACUAAAUGUGUGUUCAAGAGAUCCCUCGUAUUUUGUUGAUGCUCCAAGAUGUACCGUUCUUCCCUCUUGUUAAUUUUAGAAGGACAAGACUACUGCAUGCCCUAUACUCAAAAUUUGAGCUGCCCAUUUUUCGGGUUUUCAAAUCAAAAUUCCCUUUGGUCUCAAAGUGCCCUUUGCGGGUUUUCACUCUGGCCUCUCUUUCUUCAGGUAAAAUACUUCUUGACCGAAUCCGAGAGUACAGGAUUGGGAAAGUUUCUACCAUCCAUCUCGGCUAGAAUCAAUGCUCCUUUGGAGAAAGCUUUCUUCACCACGUAAGGCCCCUCCCAAUUAGGCAUCCAUUUUCCUCGAAAAUCCUUCUGCAUGGGAAGGAUCUUUUUCAAAACCAGGUCUCCCUCGUGGAAUUCUCUAGGACGAACCUUUUUGUCAUAUGCUCGCAUUAUUCGGUUUUGGUACAUCUGACCAUGAUGAAUAGGUCUUAGCCUCUUUUCUUCAAUCAAGUUCAAUUAAUCGUAUCGAGAUUGGAUUCAUUCUGCUUCAUCCAAUUUUAACUCUGACAAUAUUCGAAGGGACGGGAUCUCCGCUUCGAUUGGUAAAACCGCUUCCAUUCCGUAGACCAAAGAGAAAGGCGUUGCCCCAGUUGAGGUUCUGACUGAUGUUCGGUAAGCUAAGAGGGCGAAUGGUAACUUUUCAUGCCAAUCUUUGUAGGUCUCAGUCAUCUUCCCUACAAUCUUCUUAAUAUUUUUAUUGGCUGCUUCCACUGCCCCAUUCAUCUUCGGGCGAUAUGGUGACGAGUUAUGAUGUCUGAUCUUAAAUUGACUGUAGACUUCCGCUAUCGUACUGUUGUUCAAGUUUAAUGCGUUAUCAGAUAUGAUCCUCUCCGGCAUUCCAUAUCGACAUAUGAUCUCUUUUUUCAGGAACUUGCUCACUACUGACUUUGUAACACUAGCAUACGAAGCAGCUUUUACCCAUUUGGUGAAGUAGUCGAUAACCAUAAAGAUGAACUGAUGCCCGUUAAAAGCUUUCGGAGAUAUUGGUCUAAUCACAUCCAUACCCCACGUAGAGAAAGGCCAUGAGGAAACCAUGACAUGCAAUGGUGAAGGAGGCACAUGAUUUUUGUCUCCGUAGAUUUGGCACUUAUGGCAUCUUUUGGCGUAAUUGACACAGUCUCCCUCCAUAGUGGACCAAUAAUACCCGAAUCUUAUAAUUUGCCUGGCUAUUGUAAAGCCAUUAGCGUGUGUCCCGCAGACGCCUUCAUAGACUUCUUCCAAGAUUUUCUUAGCCUUUACAGCAUCUACGUAUCUUAAUAGCACUUGAUCAUUUCUUCUUUUGUAUAAGAUCUCCCCAUCUAAGACAUAGUCGAUGGCCAAUCUUCUCAGCGUCCUUUUGUCAUUCUCACUUGCCUGGUCUGGGUUUUCAUGAUUCUUCACGUAUUGCAAUAUAUCGUGAUACCAAGGGUGAUCAUCUUUUUCUUCAUCCUCUUCAAUAUUAUAACAGUGGGCUGGAGUUUCAUAAAUGCUCAUUCGGAUAGGUUUGACAUCUUCUUAUUUGUUCACCUUGAUCAUGGAAGCUAAGGUAGCCAAAGCAUCGGCCAUCUGAUUUUCAUCUCGUGAAAGGUAGCAGAAGGUAAUGUCGUCGAACUCUUUGACCAAUUCAAGGACCAGUUUUCGAUAAUUGAUCAAUUUGGGAUCUCUGGUCUCCCAUUCUCCUUUGAGUUGAUAAAUCACUGGGGCAGAAUCCCCAUACACCUCUAGCACUUUAAUCUUGCAUUCUAUAGUUGCACGGAUACCCAUGAUGCACGCUUCGUAUUCUGCCAUGUUAUUUGUACAAUCAAAAUCCAAUUUACUAGUGAAUGGAUAAUGAUCUCCGUUUGGGGAAACCAAGACUGCCCCGAUUCCAUUACCCACGGCAUUUGAUGCCCCAUCGAAGUUUAGUUUCCAAGAAAGUUCUUCCAGAGCACCUUCUUCAGUGGUAGCAACACACAUCAGGUUUUUGUUCGGGAAAUCAAAGUUCAAAGGCUCGUAGUCUUCCAAAGCUCUACUGGCCAGAAAAUCUGCUAUUGCACUGCCUUUUACCGCUUUCUGGUUUACAUAAAUUAUGUCGAAUUCAGAGAGCAGAAUCUGCCAUAGGGUCAUCCUUCCAUUCAAAGCGGUUGACUCCAUCAUGUACUUUCAGGGGUCGAGUUUUGAAAUGAGUCAAGUAGUAUGAUACAACAUAUACUGCCUCAACCUUCGAGUUGUCCAAAUUAGGGCACAACACAACUUCUCUAUCGGCGGGUACCUUGUCUCACAUUCCGUGAACUUUUUACUAAGAUAGUAAAUAGCUUUUUCUUUCCUUCCUGACUCAUCAUGCUGACCCAGUACGCAUCCAUGGAAUUCUCAAAUACUGCCAAAUAUAAUAUCAAUGGCCUAUCAGGGUCAGGUGGCGUUACCACCGGAGCAUUGGAUAAGUACUGUUUAACCUUAUCGAAAGCCCUUUAGCAUUCUUCAUCCUAUUCACCUGGGUUGUGUUUCUUGAGGAGGCAGAAAACAGGAUCACAUUUCUCGAUUAGUUGUGAAAUGAUCCGAGCGAUGUAAUUUAAUCUUCUUAGAAAGCCUCGAACCUCUUUCUAAGUACGUGGCGGAGAUAGCUCUUGUUUGGCUUUAAUGUUGUCUGGAUCGAUCUCGAUCCUUUUCUCACUAACCAUGAAUCCGAGUAGCUUUCCAGCCUUGGCCCCAAAAGUACAUUUGGCUGGGUUGAGUUUUAGCUGAAACUUCCUCAACUUCAAAAAAAAUUUUCUCAGGACUUGUAUGUGCUCUUUCUCUAUUCGAGAUUUUGCGAUCAUAUCAUCGACAUAAACCUCGAUUUCUUUAUGCAUCAUGUCGUGGAACAGGGUUACCAUGGCUCUUUGAUAAGUUACCCCCGCAUUCUUCAGUCCAAACGGUAUCAUUUUGUAGUAAAAUGUCCCCCACAUGGUUACAAAUGUGGUCUUCUCUAUGUCUUCAGGAUGCACCCUGAUCUGGUUAUAUCCGGAGAAACUGUCCAUGAAUGAAAACAAUGAGUGUCCUGCCGUGUUGUCCACUAGGGUGUCAAUAUGAGGUAGUGGAAAUUAUCCUUCGGGCUGGCUUUAUUCAAAUCUCUGUAGUCCACACACAUUCGCACUUUUCCAUCUUUCUUAGGGACGUAGACGAUGUUGGCUACCCAAUCUGAGUAUUUUACCACCUUCAGGAAUCCAGCGUCGAACUACUUUCGAACCUUUUCUUUUAUUUUUAGCAAGACAUCGGGCCUCAUUCUUUAGAGUUUUUGCUGAACUGGCUUGCAUUCUUCCUUUAUGGGGAGUCUAUGCACCACGAUAUCAGUGUUCAACCCGGGCAUAUCUUGGUAUGACCAUGCGAAGACAUCUUUGAAUUCUUGAAGUACUUCAAUGAGGUCUCGCUUCAUCUCUGUGGUGAUACAUGUUCUGAUCUUCACCUCUUGUCUUUCUCCUAAGCUCACAAUUUCUACUGAUUCUUUGUAAGGUAGUGUAACACCCCUCGCCCGCAUCCGACGUCGGGACGGGGUUCGAGGUGCUACCUGACUUUUACUAACACUUCCAUACUAAACAGGGCCAUGAAAUCUCAAAUAAUUAAAAACUUUUAUUUUCACAUACAAUUUGUCCCAUAUACGGGCUUACGAGGCCCAAAACAUACAUCCGGAGUGGUUCGGGACCCAACCGAGAACUCAUGAAAAACUUAGAAAAUCUCUUGCAUCAAGUCUUCAUACGCCCGUGUGGGUAUAGAGCAUACGCUCGUGUGCUAGGGACACGCCCGUGUCCCAAACCCGUGUCCAAAAACCUGGACAAAUACAAGGCUAUUUUCCAAGCCAUUUUGUCACACUCACAAUAGAUACACGCAUACUUAUACAAUAACAUACAACAUGGCAAAAUUAGGUACUUAAACAUUCCUAACAUGUCAUGAUUAUGGCAAUUUCACAUGCAAUAGAUAUCAUAGAUUUUACUCACAUCUUUACCACAUUCAUACUAUAAUCAUUAUAAACUCAUCACAUAAUACCAUAGCACAUGCAUGCAUGAUUAAAAUAGAUUUACAACCCCAUAAUCAAAAUAGGCCAACACAUAUGAUUAAAGCCAUAUCACAUACUCUAAUAUUUAAACUCCUAUACAUGCCAUAGGCUCAAAGUACUUGAAAUCACUACACCAAUAGCGUUAGCUUGACAGUGUGAUAAUAUCUCUGACGGCCUCCAACCCGAGCUAACUUGGAAACUCUAGAAAACAUGGGAAAGAAGAGGGGGGUAAGCUUUCGCUUAGUAAGUUCAUAUGAAAACAAUAAGCACUUAUUGACUUGUUUUAUCAAUGUUUACAACAUAUUCUCAAGUUCACUACAAGCUGUCUUUUUGAGCAACGGUCACUAAAUUAUUUAUAUCUGGAGCUAAAAAACUCCGAAUUAAGUUCCGUUAAUUUUCCCUGAUACUAGACUUAUUUUCCUUUCUUCCAUAAAAUUUUCAGAAUUUUUGGUUAAGCCAAAUAGUACAGUUUAUUCCUCAAAGUUACCCCUGAUUCACUAUCUGACAGUUCCGACCCUUCUGUACUAAAGUUCAAUUAUCUCAUAGUACAAGACUCGAAUAAUGUUCUCGUAUAUUUCUCUUGAAACUAGACUCAUAUGUCUACUUACUAAGCCAUUUAGUACAGUUUAUUAGUUAAAGUUUCCCCUGUUUCAGGGUAUGACUACUCUGACCCUUGUGCACUACAAACUAAAUUUCUCCCUGUACAGAAUUCCAAUGGCCAUGCCAUUUGUUUUCCUUAAAAAUAGACUCAAUAAGGAAUCCAUGCAUGUAAGUUAUGACUCUUAAUAAUUUUUGUACAAUUUAUGGUGAAUUUCUAAAGUCAGAACAGGGGAUCUCGAAUUCAUUCAGACCCUGUUUCACAAGAAUUCAAAUAUCACACAAUCUGGAAUUCUUUUUCUUCCCCUGUUUCUUUCAUGUGAAAAUAGCUCAUUAAGCUUUAAUCCCAUAUUUUAUUCUGCUCUAGCUCAUUUUCCACUAUUUUUAGUGUAUUUUCAAAGUUACACUACUGCAGUAACUCAAAUCUGUCAAGGCUAAAUUACUCAUUCAUGAUCAUUGUUCACAAAAUUAAUACAACAUCGUUUGUAUAAUCAUCACCGAGACAUUCAUAUCACAUUUUCAUUUACCAUCUUACCAUAUUGUUGUUAUGUCGAGUUUUCAACCCGAGGGUUAAGUACAUACCUGUUCAAAGUAUCCAUUUCACAACAUUUACCAAUACAUCCCUUUCAUCUCGAGUAUUCCUCCAUUUGAAUAGAAUUUUACCCGUUGAACACAUCAGAAUAUAAUUCAGAUACAUGGAAAGUUUGCACAUAAGUGCCACAUAUGGAGCCAAGCUACCAUGUAACCCGCCCAUAAGUGAACUCGGACUCAACUCAACGAGCUCGGGCGUUCGUAUUCAUAAGUGAACUCAGACUCAACUCAACGAGCUCGGAUGCCUAGUUACAUCUCACGAACUCGGACUCAACUCAACGAGUUCGAACAUUCGCAUCCAUAAGUGAACUCGGACUCAACUCAACGAGUUCAGAUGCUCAACCAUCCUAGUUGUAGCGACGUAAAAAAUUUUUUAGUUUCGCUUGGUCGCUAAUUGUGGCGAUUUAUUAAACAUUUGAAAACCAACUUUCGAUUUUAUUAACAAAGGGAGUCGCCACCGAUCCUUUUUUAUAGGUGUGAUCGGACACCUAAUAAAAUUAUUUUAAAACAAAAAGAAGGCCAAAUUUAGGUCUACAUGAAAGUCCAGAGAAAAAUUGGGGUUCGGGAGUCAGUUACGCGUGAGGAAGGUAUUAGCACCCUCGCGACGCCCAAAAUUGGUAUCUCAUAAACAUGUGUUGACUUGAUUUUCAAAAAUACGAGCUCAAUAUUAUAUUUAAUCGUGAUCCGAUUGAAAAAUGAGAAUUUUUAGUUUUCGAUUUUUUUUUAGAAAGGGUGUCCCGUUUUUUAACACAAGCCGACGAAUUUCACCCAACAUAGUGAUGAAAUCGAUGGCUUAAUAUUAAAUCGGUACAUUACCUUAUUUUUGAAAUUAAUUAAAACAUGAGAAAAAAUAUUCCUAAAGUGAGAAAUUAAAAAUAGAUAAAGGACGCAAAAAAAUGAUAUAUUAAUGAAAAAUAUUAACAUGGAAUACUAGAAUAUUAGAAUAACAAUAAUAAUGAUAUUUACAAAAUAAAAACAAAUCAUGUACUAAUAAUAAAAUAGGAAAAAUGAUAUAUUUGGUAAUAAUAAUAUAAAAUAAUAAUAUGUACAUAAAAAUACAUAUAUAUAUAUGCAUAUAAUAAAAGUAUGUAAUAAUAAUAAUAAUAUCUACAAUAAAAGAAAAUAUUAGGAAACGUACAUAAAAAAUAUAUACAUAAAAAAUUUACAACAAUAAUAUAAAAUAAUGAUAUGUGCAAAUAUAUAUACAUAUGUACAUAAAAUAUACACUAAUAUAAUAAUAGUUAUAAUAAUACUAGCAAUAGUAAUAAUUUGUAAUAAUAAUAUAUACACAUUAUGGUAUUUAAAAUAUAUAUAUAUGUAUAUAAUAGUAUUUAAGAAUAUAUACAUAAGAAAUAUAUAACUAAUGGCAUUAAAAAAUAUAUACAUAAUAUAUAUAAAAUACCUAAAAAAAAGAAGGGGGAAAGAAGAGAGAAUGGAGGGGGGAAAGGAAAUCCGGCCAAUGGGGGCCGAUCACCGGUCGAUCGUCGGUCGCCGCCCGUCGUCAGCCAUUGCCGGCCACCGCCCACGGUGGCCGAAAAAGGUAAAAAAAUUUUAACAAUAUAUGUAUAUAUAAAGAAAGAAAAAAAACAACACAAAAAAAAAGAAAAAAAAGAUUCGAAAGAAGAGGAAAAAAGAAAAAGAUGCAACCUUUUUAUUAAUGUUUCUUUUGUGUUCAAAAUUUGAAGGGAUUUUUGUGUUUUUUUUUUUCAAUCUUUGUAAAAUCUCUCCCCCUUUUUACAUGAUUUUUGAAUGGCUUUUUAUAGCCAUCUUUUACAUGAUUUUCUAUUAUUUCCUUUUCUAUUUUGUAGGUGGUGGUAGUAGACAAUGGAUAUCAAAAAUGGGAGGAAAAAUGAGGCAAGUGGGAAAGUGGCUAGGUGGCUAGGGUUUCUUAGUUUUUUUUGGGUUAGGUUUUUCUUUUUUCUUCUUUUUUUUUUCUUUUUGGUUAGGUUUUUUUGGGGGGGGCUUAAUGGGCCUUUGAAUUGGGUUUAAUAUUUGGGUUUUGUAAUGGGUUUGGGUAGAUGUAAAUGGGUCAUGGGUUAAGGGUUUUAGUGGGUUUAGAGGCUUGGUUGGGUUUUGAUGAAAUCGGGCCCGGGCAAUUUGGGCUUCUACAGCUGCCCCUCUUUGCUCAUUGUCGUGCAACGAUAAUAGAGCAAAGACUUUCAAGGAAGACCAAAUUUGCCCGGUCUUGCUAGGUCUUGACUUGCUUUGGAACUCUUUUUGUUUAGUUAGUCCCUUUUUAGUCCACCGCAUCUUGUAGCUUUGGUUCACUCCACUGCAUCUUAUGAUAUACGCCUUGUAGCUUCAAUCUAUUCCAAUGUAACUUCAAGGAUAUGAAAUUUAUGGCUUCGAUCUACUUCACUGUAACUUCAGAAAGGUGAGAUCUACAACUUCAAUCUUCUCUUCUAUCGCUUCAGUGUUUGUGGUCUUUUCUUCUGCGACUUUAGAAAGGCAAGAUCUGAUGCCCCCGAUCAACUCUACUGCAACUUUAAGGAGACAGAAUCUGACGUCUUCAAUCAGCUUCAAUCUUUAUUCUCUACUCGGCAUAUGAUCCUCUCGCAAUAUGAGUUGAUUUUUGAAACUUAUCUUGAAAAGCAGAUUUUGAAAAUACCUCGACAUGUGACUCGAGACUCAACUCACCUCUCGCAGAAAUUAAAAAGCUCAACUCACCUUUCGCAAUAUAAAUUGAAAAAAAUACCACAGUGUGUGAUCUGAAGCUCAACUCACCUCUCGCAAUAUGAGUUGAUUUUUUUUUGAAAGACAGAAAUUGAAAAUACCUCAGCAUGUGAACUGAGGCUCAACUCACCUCUGACAAUAUAAGUUGAGUUUUUUGAAAACAGAAAUUGAAAAUACCUCAACGUUUCUUGAGGCUCAACUCAUUUCUCGCAAUAUGAGUUGAAUUUUGAAAACAGAAAUUGAAAUUACCUCAGCGUGUCCCGAGGCUCAACUCAUCUCUUGCAAUAUGAGUUGAUUUUUUUUUUGACAACAGAAAUUGAAAUUACCUCAGCGUGUCCUGAGGCUCAACUCACCUCUCGUAAUAUGAGUUGAUUUUUUUUAAAAGGCAGAAAUUGAAAAACAGAAAUUGAAAAUACCUCGGCGUGUGACCUAAGGCUCAACCCGCCUCUUGCAAUACGAGUUGAUUUUUUUUUGAAAGACAGAAAUUGAAAAUACCUCAGCAUGUGAACCGAGACUCAACUCACCUCUCGCAAUAUAAGUUGAUUUUUUUUUAAAACAGAAAUUGAAAAUACCUCAAUGUGUCUUAAGGCUCAACUCAUUUCUUGCAAUAUGAGUUGAAUUUUGAAAACAGAAAUUGAAAUUACCUCAACGUGUCUUGAGGCGCAACUCAUUUCUCGCAAUAUGAGUUGAAUUUUGAAAACAGAAAUUGAAAUUACCUCAGCGUGUCCCGAGGCUCAACUCACUUCUCGCAAUAUGAGUUGAAUUUUGAAAAUAGAAAUUGAAAUUACCUCAACGUGUCUUGAGGCUCAACUCAUUUCUCGCAAUAUGAGUUGAAUUUUGAAAACAGAAAUUGAAAUUACCUCAGCGUGUCCCGAGGCUCAACUCACUUCUCGCAAUAUGAGUUUUGAAAACAGAAAUUGAAAUUACCUCAGCGUGUCCCGAGGCUCAACUCACCUCUCGCAAUAUGAGUUGAUUUUUUUGAAAGACAAAAAUUGAAAAUACCUCAGCAUGUCUUGAGGCUCAACUCACUUCUCGCAAUAUGAGUUGAAUUUUGAAAACAGAAAUUGAAAUUACCUCAGCGUGUCCCGAGGCUCGACUCACCUCUCGCAAUAUGAGUUGAUUUUUUUUGAAAGACAAAAAUUGAAAAUACCUCAGCAUGUCUUGAGGCUCAACUCAUUUCUCGCAAUAUGAGUUGAAUUUUGAAAUAAAACAUCAGAAUACCAGAACAUGUCAUCUGGUGGAACUCAUGUGUCUUUUCAGCUAUCAUCACAUCUUCUUGCUCUACUGGAGUACCUGUAUAUGUCAUGCAUGAUGUUAUCAUGAUAUGCAUAUGUUUUUCGUAAAUGAUUUUAUGCCUACAUGAUUAUGCUAUGUAUCUUAGGCAUGUUUGUCGUAUGCCCUUUUUCAUCACUAUUUUCGUGAUGAUCUGUAUUCAUUACUUCGGCUCCUGACUUUCUCUUUAGGCCCUGUACCCGUCCUCAAGUUUCACGAGUAAUCAAUGUUUCUCAAAUAUCACUCUUUUGCCCCUAGUUGAGCUUUGUCCCUGCGUUGAGACUCUUGUACUUAUCAAAUUCUUACCCGGGUAAUGCUUAACAUUUCUUUCGUUUAGAGUAUGUCAUUUCACUAUUUAUCAUGUAAAUGAAUCACAUAAUGAGAUGCGUGAAAAUGGUCAGGUAGAGACAAAAGGAUACCUCACAUUUAUUCAUUUCAAAAGUAGCAAACAAAGAAAGUUAACCAAUGAUAGUAAAAGAGUGUUAUAAAGAGAAAAGGGAUUGCAUUCAACGAAUACAAAUGCUCUAGAUAUUCAAUGCAUGAACUCUUCCACGUUCCUCAAUCAAGAAUCUUUUCGAGCAUGGCUUCUUGUGUAAAAGAUUCUGAGCUUUCAGAAAUGCUUCAAAUACGGUAGUCUCACUAUUUGACCCACCGUUCAAAAUGCCUUGUUCUUUAAGCCCGGGUUUGCUUCAUUAGAAUGCCCUUUCGGGUUUUCAUCCUAAUCUUUUGUGUUUAAUCAAAACGCCCUUUUCGGGUUUUCACCUUGAUCACCCUUUUUUUCUUUUUUUUAUAUGCUCUUUUUGGGUUUUCAUCUUGGAUUCCUUUUUCAAGCAUAAUAUUUCUUUACAGCAUCUGAAUUCACUGGACUCGGUAACUCUUUCCCAUCCAUCUCGGUGAGGAUCAAAGCUCCGCCCGAAAAUGCCUUCUUUACGAUGUAUGGACCUUCCCAAUUUGGCGUCCAUUUUCCUUGAAAAUCUUUUUGUAUUGGGAGAAUCUUCCUCAGCACGAGUUCUCCUUCAUGGAAUUCUCUUGGUCGUACCUUCUUGUCAUGGGCUGCGAUCAUUCUCUUCUGGUACAUCUGUCCAUGGCAAACUGCCUGCAGACGUUUUUCUUCAAUAAGGUUUAACUGGUCAUAUCGAGCUCGAACCCAUUCUGCUUCUUCUAGUUUUGAUUCCAUUAAGACUCGUAGAGAGGGGAUCUCAACUUCGAUGGGUAGCACAGCUUCCAUUCCAUAGACCAGAGAGAAAGGAGUUGCUCCCGUAGAUGUCCGCACAGAUGUACGAUAUGCAUACAAAGCAAAUGGUAGCUUCUCGUGCCAGUCUUUAUAUGUCUCGGUCAUUUUCCCAAUAAUCUUUUUAAUAUUCUUAUUGGCUACUUCAACAACUCCGUUCAUCUUUGGGCGAUAGGGUGAGGAGUUAUGAUGUUUUAUUUGGAAUUGCUCACACACUUCCUUCAUCAUCUUGUUAUUCAGAUUCAUGGCGUUAUCUGAAAUGAUUCUUUCAGGCAAACCAUGUCGACAAAUGAUUUCCUUCUUCAAAAACCUACAAACUGCAGUCUUGGUCACAUUGGCAAACGAAGCGGCUUUUAUCCAUUUUGUGAAGUAAUCAAUGACCAUAAAAAUAAAUCGGUGUCCAUUAGAAGCUUUUGGAGAAAUUGGCCCUAUAACAUCCAUGCCCCACAUAGAAAAAGGCCACGGAGAAGUCAUGACGUGAAGGGGCAAAUGGGCUGCAUGAAUUUUAUCACCAUAAAUUUGACAUUUGUGGCAUUUUCGUGCGAAAUUAAUGUAGUCGCUUUCCAUUGUCAGCCAGUAAUAUCCGAGUCUCAUAAUCUUCUUGGCCAUAGUGAAACCAUUGGCAUGCGUUUCGCAAAUUCCCUCAUGGACCUCUUCAAGUAUUUUUCUGGCUUCAACAUCAUCCACACAUCUCAAAAGCAUCUGAUCUUUUCCUCUUUUGUACAGGAUGUCCCCAUCAAGAACGAAUCCUGCUGCCAUUCUUCUGAUUGUUCUUUUGUCGUUCUCGUUUGCUUGUUCGGGAUAAUUUUGAUUCUUGAUAUAUUCUAAGACAUCAUGGAACCAUAGCCGUCCAUCUGUCUCUUUCUCGAUGCUGAAACAAUGUGCAGGGGCUUCAUAUAUGCUCAUUUGAAGAGGCAUUAUUUCUGUUUCCUAGUUUGCUUUGAACAUUGAAGCCAAAGUGGCCAAGGCAUCAGCCAAUUGGUUUUCUUCUCAUGGGAGGUAAUUAAAAGUUAUUUCUUCAAAUUCUUUAAUCAACUCUGCCACUAGAUCUCUGUAUUUAACCAGUUUUGAGUCUCUCACUUCCCAAUCUCCACGGAUUUGGUAAAUCACCAAGGCUGAGUCUCCGUAUACCUCUAAAACUUCGAUGUUUCGUUCAAUAGCUGCACGGAGUCCCAUGAUACAUGCCUCAUAUUCCACUAUGUUAUUGGUACAGAAGAAAUUCAGCCUGGCAGUGAGUGGGUAAUGAUUCCCUUCUGGCGAUAAUAAGACUGCUCCAAUCCCAUGCCCCAAUGCGUUCGAUGCACCAUCAAAGCUCAUCUUCCAUGACUUCUCUUUUGGUGACUCGUAUUCUUUUUCCGUAAUGCACAUCAAGUCUUCAUCUGGGAAAUCAAAUCUCAAUGGCUCGUAAUCCUCUGUUGUUCGAGUUGCUAAGAAGUCAGCUAUUGCGCUCCCUUUUAUCGACUUCUGACUUACAUAGGCAAUGUCAUAUUCCGAAAGGAGGAUCUGCCACCGUGCCAUUCUUCCUGAUAGUGCCGGCGAUCCAUCAUGUAUUUUAUUGGGUCCAGCUUUGAAAUUAGCCAUGUCGUGUGAUACAACAUAUAUUGUCUGAGUCUCCGAGCUACUUUGCCUCAUAUUCAGUGAACUUUUUACUGAGGUAGUAGAUCGCCUUUUCUUUCUUCCCUGACUCGUCGUGUUGCCCCAGUACGCAACCCAUUGAAUUUUCAAACACGGUCAAAUACAAUAUCAAUGGUCUCCCCGGAGUUGCCGGUACUAGCACUGGGGGACUAGACAAAUAUUGCUUUAUCUUAUCAAAGGGCACCUGACAUUCCUCAUUCCAAUUUCCUGGGUUAUGUUUUCGAAGAAGCCGAAAGAUUGGGUCGCAUUGGUUGGUAAGUUGAGCGAUGAAUCGGGAGAUGUAGUUUAAUCUCCCUAAAAAUCCUUUAACUUCCUUUUGCGUGCGUGGAGGUGGCAACUCUUGAAUGGCUUUUACUUUAUCUGGAUCAACCUCGAUACCUCUUUCACUGACAAUGACGCCUAGCAACUUCCCCGAGGUAGCCUCAAACGUACAUUUGGCUGGAUUAAGCUUUAGCUGAAACUUUCUCAGCCUUUCGAACAACUCCUUGAGGUUCACUACAUGCUCUUCUUCUCCUCGAGAUUUAGCAAUCAUAUCAUCGACGUAGACUUCUAUUUAUUUAUGCAUCAUGUCAUGGAAUAAUGUCACCAUAGCCCUCUGAUAUGUUGCCCCAGCAUUCUUUAACCCAAAAGGCAUUACCUUGUAGUAGAAUGUUCCCCACAUCGUUAUGAAGGUAGUUUUCUCCAUAUCUUCCGGGGCCAUUUUGAUCUGAUUGUACCCCGAGAAUCCAUCCAUGAAGGAAAACAAUGAAUGUUUUGCCGUGUUAUCCACCAACGUAUCAAUGUGUGGUAAAGGAAAAUUAUCUUUAGGACUUGCUCAAUUCAGGUCACGAUAAUCCAUGCACAUUCGUACUUUGCCGUCUUUCUUUGGUACCGGGACUAUGUUAGCCACCCAUUCUGGAUAUUUGGAGGCUUGUAGGAAGCCAGCAUAAAAUUGCUUCUUGACUUCCUCUUUUAUCUUCAACAACAUCUCAGGCCUCAUUCGUCUUAGCUUUUGUUGAAUAGGCUUGCAUUCUGGCUUUAAUAAGAGCUUAUGGACCGCUACAUCUUCAUCCAAUCCUGGCAUGUACUGAUAUGACCAUGCGAAUACAUCUUUGUAUUCGCGAAGCAAAGCAAUCAAAUUAUGCCUGGUGCCCCCUGAAAUAGAAGUCCCAAUCUUCACUUCUUGCCUCCUUUCUUCAGUUCCCAGAUUUAUUGUUUCAACAGAUUCUUGAUGAGGCAAAAUCUGUUUAUCCUCUUGUUCCACCAUUCUUAGCAAAUCAAGAGACGAGACAUAGUCUUCAGCGUUUUCUUCGGCUUCGAAUUCUCCUAAACAAAUAGCCUUCUCAAAAUCGAUUUCAGGACUCGUAACGGGUUUGUUCAUGCUGUUGACAUCUGAGCACCUGAAAGUUGAAUGGAAAAGGGAACUAUAGAGGGGCAUCCAAGUAUUGAAACCAACAAACGAAAUGUUAUGGCAUGGGAUGAGGCAAAUGUAAGGAUUGGCUAUGAAAUGAGAAAAUGAUUAUGAAAUUAGUGAUAAUGUGAAAGAUUAUGAGGAAAUGCAUCUUCAUUGACAUUCAUUUGAAUGAUAAAGAGCGAAUGCAGGCUCUUACAAAAGAAUUCUAUUAUAUCUAAGGACAUAACAGAAUGUUAAUGUUUGAGUAUUACUCUGAAGACUUAUAAACUAUAAGAAGAUCCUCGGCAGUCCAAUUGUUCAACUUGAAACCUAGGGGACAAAGGCGUAUCCUUGAGACGUCUUUACUUGCGUUAGCUUCUUUGUCAAUGACAUUUAUACUGACAUUCUGAAGACCCCUUUCAAUUAAUAACAGCAUGCUUUGUAUAUUAUCCUGUCUGGGGUAUAUCAUUCCUGCAGAUGUAAAUGUUUUUGACAAAUGAGGGUACGUUAUGGGCCCCCAUUCUAUUUCUCGGCCCAAAGUUCUCACAAUCCUUCUCUCCUGAUCCUUCUUCCACUGUUUUCUUCUUUGACGCAUGUCCGGCUGGAACCUCAAACUGUAUCGGGCCUUGUGGUGCACUGGCUUUAGGGCCUUGACUAUUCCUUGCAGGUACCUUCCCAAACCUUUCCUUGCUCGGGCUCCCUUUCCUACAGUCAACUUGACACCCAUCUUGGUAUUUCUCGACAGUUUUGGCUCGGGAAUUUUGUUUCCCUCAGCGAAAAAUGUGGCAUUGACAAAUUCAAGAGAUCGGAAGGAACAUUCCAUAGCAUCUUUACUCACUUCUAUAUAUGGUGCGUCGGCAGAAAUAGAUGCUACAAUGUCUUCUUCUCCCUCGACAGUGACCAAACAGCCAUCCAUGAUGAAUUUCGCCUUUUGAUGAAGGGAUGAUGGGACCGCUCCAGCAGAAUGAAUCCAAGGUCUUCCCACGAGACAAUUGUAUGAUGGUGUAAUGUCCAUGACUUGAAACUCAACAUCGUAUAUAUAGGGACCCACUUCUAAAGGAAUCUCAAUUUUUCCAUAACUUCUCGUCUUGUUCCAUCGAAUGCCCUUACUGUAGAAUGGCAAGGCUUUAGAUAGGACAAAUCCAUCGGAAUCCUGGAAAGUGUGGCUAAAAGCAUAACAUUGAGUGCCGAUCCAUUGUUGAUGAGCACAUUCGGUAUUAUAUAGCCCUUACAACGGGUUGUGAUAUGCAAUGUUUUCACUGAGCCUCUACCAUUGGGCAGUAUUUCAUCAUCAUUAAAAGAAAUAAAAUUAUCCGCAUUCAAGUUGUUCACCCACCUAUCCAGUUUUUCAACGGAUACAUUAUUUGCCACAUAAGCUUGAUUUAACACUUUCAGCAGAGCGUUCCAGUGUGGCUCUGAAUUCAACAGCAAAGAUAAUACCGAGAUUCGCGCUGGCUGCUUAGUCAAUUGUUCUACCACGUUGUACUCACUGUGCUUGAUAAAUUUUAAAAAUUCCUGUGCUUCUUCCUCGUCCACAGGCUUUUUAGCUUCUUGUUCAGGCACAAUUUCAUACUCAGCUUCAGUCACAUGCAUCGGUGCUUUUCCUUUCUGUUUCAAGUCACUGUUCUUUACAGAUUCAACCUCUUUUGAAUAACAUCUUCCGCUACGAGUGAAAUGACCUACUUCCCCAACGCUUCCAGUCAUGGCUUUGGGUUUUUCAUCUUCAGGUGUGACGAUAUUAACGUCAUAUUUCCAUGGUACUGCUUUAUUGUCCUUGUAGGGGAAAGGAGAUGGUACCUCGAUUAUCACUUUUGGUUUCACUGGUUCCUUCUUCGCGUCAUAAUAAAUUAUUAACGGUCGAUCGGCGCUAUACGGACAACCUGACGAUUGAUUGUCGGAGGUACAUACUUCUUUCUCAUUAGCCUCUUCGCCUUUAUAAAAAAUCCCAAUCUCCUUAUUGUCCAUCAUAUUUUGCAGUAAUCUCUUGAACUCUUCGCAGGAUUGAAUAUCGUGCCCCUCAAUACUAUGGAAUUCGCAAAAACUUGGAUCUUUUGUAUUCCUUCCCUCGAAUACUCUGUUAAGAUGACAAAGCGAACCCUUUUCAACUAGCACCUCCCAAAUUUUCUGCAGAGGUGUUCUUAUUUCAGAAACCCGUCUUCUACUUUGUCGUUUGUCCUCCUCUCCUACUGCGCUCACAUUCCUUUGGGCGUGGUUUGGGAAUGGGUUCCUGGAUGUACUGCCAGUGCCAUCAAAUCGCAGAAUACCCGCAUCGAUAAGUCCUUGAACUCUCCUUUUGAAGGCCAGGCAGUUUUUUGUAGAGUGCCCCUGGUUCCCGACAUGGUAUACACAACUAGCAUUUGGAUCGUACCAUUUCGGGUAUGGAGGUUUAAGGGGUGCCAUGUAAUGGGAGAUAUUAAUUGCUUCUCCAGAAGUUUUAGGUACAGUUCCCCGUACGACACAGGAAUAGGGGUGAAUUGCUGUCUCUCGGGAUUGGGCCUUGCUGGUCUUGGUUCAUUUUUAGGUUGGCUUUGAGCGGGUAUAGUGUUUUGUAGGAAUGAGGUGAUGGGUCUUUGGUUGUUCGUGGCGUAAACGAGAUAGGAAGGAGGUGGUGCUUGGUAGUAAGGGUUUUGAGGGGGAUAAUAGAAAUUUGGAGGUGGAUAAUUUCGUGGUCGGGGUUGGUUCGGAUAUGGAUUAGAGGCAUAACGGCUUCCCAUUCCCACCAUGUGGGCUUCUGGUUCUUUCUUCUUCAUAGAUGUUGCCCUUUUUGAACCUUCUGAGCCUUUCAUUCUACCGCUCUUGACGGCAUUCUCUAUGAGCUCACCAGAUAUUACAAUAUCCGCAAACUCUUUCGUGGCACUUCCCACUAAUUUGUCAUAAAAUAGCGCAUUUAAGAUGUUGAUAAAGAGAACGGUUAUCUCCGUUUUUGUUAGUGGGGGUUCCACUUGGGCCGAGACGUCUUUCCAUCUCUGCGCAUACUUUCUGAAGGUUUCUGAUGGCUUUUUCUCCAUCAUUUCCAAGGUCAUCCGGUCUGGAACCAUAUCCGACACAUGCUUGUACUGCUCGCAAAAUACUGACGCCAAGUCCUUCCAGGAUCGCAUCUUUUCUCUACUGAGUUGGUUGUACCACCGAAGAGCUGACCCUGUUAGACUAUCUUGAAAGCAAUGUAUAAGUAGCUUAUCCUCGUUCACAUAACCGGUCAUUUUUCGACAGAACAUGAUGAGAUGUGCUUUUGGGCACCUUGUCCCAUCAUACUUUUCAAAAUCAGGCGCCUUGAAUUUCGGAGGCAAGAUUAGAUCAGGUACCAAACUGAGUUCUUUGGCACCUAGUGCGGAGAAGACUUCAGUGCCUUCUAUUGCUUUGAGUCUUUCCUCUAGACUUCUAUAUUUUGCAUCAUGAUUAUCCAAUUUCAACUUGGCUACCUCUGCUGGGUCGUCCAGAUCUGGAACUAGUGGAUCAGCAGGGCUUGCCCUUGGGUUCGACACGAAUAUUCCUUGCCCCAGAUUAGUGGGUGGAGCAGGUGGCAUAGGUCGUUGUUCCAAGACUGUGAGUUCCCCUUGAGUAUACCCUCUUUGUGUUGUAUAUGCGGGUGGUGGAGUGAAUCCCGGGGGAUAGAGUGGAUCCUGAUCGUGGUGAAUUCUUGACUGAGGUUCCAUAACAUAGGGGUUCUGCACGGGUCCUUUUCCUUUGACCAAAUUUGUCAUCAUCUCCAUCAUUUUGGCCAUCUGAUCUCUUUGCUCCAGUGAUUCCUCUCGAGAUCUCACCAUUAGGUCUCUCGUUUCUUGUUGCGAUUUGGCCAGUUGCUCUUGUAAUUCCUUUUGAGCCCUUUCCAUCCUUUCAAUUCUCUCAUUGAAUUCAGCCUCCAUUACUCUAGCUUGUCGACGCGUUUUAUACGGAUGACGUGGUUCCAGUCUUGUGGUAUUACAACUGUGAAUUAUAUAUUUUAUCUUCAACGACCGAGUAUGGGAUAUGCAAUGUAUGAAUGAAUGCAUGAAUGAAUGCAUGAAUGUCAAAUGAAUGUCAGUCAUGAAUGAAUAUGCAAAAAUUUGGUGUUAAUUUCAAGAUAGCCCCUAUUUAGGCAUUUCCUUAAUCAAAGGAGUAUUACACAACGUUUCGGUCACUCGUAUAAUUGACUCCUCCAUUAGAAACCCGUUUUUGGCAACCAAUCUCUAAUCAACACCUUCCUAACAAGAUGCCUUCGAUGCAUGAUGAAAAAUAAAAAUACAGACAAACGACAUUGGUUAGCGCAACACAUAUAAACAGAGAAAAAUUGUGGAAAAUCUAACAAAUUAAGCUACUGGGUCCAGUGGACUCGAUUCCCUUGCUUAGAAAGCACAAAUGUAAAAGAAAUAGAAGGUAAGAUGUGCUUUUCCCGUGUACUUAUUUCGGUGACUACUAAACGAGCGGAGGUUCGGCAUGGCUCUAGUUGGGUGGCUCGUAUGGUUCACUAUAUGCGAUUUUGGUUCUAGACAGGUACUCGAAUUGCUCAUACUAUCAUCUGCUAAGAUUAGCACGAAGCCUCGGUCAUAACCCAUCACAGGCUCAGGAGUUCAAUUCGAGGGAUUACAUUUACUUAUGCCAUGCGGAGGGACAAGUUAACUCACGAAAGCAUAAGUCAUAUGUAACCCGAAAGUAUUCACUAGCCUGUGCGGAGGGACGAGUUAACUCACGAAGGCAUAGCGUUUACUUUCACUUAAACGGACAGAGCCCGGGUAGAGAGCUUAUGCUAUGCAAAAUGCAAGUGCACGGUGUGUGGGAGAAACUUGCAAUCCUUCCAUUUAUUUUAAAACUACAAAACUAAAACGAAAGAUAAAAACAAAUUAGGAGAUACGUAUGUAUGAUUUUUUCGAAAACAAAACUUAAAGAUCAUGAUUAAAUAUUAAUUUGAACACGGAAAUUUGAAAAUUUUGACAACACGCGUUUAAUUCAACUCGACUCUCAAAAAUGGAGGUCCCCAGUGGAGUCGCCAGCUGUAGCGACGUAAAAAAAUUUUUAGUUUCGCUUGGUCGCUAAUUGUGGCGAUUUAUUAAACAUUUGAAAACUAACUUUCGAUUUUAUUAACAAAGGGAGUCGCCACAGAUCCUUUUUUAUAGGUGUGAUCGGACACCUAAUAAAAUUAUUUUAAAACAAAAAGAAGGCCAAAUUUAGGUCUACAUGAAAGUCCAGAGAAAAAUUGGGGUUCGGGAGUCAGUUACGCGUGAGGAAGGUAUUAACACCCUCGCGACGCCCAAAAUUGGUAUCUCAUAAACAUGUGUUGACUUGAUUUUCAAAAAUACGAGUUCAAUAUAAUAUUUAAUCGUGAUCCGAUUGAAAAAUGAGAAUUUUUAGUUUUCGAUUUUUUUUUUAAAAAGGGUGUCCCGUUUUUUAACACAAGCCGACGAAUUUCACCCAACAUAGCAAUGAAAUCGAUGGCUUAAUAUUAAAUCGGUACAUUGCCUUAUUUUUGAAAUUAAUUAAAACAUGAGAAAAAAUAUUCCGAAAGUGAGAAAUUAAAAAUAGAUAAAGGACGCAAAAAAAUGAUAUCAUUAAUGAAAAAUAUUAACAUGGAAUACUAGAAUAUUAGAAUAACAAUAAUAAUGAUAUUUACAAAAUAAAAACAAAUCAUGUACUAAUAAUAAAAUAGGAAAAAUGAUAUAUUUGGUAAUAAUAAUAUAAAAUAAUAAUAUGUACAUAAAAAUACAUAUAUAUAUAUGAAUAUAAUAAAAGUAUGUAAUAAUAAUAAUAUCUACAAUAAAAGAAAAUAUUAGGAAACGUACAUAAAAAAUAUAUACAUAAAAGUAUAUAAUAAAAGUAUGUAAUAAUAAUAAUGAUUUUUGAAUAGCUUUUUAUAGCCAUCUUUUACAUGAUUUUCUAUUAUUUCUUUUUCUAUUUUGUAGGUGGCGGUGGUAGACAAUGGAUAUCAAAAAUGGGAGGAAAAAUGGGGCAAGUGGGAAAGUGGCUAGGUGGCUAGGGUUUCUUUGUUUUUUUUGGGUUAUGUUUUUCUUUUUUCUUCUUUUUUUUUCUUUUUAGUUAGGUUUUUUUUGGGGGGGGCUUAAUGGGCUUUUGAAUUGGGUUUAAUAUUUGGGUUUUGUAAUGGGUUUGGGUAGAUGUAAAUGGGUCAUGAGUUAAGGGUUUUAGUGGGUUUAGAGGUUUGGUUGGGUUUUGAUGAAAUCGGGCCCGGGCAAUUUGGGCUUCUACACUAGUGACAUGUCACUUGUAUCCUAAUCUAUUCCUAAGGUUCAAACGGGAUUUUCCUCGAACACAUAUCCUUGCCAUCUUCCGUAAAAUACCGAAACCAAUACUCGGUAGCACUUUAUAUUUAACAGAUAAUACACAUAACUUGCAUUUUAUUCGAAAAUAACCACAAAGCAUAUAUUUCAUGAUAAAAAUCAGCAUAUCAUAUAUUUAACAUCAAUAACUUAAAAAUAACAAUUAUGCUACAUUAUUUACACAUGAACUUACCUCGAUACCACAAAGGUGAAAAAAAAACGUAAUUAUCCCUUAAUCGAUUUCUUUCCGUUCUAGGUCCAAAUCUCGAUUUUCAUCAUCUAAAACAUCACAUUCAACUUAUUAAAAUAAUGUACUGAUCAAAUUAGUCCAUUGACACACUUGGGCAAUUUUUACAAUUUUGCCCCUAUAUUUUGCCAAAACUACCAAAUUACCCCUAGGCUCGUAAAAUAAUUUUUAUCACAUUUCUUUACUUCUUGAGUCUAGAUGAACCAUUUUCAUAACUAUAGCAACUCAUAAUUUCAACUAUUUCACACAUUUACAACUCAUUUUACAACUUAGCAAUCUAGCCCUUUUUAAGGUGUUUUCAUGCAAUUUCUUUCACAAAAGUUGUUUAUUAGACAACUAGGACUCAUAAUCUUCCAUAAAAAUACAGUAAACAACACAUUUACUCUCAUGGAAAAACCCUAGACUCUUCAUCAUUUUGCAAAAUAGACCACUCAUGAAAGCUCAUGCUUUAGGGGUUCCAAAAAUGUAAAAAUCAUCAAGCAAUGACAUUAAAAUCACUUACAAGCAAGGGAAAUAUGUUGCUGAAAUUUUUCAGCUUCAAAGCCCUUUCUUUGCUACAUAUUUCGGUGAAGGAUAAGAGAAAAAUGAUAGCUUUUUCUUUUUGAUUUGUUAAUAAUAAAACUAGUCAAAAUUGGUGACCAAAUUUCACCUAAUUUUGACUUUUCAACAAUUUUGUCUCCCAUGGCCGGCCAUCACACUUUAAAUGGAGUAAUUUCACUUUAAAUACCCCCAAUUUAAGAUACAAGACAAUUUAACACCUUUAGGUAUUAAAACACAACUUUUACCCUUUACGCGAUUUAGUCCUUUUUUGAAAUUGGACUAGAAAUUGCUAAAAUUAACUUACCAAAAUUUACAUGCACUUAUAAAAUUAUAUUAUAACACAUAAAAUAAUACUAAAAAUAUUUUCUCUAGCCUCAAAAUAGUGGUCCCAAAACCACUGUUUCGACUAGGCCCAAAAUCAGGCUGUUACAGGUAGGAUUUUUUUUCGUCUCAUUCCACCAUCCUCAACAAAUCAAGAGACAGGUUACAGCCUUGGUCAUCCUCAAAAUCGUGAGAAUCCUCCAUACACACUUCUCGCUCAAAAGGAAAUUCUGAGUCAUUAGCAGUGUCACUCGUAUCAUUGAUAUCUGGGGACCUGUUAUGGGGAUGAAGGCAGAUACAAGGAAUCAAAAGAAUUCAAAAAUAUUUAUCUGUAUGGUAUGAUUAUGAAUGACGAAUGAAAUAAUAUUUAGAAGAAUGUUUAAAGAAUAAAGGAAUCCGAAAAUAAUCGUUUGUAUGUUUGUGAGUGAAAUUUAAAGAAUGAGAGAACAUCUGCUCAAAAUGAUAAUAACCGUGCAUUUUAUUGAAAUAAUGUUUUUAAACAUCAGCCUAUUUCACAAAAGAUUCUUAUUACUCCUAGGCCUAGAGCAAUAAGUGUGUUUUGGACAUUACUUUGAAUCCGUUCUAAAAACUACAGGAAUCUCUUCCGCAGUCCAGUUGUCCAGAACACUUCCAGGUGUGUAGGGGCAAAUGCCCGACAAAUUUUCUCUUCCCGUCUCCUCUUCGUAUGUGGCGUUGAUGUCUAAAUUUUCCAGCCUUUCUUUUAUGGCUCCCUUCAUUGGCGUGCCUCUCUCGGGAUGAAUAAUUCCCCCGGACACAAACGUUUUCGAUAUAUGGGGGAAUAUCAUUGGCUCCUAUUUGAUUUCCCCCCUUCCCUCCCGUUAACCGUGCUCUCCUUCUUUCUUGCUUCUUUUCCAGCUCCUUUCUCCUUUGUCUCGUAUCCGGCCUAAAUCCUAAGUCGAAGCUAUCUCUCUUGUCCUUCAGCAUUGGUGUUUCAAUCCUUCCUUGUAGAUGUCUCCCAAGUCCUCUUCCGGGUAGGGCCCCCUUUCCAAUCGUCAACUGUAGGCUCAUCCUCGUGGUUUUGGACAAUUUUGGCACCAGAAUCUUGCUUCCUUCGGCGAUAAAGGUCGCAUUAACAAAUUCCAAAGAUCGAAAUGAACAUUCGAUUGCUUCAUCAUCCGUCUCCAAAUAAGGCGCAUUAUUGCUCACAGUUGCAAUGAUAUCAUCUUCAGCAUUGAUCGUUAUCAACCUCCCCUCUGAUACCAGCUUUAACUUUUGAUGCAAUGAGGAAGGCACUGCCCCAGCUGAAUGUAUCCAGGGCCUCCCCAAUAAGCAAUUAUAUGAGGGCUUGAUAUCCAUUACUAGGAAAUCCACCUCAUAUGUGUGUGGCCCGAUUUGCAGAGGUACCUCGAUUCUUCCCAUCACCCUUCUCUCUGUACCGUCAAAUGCUUUCACUAUAUUCUGGCACUCCUUCAUGUGAGAGCUGUCUACAGGUAAUCUGUUAAGUGUAGUCAAGGGCAAGACAUUCAAGGCCGAACCAUUGUCAAUCAGUACGCCUGGCAGCGUAUACCCUUUACAGCGCGUGGUGAUAUGCAAAGCUUUAGUCGACCCCAUGCCCCCGGGUGGUAUCUCAUUGUCAUUGAAAAAGAUAUAGUUGUCAGCACUUAUGUUGCUAACCAAACGGUCUAGCUUGUUAACGGAGAUAUCGUUGGCAACAUAUGUCUCAUUCAAGACCUUCAUCAAUGCGCUGCUAUGAACUUUCGAGCUUAGAAGUAAGCCCAGCACCAAGAUGCGAGCCGGUUGUUUACGUAGCUGUUCCACCACACUGUAUUCGCUAUGUUUUAGGAAUUUUAAAAACUCGUUGGCCUCUUCCUCGUUAACUGGCUCGUUAACAGAUUUGGUCAUUUUAUCAUUCAUUUCCUCGACCACUGGGGUUUUUCCUUUUAUGGGUUGUGCCUCCUCAUUUGCUAUAUCGUAACGUCUUCCGUUAUGUGUAUAGGAGCCCCUGUCUUGACCCUCUUUUGAAGCAUCCACCAGGCUUUCCUUUCCCGAAAUUGUCACGUUAUAAUCAUAAUUCCAUGUGACCUUUUUGCUGUCUUUGUAGGGGAAGACUGCAGGUCUUUGGAUUAUGACCUUCAGUGGCAUUUGUACUCCAGCUUCAUUAUUUUUAGGUCUCGAUGUGAUAACCACGGGAUAGUUAGCUGUUUGAUUCUGUGCCGUCGAUUUUCCCUCCGACGCACAUAUAUCUCCCUCUAUGGGGUUCUUAGCUUCUUGAUAAAACUCUAUUUCUUUAUUAUCUAUCAUGUUUUGCACGAGGGCCUUAAAUUCCAUACAAUCUUGGAUUUCAUGCCUCACCUCGUCAUGAAACUCGCAGUAGUUUCUCCCUUCUUCUGAUACUUCCCUUGAAUCCGACACGAUCAACCCUCUCUUAACCAUCUCCUUCCACACCCGUCUCAACGGGGUCCUGACUUCCGCAACCUCACACUUAAUCUUCUUGUUUUUGCCUUCGCUUAUCCCAUUCACCCCUUGGUCGGUAUGAUUAGGGAGAAGAUUUCCUGCUACAUUGGGUACGGUCAAACCUCACGAUCUCCAUCUUAAUGAGUCUUUCGACUACUUUCUUGAACGCAGUGCAAUUUUCGAUUGAGUGCCCGGUAAUUUUCGCAUGGUAUUCACAUUGGGCGUUUGUGUCAUACCAUUUGGGAUACGGGGGCUGCAAUAGCUUCAGGUAAAACGGAGACACCACAUGAGCGUUGAACAGGUUUCGGUAAAGCUCCCUAUACGUCAUGGGUAUAGGAGUAAAUUGUGGCAUUUCUGUGUUCUCCCUCGCGUUGGAUUCUUGUCUUACGGAGCUACGUUAAUUGGUGGCUACCGUCUUUGGCUGAUUUACGGUAAGUGACUUGGACUGACCCUUGUUGAAUGUGCUCGUAUUGUUCACUUCUUAUCUCUUUUCUUCGGGGCCGACUUCCUGGUACUCUCUCCUAAUUCUAUCUUACCGCUUCUAAUAGUAUUUUCGAUCAUUUCCCCUAUCAUCACUAUGUCAGUGAAGCUCUUGGUGGCGCUUCCCAACAUAUGAGUGAUAAAAGGGGCCUUCAAUGUGUUAAUAAAGAGCAUCGUCGUUUCCUUUUCUAGAAGUGGUGGCUGAACUUGUAUGGCCACCUCUCUCCAUCUUUGUGCAUACUGUCUGAAGCUUUCAUUUGAUUUCUUCUCCAUAUUCUGGAGAGUGAUUCUGUCGGGGGUCAUGUCCGUCACAUGAUUGUAUUGCUUCAUAAAUGCCUGAGCCAGGUCCUUCCACAAGUUAAUUUUAGAGCGGCUUAAUUGGUUGUACCACUUAGACGCCACCCCGACCAGGCUAUCUUGAAAGCAGUGGAUUAAUAGUUGGUCAUUGUUAACGUACCCCGUCAUUCGCCUACAGAACAUAGUGAUGUGAGCUUCAGGGCAGCUUGUUCCAUUGUAUUUCUCGAAUUUGGGCAUUUUGAAUUUAGGGGGAAGGACUAAAUCUGGGACUAGACUCAGGUCCUUGGCAUCAAUCCCUUGAUGAUGAUCCGCGCUUUCCAUGGCUUUGAAUUUCUCCUCGAGCCAUCUGCACCGUUCUUCCAAUUGUUUUUUGUGAAUCUAUCCUUGCCUUUUCUUCGUCAGCAACUUCAUCCAAAUCGGGAACGGGCGGAUAGUUCAGGUUGUUGACAAAGUUAAAGCCUGAACCGAUUUGAAAGUUCAUCGGUAUUGAAGCUCUGGCUUGAACCUGCUAGGGCAUGAUUGUGACAGAUGGUUUGGUGGAUUAAUCUCUGGCUUCAGCGGUACUUGUGUCAGAGUGAAGCCAAUGGGGUAUUGAGGAUCUUCAUUAGUUUCUUCAACUUUAUCCAUGGGGCCCUUUCCCUUAUCCGUUCCUCCCAAUAGCAAUUGGGAUAACUGACUCAUCAUUUCCCUUUGGGAUUCCAUCAUUUGUUCCUUCAUCUCUCGCUGAAUCUUGGCUAGCUGCUCUUGCAUCUGAAACUGCAUCUGAAACUACAGUUUUACAGUGAAGCCUCUAAUUUUUCUAUUAUUCUUUUCAUUUCUUCUAUCUUGCUCAAGCUUGCCCUUAAUUCUAUUGCGGUGUUGCGGUUUCGGUACUGAUGCAGAGAUUUCUCGAGUUCUGCCACUCUAGCUCUUAAUUCACCUCGCUCAUUUCUACUUUCCGACAGACUUUUCUCUAAAUCCUUGUUUCGUGCUUGAGCUUCUCAGAAUUUCUUUUCCCACUGGUCGGCAUUGGUUUUUUUUCUCUGAUUUCAUAGCGCCAUUGUUCGGAAGUCUUGCCUAACCCCGCAGUCCUCAUAAAUAGGCGCAGCAUCUUAUAGUCCGUCUUCAAGCUGUCUAGAUCUGCUUCAGCCUUGGUUUUCCCUUUUCUCCACUUUUCAGCCUCUGACCUCUGGACAUCAGCGUCUAAUCUUAAGUGCAUCUUUUGCUCCUCCAAUUGUUCGAUCUUCUUCCCAAGCUCCAAACUCUUCUUCUUGAAAUCUUGCCUUAUAAUCUCCAAUUCUGACGGGGCGACUUGUAAUUGUUCCCCCAUAGGUCAAGCAUUCUCCAAGCUUGGCCUAGAAACGUUAUCAUUAACCCUAUUCUUAAACUAUCCGUCAUACUCGGGUGUUACCAUGGAACCGACGGCCAACCUUUUCAUCCAACAAGUUUACUUCUAAACAUCCGAUAGCUCCCGAACUUUCUUCUUAUAGUGAGCACCUUUAAAAGAGAAUUCACUCUGAGCAAGUCCAUAAGUCGUGGGUACAAACUACCUCGAUUUAUAUUGUCCCAAGGCUAGCAAUAGAGUAUACCUGGUAGCUCCCCAAAUUCCUAACAACGGCACCCAAUCAAAGUUACCGCAUCGGUACAUGAUCUCAUCAGGAACCAUCCAAUAAGCUCUCCACUUGAUAUCCCCCUCCUUGAGGUUUUGAGGAAUUUUCAUCCACUUCUCCUCCGAGAUAUCCUCUGUCCUUUGUAUAGCUGCCUCCUCUUUCAGUGGGGAGUAACCUUCAGAAAAGAUCUGAUAAGAAACCUUGUCUACCUUUCAAAAGUGCCCAUGAAACCAUACUAUCAGUAAUUGUGCACAUCCAAUAAACCGCCAUUCGCCUGUCUUCCGACAUGAGCUCAAAGAUCUGAACGUUUCUGCCAAUAUCACUGGUACUGGUGUAAUUCCCUUCUCAAGGCAUUCAAAUAAGUCAACGACUGCCUCUUCUACGUGCCUCAACAUCUUAGGGAAAAUUACCAAUCCGUAGAUACUUAAUGCGAAGAUAUCGACCCUCUUUCUUUCAUCCGGAUGCGUCAAAAUCAAGUCUCGCAAAUUCUUCCAAGGGAUACAUUUACUAUCUCCUUUUUGCUGAAUCCGAGCAGUGACCCAAGGCUCGCUCAUCCCAGAAAUGCUCAUCAAUUUCUUCACAAAAGUCUGACUACUAAAAACCCGGGCAUAAGUCUUCCGGACCUGAAUUUUUAAACACCUGAGCAGUGUAGUGUAUUCCUCUAUGGUAGGUACUAAAUCCACUUCUCCAAAAGUGAAACACUUGUAAGCAGAAUUCCAAAACUGAACUAUAACCCGGAAUAGAUGCUUGUCCACUCUAAUGUCUAGCAAGUAGGAUAUAUCACCAUAGCUUAGGUAAAAGAACUGCUUGAUCCCUUUAUCCCAACUAGCCCAAAUGUCUCUAAACUCUUGCAGCUCAUUCUGUGCUACAUUGACGCGAGUGAAAUCCUGCAACUCGGAGAUAUAUCCUUCUGCCAAGCUAUCCCCUCUCUCUGAUUGUAGCUUCUCUGACCAUGCACAAACGACCGCAUUAUCCUCGACUUUACUAAGAAAUUCAUUCUCCAUGUCAAACUUUCUAAUUUAAUAAUUGAAUAUAGAUCAACACCUCCUUUAGUAUACAAUGUCAUGCAAAAUACAAUCAAAACAAAACACAGGUUAGUAUCAGAUAAUAGCGGUAAAAUGCAAGCACAUAAAUUACAACGUAUAUAUGGGUAAGUACUAAGGCUCGACGCGGCUCCACCCAAGGAUAGCUCCUAAGGUUCAUUAUAUGUGGUUCGGUUCUAGAGAUAAGGUACCUGAACCAGCGGAUUCCUCAAUCCUCACCCAUUAUAGGCUCAUAUAGAUUGAGUUUGGUUCAGGGGGAUACAUUUCCCUAUGACCAUACGGAGAUGAAAAUCUCACGAAAUCAUAGGUACAGAUGUAUCCCGGAAGCAAUCCAUUAGCCUAUGCGGAGGUGAAAACCUCACGAAAGCGUAGUUUCUUACUCCCACUUAGAAGGUGUGACCACAGCGGUCAUGCAAUGGAAUGUAGUACUAUUCUAUGAGAUCCGAACCAUAACAACCAUACAAACGAAUGCAAUCAUGAUUUUUAAAACAAGUUUUCGAUUUUUGACAGAAGGAUAGCAAAUAAUCGAUUUUAUGGCUAGACUUUCUUAAAGAGUCCCCAGUGGAGUCGCCAAGCUGUCGAAACCACCUUUUUAUUUAAAAUUUUUAUGUUUAAUGAAAAACGAGAAUCGACCUUUUGAAAAUAAAACAUGGAGUCGCCACCGAUCUUUUGUUUUGGUGUGAUCGGAUCACAUAAGAAUUUGGUUAUUUUAAUAAAACAUUUUUGGUUUACUAAAAUGACGAUUUUGGUCUACAAACUUUUGAGAAAAUGGGUUAGGGAGUCGGUUACGCAUGAGUAAGGAUUAGUACCCUCACUACGCCCAAAAUUGGUACCAAAUCGAUUAAAUAUUGUCCUUAUGUCUAAAAUUUAAAGAUGUUUUUUUGAAAUGUGGUUCUUUUUUUUAAGACUUGAGUAACCCGAGUUGGUUGCAAAAAAUCUUCUUGUUUCGACUUCCGAAAGCUUAUAAUCCAAAAAUUACAAAAUGGUGCCCAACUAUUUGGUCCAACGAAAAACCGAAACCCAGCACAGCAGGGCUCGAUUCCUCAAAUUUCCAAACACUGAACAUUGCCUCACCUUAGAAAACACGAGUGCAAUUCCGAAGAGAUAUUCGAUUAUUUUGAACAAACGGGAGAUUGCAACCCAGCACGAUAGGGCACUAUUCCCCGAAUUUCCAAACACCGGACAUUUCUUUCAUUUUAAAGGGUUUUUAGAAAACGUGAGUGAAAUUCUGAAGGAAUCUCCGAUUGUUUUGAACAAACGAAAAUGCGUAACCCAGCACGAUAGGGCACGAUUCUCGAAUCACCAAACAUCUAAGAUCACCUUCAUUUUGGGAGGUUUUUUAAUAAACAUGAGUGAAAACCUAAAGGAAUAUCCGAUUAUUUUGAACAAACGAGAAAUCACAACCCAGCACGAUAGGGUAUGACUCCCGAAUUAUCAAACACCGAGUAUUGCCUUCGUUUUAAAGGAUUUUUAGAAGACAUGAGUGAAAUUUUGGAGGGAUAUUCGAUUAUUUUGAGCAAACGCAAAAUUGCAACCCAGCACGUUAGGGCACGAUUCCGCGAAUUGCCAAAAUAUCAAAUCUCAUCUUCGUUUUAAAGAAUUUUUAAAUGAAUAAUUAUAAAACUAGAUUAAAAUGUAUUAAUGCGUUUUUGAAAUGAGAUGAAUUUAACCAUAAAAAUUUGGGUUUAAAAAAACCACAUUUCAUGAACUAAGUGGAAAACGAUGAUAUGGGGGAAUAUGUGUACGCACCAAAACACGACAACAGAAUAGUGGAGGCAAUACAAUUUACUUAACCAACUAACGAGAACUUAAAUGACUAAGCAUAACUAGUUUGGAAAUAUAACUCAAUUUCAACCAUGCAUGGAGAAUAAUUAACAUGACAAUAUGAAACAAAUGAAUAAAUAAUAUGCAACGAAAACAUACAUGGCAUAAUAAAAAUGAUUACUAUUAGAUGCACAAAACAAAAUGCAGAUCAAAUGAGCAAUAUGGUGUAAAACUAUUUUAAAACAAUGAUAAGUAUAUGACACAUACUAUAUGAAUUGAUGAAUUGAUAAGUAAAAAAAAACUUUUGUUAAUGGCAAGCUUAAUAAACACACGCAAUCAUUAGAAUAUAUAUAUAAUAUAAAAGAAUAAUAAUGAAGAUAUAUGACAAGAUAUAAUACACAAAAUAGAUUUAUAAAACAUAUGUACAUGUAAGUUUAUAAAAAAAAACAUGAGAUUAAUGUAGCGACAUAAAAAAUUUUGCUUUCGGUCGCUAGUUGAGUCGAUUUAUUGAAAAUUUGAAAAACGACUUUCGACUUUAUUAAAAAAAGUGAGUCGCCAUCGAUCCUUUUUCCUAGGUGUGAUCGGACACCUAAUAAAUCCUCUUCAUUUAAAAGGAAAUUCAUUUUUUAAACAAAAAAGAAGGCCGAAUUUAGGUCUACGUCGAAAAUCCAGAGAAAAAUAGGGUUCAAGAGUCGGUUACGCACAAGGAAGGUAUUAGCACCCUCGCGACGCCCAAAAUUGGUAUCUUUAUUAAACACGUGUUGUCUUGAUUUUCAAAAAUACGAAUUCAAUUUGACAUUUAACCGUGAUCUGAUUGAAAAAUGAGAAUUUGAAAUUUUGGUUUUUUAGAAGGACAUCCCAUUUUUAACACGAGCCAAUGAUAUCCACCUAACAUAGCGAUGGAAUCAGCGACUUAAUGUUGAAAUCGGUACGUUGCCUUAUUUAUUUUUGAAAUUAAUUAAAACAUAUAAAAAAAAUACCAUAUGCGAUAGGAAAUUGUAAACAAUGUAAGCGAUGAUACAAUUAAUGAAAAAUAUUAAAAUAUAAUAUUAGCAUAAAAAUAACAAUAAUAUUCACAAUAAGAAAAUAAUGUUCUAAUAAAAUCAUAAAAGAAAUAGAUUUGUGGUAAUGAUAAAAAUAUUAAUAUGGACACGAAAAAUACACACAUAUAUGUAUGUUAAUGAUGAUGGUAAUGAUAAUAAAAAUGACAAAUAUUAUGUAAUAUAUGUAACCAAACUUAUAAUUUAAGUAAAAAUGAUAAAAUAAUAAUGGAAUAAAUAUAGAUAGAUAUUAUAUGAAAUAAAAUAAUGAUACAGGAUAAUAGGAAAUUUCGAGAUUACUUAAAAGUGUGAGCGAAUAAAUAAUGAAAUAAAAUUAAAAUUAAUGUACUAUAUAAAACGCAAAUAUAUAUUAAAAAAAAGCUAUAAUAAUAAUAAUAGUAAUUAUUAAUAAAGUAAUAAUAAUAAAAAUAACAAUAGUAAUAUUAGUGAUAAAAAUAAUAGCUAUAAAAAUAAACAUAAUAAUGAUGACAAUAUAGAACAAUAAUAAUAAUAAUGAAAAUAAAAUAAUAUUAAUAAUAUUUUGUAUUACGAUGGUAAAGUAAUAACAAAGGUGAUAAUGAUAAUAAUAAUUAAUAAGUUAAAUUAAUUAGUAAUAAAGUAAUAAUUAAAUAAACAUGAAAAGGAAAGUGUAUAAAAUAAUAAUAAUAUUAAAAUAAGGUAAUUAAAAAUACUACUAUAUAAAUACAUAUAUAUACAUAUAUAACGAAAACAUUCACUAUAUUAACAAUGAUAAUAAUAAUAAUAGUAAUAAUAUUAAAAUACAAAAAAAUAAUAUAAUAUAAUAAGAAUAAUAAAAAAUACUAUAUAUAAAUAUAUAUACAUAAACAAAAAUAUACACUACUAUAUAAUAAUAAUAAUAAUAAUGAUAAUAAUAUUGAAAUACAAAAAAAAACAAAUAUAAUAAAAAUAUUAAAAUAAAGUAAUAAAAAUAAACCUAUAUGUAAAUAUAUAUACAUAUACAUAUAUACUAAAACAUAUACAAAUAUUGAUAAUAAUAAUGAUAAUAAUAAUAUUGAAACAUAAAAAGCAAAUAUAAUAUUAAUAAAAUAUUAAAAUAAAGUAAAUAAAAAUAAUAUUGAAUAUAAAUAUAUAUAUACGUAUAUAAUAAGAGUAUACACUAAUAUAUAAUAAUAAUAAUAAUAAUGAAAAGUAAUAAUAAUAUAUUAAAUAUGUUAAUUUAAUAUGUAAUGGAAAAUAACAAAAAAAAAGUAAAUUAAACCUACAAUGAAAGUUCAGGGCCAAUUUGUAAAUAAAUAAAGAAUAAAAACGAUCAAAUCGAACGCGCUAGCAAUAAAGAGGGACCAAACCUGAAAAUAAUCCUCCCUCUAAAACGCACAGCAUCGGGUAGGACUCCAUUGAAGUCCAGGCACAAAUUCGGGGCAAGAUUGAAAAAACGAAAAAUACUUGAUUGCAAAACAAUAAAAAUGUGGAAGGGCUAAAAACGCAAUUAGCCCUUCCUUAAAAAAAAGUGCGGAUCCUCAGUGGGCGGGUCGGAUCGGGUCGAUUCAGCCCCAAAACGACGUCGUUUUGGGGCUAUUCAGGACACCCUGAAACGGUGCCGUUUAAAAGGGCUAUAAAAGCAAAAAAUUUUUGAGAAGAAUUCAUUUCUGCUAUCUUUCUUAAAAAAAAACUUGGCUGUUCUCUCAAUCCCUCCCUCUCUCCCUCUAAUCGGACUCAAAGUCCGGCAAGCAAGCCGCCGUAUGUCGCCGCCGGUCACCAUCUCCGGCCACCGUUAAAAGGUAUAUAUUUUUAUCCCUUUUUUUUCUAUUUUCUUUGUAUUUAAUAUAUGUAUACAUAUGAGUAAGCAAAUUCGUAAAUAGAAAAAGAAACAAAAAUAAAUAAAUAGAGAGAAAAUAAUAAUAAUAAGAUAAUAUCACCUUUUGCUUUAGAUUUAGACUCUUGGUAUUUCAACUUCCCGAUUUGGGGUUAUUUUCCUUUUUUUGUGUUACUAAGAUCUUUGCUUUUCUCGUAUUUAAAAUCUAAUCCUUUUUUACCACUGUCGAACGUUUUUUAUACUUGCAUAGAAAAUAAAUUUUGCCGAAUCCUCUUUCUGAUUUCGGCUUGGCCUUUUAAAGCCAUGUUACAUGCAUUUUUUAGUAUUAUCUGUCCCUUCUCCUUUUGAUCUUUGCAUGCGAGUGGGUGGUGCUGACAUGGGCGGUGGAGCAGGUGGGGCAGGUGGUUGGUAUGAGGCGAUGGGAUGUCGGCUGAACUUAGGGGGCUAGGGUUUUUUCUUUUUCUGAUUUUGUUUGGGCUAGGGUUAGGUUAGGCUAUUGGGUUUGGGUCUAGUUGGGUUAAAUUUGUUGGGUUUGGGUAUUGGGUCCUAAUGGGUUGUUGGGUUUGAUUUGGUUUGGGUUCAGUAUUGGGUUUAAUUUUGUUGGGUUUAUUUUUGUAAAAGGCCCGGGCUAAUUUGGGCUUCUACAAUUAAUAAUGAGAUAUAUAUAAAUUUUUAAAAUAGUUUCAUAUAUACAUAAUUAUUAAAACAUAUAUUAUGGAAUAAAUAUUUUUAAUCAAAUAGCAUACAAAAUAUUGAGGAAUAUUAGCUAAAAACUAACAAUUUUCAUAAAAAAUUUAAAAUAUGUACCAAAGAUGAAAAGAUUACAAAAAAAAAUGUAUAAUAAAACAUAAUCUUAGAAACAUAAUGAAUUUACACAUCGCGCAUAUAUAUAUAACAUUAAAAGUAAUUAUUCGUAAAAGCAUGUAAUACAUACAAAAUUAACUUGAUUUUAUUGUAAGUUAUAUGAUAGAUUUAAAAGCAUACCUAUAUAGAAAGAAAACCAUACGCGUAGAAUACGCGAGUUUAAUAAUGUAUAGAUUAAAUGUGGUAUCCACAAUGCAUAUACAUAUAAUGAUAAUAACUUAAAAGAUAUUACAUAGGAUUAUAUGAUGCAAUACGAGAAUAAAUUUAAAAAGGAAUCAUGUGCGUAAAAUAAUAUAAGGUUGAUUAAUAUAUACAUGCAAUAAAAUUAAUUUUGAUACAAAGUAUAUAUAUAUAUAUAUAUUAAUAUUUAAAAGAGAUUGUAUAAGAAAAUUAAAAGAGUUUAAUGCAAAAAGAAAUUCGAAGUGGUUAUUUCAUAAAACAAAACAAAAUCAUGCAUGUACAAAUGUAUAUGUAUACAACAAAUAUAAUAUAUUAAAAAACAAGAUAUUGACAUGAUAAAAAUCUGAAAAUAAAGUAAUAAUAAUAAAAGGAUCAAUAUUCAAUGCGUGAAAACGCAUAGGGACUAAAACUGGCAAUAUACCAGAUACCAAAAUGUUACGUUUAGGCGCGGAUUAGAUUGCAAACAAAUGUAAAUUACAAGGAAAAAAUUAAAAAAAGGAAAAAAAGGAGCAGAUGGGCCGAUUUAAACGCAGUGCAAAAGGGGGGGAUUUAACUUGCAAAUAACCCCUCACCGCGAUGACGAGCGGAUCUUGAGAGUCAAAGAACCGGAUCGGGUCGGGCAGAAAGGGGGUGGCCUAGACGAUGUCGUUUGAGACCAUUGUUAUUGGUCUAAACGGUGUCGUUUCUACUACCAUAGAAAGGCUAAACCAUGCCUUCAUUCAGCCGAAACCCUAGAGUAACCCUGGCCUUUCUUUUUUUCCUUAGCCGAACCCUAAGUCACCGCCCUAAACCAACGAUUCCCAUCCCCCCAGGCACGAACCGCUCACCCAAGCCCGGAGGAUGAUUUUUAGCCUCAAAAUCUCCUCUUGGCCUCGACUUUAACAAAGCAGAAGGAGAUCUACGGCAUACCCCCGGUAAGGUUUCGUUUCUUGUUUCUUUUUUCUUUUAUGCACUCAAAACUCGAAAGAACGACUGAAGAUUUAGAAAUAAAUGAACUGGGCCAAGGAUAAAAGAAAAGCCUCAGAGAUUGGAAUCGGAAUCACCUUCGAAUGCUCGUUGCUUUUUUUGUAUAUUGCCUUUGUUUUUCGUUUUCUAUUGCUUCUGUAUGCGUAAAAAAUGGGAACCGAAUGUUCAAAAAAGAAAUAAAAGAAUACAAUUUUUGUUCUUUUUUCGUAUUGGCCAUUGUUGCUGCUGUCAUUUUGUCUGUUUCUUUGCAGGUACGGAGUGUGCAUUGGUGCUCGAGUACGGGGCUGUGCGUUGGCAUCGUACGGAGACUGUGCUGGCGCGGGCGUGGCUGCUAGACGGUACGGAGCAUACGACGCUGGGCUGGGGCUCGUCUGUGGUUGCGGCGCGAAAGUGAGGAGGAAGCUCUAGGGUUUCUUUUCUCAAAACACUGGGCCUAAUGGGCUAGUAAUUGAUAUUGGGCUGUAGGGCAUUGAUUAAUGACUGUUUUGUUUAUUUGGGUUUUAUGUUUAAGUUUGGGCUAUUGGGUUUGGGUUUAAGUUUGGGCCAUUGGGUUUGGUUUUAGGAUAUCUGUAAAUGGACAUUUAUUUAAUUAUUGGGUUUUUUACUAUUUGGUUUGAGGUUAAUGGGCCGGGCAAAUUUGGCCACUACAUUAUUAAUAGAUUUUAAAUUUUUUAUUUAUGAAUUUAAUAAAAUGUUAUAAUUUUUACUGAAAUGAAAUAUAUUAAAAAUAUUGUAAUAAAGUUCAUAUUUUGAUUUAUUUGUGAAAAUUAAAAAACUCAUCAAGUUUAUAUAAAAAUGUAAUUUUUAUUUUAAACAAACGAUAGAAUCAUUUUGUUGCACCAAAGUGCCUAUGUGCUGGGUCGGAUACCACACAAAAUUUUCCUAAAGCUCUUGCCCAAGAGUUAUUUAGGAUGAUGGGCUUUGAUUGAACUGUUAGCCCAAAAGGUUAUAUUAAUAUAUAUAUUAUAAUUAAAUUUAAAUAUUUUUUUAUUUUAAAUGUACGUACCAUUAUACUGAAACUCACAAUAAUAAUAAAUGUAAAUUAAAUUAGUCAUUUAACUACUAACUUUUUAUAAAUAAUGAUUUCGAUUUACAUGUCAAUCUAAGUCAUGCAAAAUGUCUAACGUACCAGCUUAUAUAACCAAAGAAAAGAGUUUAAUUUGUAGGGUAAGGGACACCAUUAAUCAAUAAAUUAUUAAUACAUUUUUAUUUUGGUCAUUGAACUACUUAAAAGUUUUCAUUUAAGUCAAAUUAGAAUGUUAAAAUAAAUGUUACAUGGCUUUUUUAGUUCGCAUUGUCUGCACUAAUCGAAAGCUCUUUUUUCUCAUUCUCUUCUACAAUUCAGUUUUUUUUUAUGAAACAAUUUUGGAUGUCACAAAUUUACGAACCAAAUUUUAAACAACUUUUCUCUCUGAUAUCCUACAUUGAUAUUCACACUGACUUGGAUCUAAAGUAUGUUCUUUUACUCGUCAAUGGAUACUAGUCCACAGUACUAAUCGUCGAAUCGUUGCUUGAAACUCAUUGGUGGAACUUUUAAAAAAAAAACUUAAUAACCUCGUGAUUUAAAUAAAAACUUUUGAAUAGUUUAGUAGCUUAAAUGAAAACUUUAAAAUAAUUCAAUAAUCAAAUUAUAAUUUUUUAAUUAAAUGACCAAAACAAAAAUUUACCCAUAAUUUAAUGACUAAUGGUGCAAUCUACACUAAUUUGUAUCACUAAAUUAUUUUAAGGGAUCGUGAGGUGUGGUGUGACAAUACUUGUUACAGAUAGGCAAAGUUUUCAUCAAAAUUUGAAAGAAACCUAGUGCACUAGUUAUAUAAGCUUUAGGGUAAAUUACAUCAAUUGUCUCUAAUCUUUGAUUAAAAUUAUAUUAUAGUCACUUAAUUUUUAAAAGUUAUAUAAUUGUCACUAAAAUUAUCGAAAUGUUACAUUUUAGCCAUUCAUCCGUUAAGAAGAUGAUAUGGCACAUUAAUUUAAAGGGUUUGUCCCUGAACAAUAAUUAAAAUAUCAAUUUGAUACUUUUAAAAUUUUUCUUAAUAAUAAUUCUAAAAAAUUAAAGGGUAAAUUACACAGAUAGUCACUUAAGUUUUAAUGCAUUCCUAUUUUGGUUACCAGAUUCUUUUUUGUUAAUUUAGUCACUUCCAUUAGAUUAAUUGUCAUUUUUAGUUACUCCAUCGUUAAAAUACAUUGGUACUGAACGGAAUGUUGAUGUGGCAAUCUUUUGAUUGGUGUAAUAACAAAUUUAACCCUUAACACUUUACACAUUCUAUCUACUUGGUCCUAUGUUGAAAAAAAUCAACAAAUUUAACUCAAUGUUUACACAUUUUUAUCAAUUUAGUCCAAAUUCAAAAAAUCCAAAAAUUUUAUAAUUUUAAAAACUUAAAAAAUAUAUAUAAUUUAUUAUAAAAAGACAUAAAACUAAAAAAUAAUUAAAAAUAUAUAUAAAAUUACUUGGUUAGGUUUUGAUGGUAGAUGAAAUAAUUUAUACUUUUCUUUGGCUGAUGCAAACUUGGUUUAUACCAAUGGGGGAAUAGGCUCCGCAAGUGAUGCUCACUGAUCAAAACAAUGCCAUAAAAGUAGUUGUAGUUGCUGUGUUUCCUGCUACACGACAUUUUUUCUGUGUUAUGGCAUGUCUUGGGUGACUAUUUAAGUAAUUUACCUUUUUUAGAAUUAUUAUUAAGAAAAAGUUUAAAAGUAUCAAUUUGAUAUUAUAGUUAUAGUUUAGGGGCUAAAUUGGUUAUUAAACCUUCAAAUUAACAUGUUUUGUCAUUAUCUUAAUGAAAGUUAACGGAUGAGUGACUAAAAUGUAAUAUUUCAAUAACUUCAGUGACAAUUAACUUUUCAAAGUUGGAUAAUUAAAAUAUAAUUUUAAUCAAAUGUUAGUGAUAAUUGAUGCAGUUUACUCUAAAUUUAUAUAUAUAUAAGCACCAUAUUAAUAGAGUUUAAUAAAUAUUCUUUUCGUAUAAUCAAAACCGGAUUAGAUUAGAUUAAUCAAUGGUUGAAUAGGUUACAUAUAUUCGGAAAUAAUGAAAAUUGUUUUGAACUGAAAAUUUGAGAGUUGAUAUGGGAUAUUGAGAUGAGGAGAAAAAGGAAGUUAUAUUUGUAUAAGAAAAAGUUUGAAAGUAUUCAAUCAUUUUUGUGAAAUAAUAUUGAACAAAUUUAUUAAUAAAAUUUGAACAUUCAUAAUGUUUUCUCAAAAUUACAAACUUCAUCACCAGACUAGCGUCGAUUUCUUGUGAAAAAGGGAUUAAUUAAAAAGUCAACAUGCUUCCUUUUAAUGAAAUCUUAAAAGAAUGAAUUAAUCAAACAGUAAAUUGUUGACCAAUAUUUUCCGGGAAGUAGCUUUCAGAUGCUUAAAAAGUAACAGUGUAUUUUACAAUAUUAUCAGGCUACAUGGCCUCACUUUGUAUUGAAUAUAUAUUAUAAACGAAAGCAAAGAACAAAAAUACAAAAUAAAUAAAGAAAAUUACUUAGUGCUUUAACUUAUUACAAAGGGAUUUGUCUCCUUAGUAUGUUUCUACCAUGGGAGAUCCCCACUUUUAUCCCAAAUAUCAGGUUAUCAUUACGUUGCCUUGGAGACAUCCUUACUUGACCUAUUGUACUUCAUAUGGCUCCUAACUAGUUGUCCUGCUGAAAUUGCAGACAUAAGCGACAGCUCCCCCGCAAGAACAGCAGACGCUACAAUGGUUGCCAGCGUCCUAGAGUUUGCUCCUGGUGUCUCUUUGCUUGCACCCUUCACUCCAAGUAAGUUCAAACAGGCUGAUUGAGAUGCAAGCUGAGUUCCACCACCAACAGUCCCAACCUAAAAGAUACAGCAACACAGAUAAUUAGGGACUAACAUAAAUACCCAGAUUUUGUUUUGGCAACGGAAGUCCUUGUGUUGGACAAUCAGACAGCAACACUAUCAAUUACCUCGAUGGAAGGCAUUGUGACAGAGACGUGGAGGUCCUUGCCAUCAUUAACAGCUUCCAUCAUCGUGAUGCAAUGCGAGCUCUCGACGUUUUGAGCCGGAUCUUGGCCGGUAGCUAUGUAGAUUGCAGCAACGAUGUUACUGGCGUGAGCGUUAAAUCCACCCAGAGCUCCAGCCAUAGCUGAUCCAGUAAGGUUCUUCAGCAUGUUAAGCUCAACGAGAGAUUCCACACUUGUCUUCAAGACCUUCCUAACCACAUCACCCUUAAUGGUGGCUUCACAGACAACAGAUUUGCCUCGUCCUUCAAUCCAAUUUACCGCAGCCGGUUUUUUGUCGGAACAAUAGUUUCCUAUAUGCAAAAAUUCAUAAAUAUCAGUGAUCCUAUGUCGGAUAGUAAAAGACAUAAUUGCAAGCCUAUACAAAAAAAUGAAACUCACCAGAGAUGCCAAUGACAUCCAUGUCAGGGAAAUCAGUCUGAAGGAAAUCCAAAACAUUUUGCACUCCCUUGGAAACCAUGUUCAUCCCCAUAGCAUCACCUGUACUGCAAGUGAAUCUAAUAUACAGAUUCUUUCCAGCAAUUGCACAUUUGAUACCCUGGAGCCUGCCAAAUCUACUUGAUCUGCAACCACCAAAAAGCCAAAUUUUCAAUAUUAGCUUGAAUUUUAAAUCAAUCAAUAUGGAGUUCUAGAAAUAUAAAAACAAACCUGUUGAAAACAACAGACAAGGUCUCGAAAUUAUCAGGGUCCUCCAAAUACAACUUCAAAUCAGCUGCCCUUUUCGCAUUACCGAACCUUACACAUGGAGCUCUAGUCAUACCAUCUUUCAAUAGAACACUUGUAGCUCCACCAGACAAAUGAAUAGCCUUACAGCCCCUAUUAGUGCUAGCCACCAAGCACCCUUCCGUGGUAGCCAUAGGAACCGAGUACUCUCUUCCAUUAACCAACAAAGGCCCGGCAAUUCCAACGGGAAUUUGCACGUAGCCAACCGGCAUCUCACAACACUGCCCUAGAAUCGACUCGUAAUCAAACCCAUCCAAGGGCAAUCCAGAUAACGACUUCCCUGUUAAUCUUUGCAACGCUUCCCGCCUGAUUGCAGCCGCCCUCUUGCAAUCACCCAAUUUCAAUUCCAAGGAAUACGAAGGGGUUGUACCAGCCACUACAGAUUUAAUUAUUUCUUCAUCUUCCUCCGUUAGAACCGUCACAGGCUUUUCAUCGAACACCUUCUGGACGGUCACGAUUGGUGCCGCAGGAGGCAGAGGUGGAAGCGAACAAUCGAGAGCUUGCCCGCAAGGGACCUUACGGGCAUCUUCCUUUGCAAGCAGAACUUCAUCAUCCUCUUCCUCGGCAAUCCAAACGUCAGGCGAUGGUUGGAAAACCAAAGAUUGAACGAAGUCAAUCCCAAAGAAACCCAAAAGGUAAAUAAAGGACGCGAAAAAUGAGAGAAUGGCGAUGAUCUCUGAAAAGGUGACGACAUGGAGAGGUGUGGAGGUACGGAUCUUCUCACGCCAACGGGAAAGAAGGAAAUAAACCACCGAGAAGAAGAGGGUGAAGAACAGGGCAUUCGUUAGGUACAAGGGAAGCGGCAGUGCGUCGGAGGCUUUACCGGUAUCUUCCUCUAAAGAAAUCUUCUUUGUUGGCUUGAGAGCUUGAACAGGUUUAGUAGAAGAUAGCCGGU